GUGGUUUCUCUCCCUUGGGAGGUUUACCAAUUGGGGUUGGUGGCUUGUGUUCUGGGAGUGGUUUCUCUCCCUUGGGAGGUUUAGUGGGUGACUUGUGUUCUGGAGGUGGCUUCUCCACCGAAGGCUUGUGCUCCGGUGGUGGCUUUUUGGUUGGAGGGGGCUUGGGGUAAUCAGCAAGAGAUGGGGUGGUGAGAACCACCAGUCCAAGGAACAACACUAGCAAGUAUGUGGGAGACAUUUUUGAGUUUGGGCUGAUCAGAUGAUGCAAAACUAAAGCAUUACGUGACCUUUUAUAGCAAGUAGCUCCCAAUACCUACUUGACACGUGUUACUGUGACCCAUAAAUAUUAUGGGGUCUAUUUGUGCCCUACCGGGUUGAAAACUUGGACAAUUGGGCAAGGACCCGCCUGACUAUGGAGGACUACUGAGGUGUGAUCACAGCUUUAGGAUUUUUCUUCCUCUGCAGCCGUCUUGCCGUUGGCAUGAUUUUCUUAAUCUCAAAUAAAGGCAUAGUUAUAGAGUUGUUUAAUCUCUAAAUGGGAUUUUAUAUAUCUUCAGAUAGCCAUUAAUACAUUUGAUGAAGAAAGAAAGACAAGUGCAUACAACAUGUAUACGACUAGCUUUCAUGGAGUUCAUUUAUGAUCAGUUUUCCUGUACAUGUAAACCAAGAUCAUAUAUGUUUUUGUUCCACAACAAUUUUGGAAUCUUGUUUAUCCGUUUUUAUCAUUAUAAUGUCACAUAGGCUGCCAACUUGGGCGCUAAAUUAAAGAUCCAGUUGGGCAAGUUCGUUUCAGAAUUUCAAUGGUGGAUUCAGGAAUUGUUUUAUAAGAUAUGCAAAAUAGUAGAGGGAUGAAUAGUGUUUCAUUAAGAAAAGAGCCCUGUAAAAAUAUUGUUUAAAGGUGCCAUAGAAACUAUAAUCAAUAAAUAACUUUUUUUCCCCAUGGGUGGUGUUUCUUGUGGGGAUCAGUGACUGGUUUGAGUCAACGCCGUGUCUCUUUAGUCCAGAAAUCAACUAUUUUAUGCAUUGAAUACAUCAACAAAGAAAAUAUGAAAGCCAAAUGACACCUCCCCCGCAAAAACUAAACCCUGGUUGCUAACUUUCUAUGUUUCAGUUCCAUUCACACAAGAAUAUUAGUUCAAGUUUGAGAAAAAUGGCGACUUACCUAGUGAUAACUCGGUCUUGGUUUGCGAUUUGACUUUAACGUCAUGGGUUGAAGCCUCCUACAAUCAUCGUGUAUGCUAGUUCAAAGCUCGUGGAAGAAGUUAUACAGGGAGGGAGAAACCUCCACAGCAAGCUCCAAAAGAGAAUUAUCACAUUGAAAGCUCCAGUUGAACACUGGGUGAAAGCCAUAACAAGAUUGGUUUUCUAUCGCUCUUUUAAGUAAUGGAAGAUUAUUAUCUCUGCUUGUCACUACAACCGUGCAUGCUGCUAGAUCUUUCUAGACACUUCAAACAGUGAAACCAAGUAUGAUUCUUUUUCUCUUGAGUGGGUCCACUUGCAUGCCAAUGAACGAGUUGAAAAGUUGGACAAUUGGCCACAGCGCGCACUUACCUUCUGGAACCGAAGGUCAGUGAAGUGGGGUUCCUUUUGGCCCCUUGUGUUUCUGUUCCAACCUACUCCAGGAACCGAAGUUCAGUGAAGUGGGGCUACUUUUGGCCUCUUGUGUUUCUGUUCCAACCAAACAAAAAUGGGAGGGAAAAAUAGCAUUAUGCUUGUGCUAAAGAUCAACGCAUGAUAGCUGAAUAAGGGAGAAAAAGGCAUUGCUAUCUCAAUUUCAUAAACUUGAUAAGUAGUGACAUUAAUAGUCUUCCUCAUAGAUGGAUACAUGGUUUUAUUUUAUUUAUUUAUUUUUAUUUUUUUGUUUUAUGUCAAUGCUAAUGAAUGAAGUGCAUUAGCUUGUUUUGUGACUAGAACUACAAAUGUCCAAAUUGGAGCUUCUCCAAUAUAUUUCUCAGUGAGUUAUUGAUUAGAACUCUUGGAUUGAGUUCCAAGAUUUGAAUCAGACCCCUCUAGCAGCUUCAGGGGUACGUAGCAACCUAUAGCAUAUUAAUGAAGACUUAGGAUUUAGACUUAGGAAUACAAAUUAAUAUGUACCUCAUGCUCUGACUAGCUUCCCUGCGUAUGCACAAAAUGGAGAUGACUCCCAAAAAAAUAGCAGAAUCGCCUUAGUAUGUUUUUGUGGUUAAGAUGAUUCUCCACUUUAUAUAUCCACAUUGGUUCAUUAUGCAAAUUAAUCAACUAAGCUAUUUUUAUUUUUUCUUAAAUGUGAAAUAGGAGCUCCAAAUUAACCUAACCAUUGGCCUGAUUGAAUUGAUUUCACUUGCAUAAUGUUAUAGUAGAAGUCCGUAAUUUGAAUUUUAUUUUUGCAAAAGGUAACGUAAAUGAAGCAUUGUAAUUAAAUUUAUUUGUAAUUACAAACUAAUUUUAUUUUAUUAAGAAUUAAUUUAAUUACUCAUUUAAAAUAAAAAUCAGUUAUACUUUUACCAAGAUGAUAAUAUUCAUAUUUUUCUAGUUAACAUAUAUAAAAUAGUACACUUUUUCAUAUAAAAAAAUAAUUUAUGAUUUAUUAUAAUGUUACUAUUCACAUUUUACUAAAUUGAUGGUACAUGAUAGUGAGAGAAGGGGGUGUCACACUCAGCUAAAGUUCUUUUCAAAAUAUUGCAUGGUGUUUAAUUUUAUGUGUCGGCGCGCGUGUGAAUGGAACCUGCAAAAGUCCAAAUUGGCGUUUCUCCAUUUUCCACAUAGGAUGGUGACGUUAAUAGACAAAGAUACAAUAUCUGUAGACAUUGCUUAAAAAUCGAUGUGAAGUAUUAGAAAUUACAGGGCACUGUACUGGGGGAGCGGCUGCCCCGCCAAAGGAGGAAGAAUGUAGCAAUUUCUUCUGUUAGCCAGGCCUUAGGAUUUAUGCAUGGGAUGCCUAAUAACAAACAGAGAAAAUAUACUUUUGGGGAAGGUAUCCAACAACAGACACCAUCAUUCAGAUGGUGGGAAGGUAUCCAACAGAUGCCAUCAUUCAGAUGGUAACAUAUAUAUACAUUUAUUAGUGAGUUUUUUUAAUACCUAUAAAAAAAAAUAUACACUUUGAUAUUGUGGCUGAAUCCAUUACAUACUCAACUAACCUUGCUCAUUAGGGAUUUGACUUAACAAGGGCAACGUUGCAGUACAAGCUCAAAACUUUAUGCAGGUGACAUUACAUUUGGUAAAGAAGAGGAAAAUAACGAAAGCCAUCCAUAAAAGCAAAAUUCCACAUGGGAUGAAAUUCACAAGCUUCAUUUACGAUAGAGUCGCAUCCAGGCAAUUAAUUCCACAUUAGACCGCCUGUUGACAUGUGUACCAAUCUUUUUUCAAAAAAUAUUUAUAAAUAAUUGAUACUCACAAAAAUAAUUUAAUAUUUAUAAAGGAUAAAAAAAUAUUUUCAAAUCUAUAACAAUUUAUAAAAUAUUAAUAAAAAAUUAUCUCUUAAACUUAGUAUAGUUUUAUCAGAUUAAACUUUUAUUUUGAACAAAUAAUUUUAAUCUAAGUUUUAAAUUCUAAAAUUAUUUCCUUAAAAUAAAAUUUUAAAAUUCAACACUUCAAUUGAAAUUGUCUUUUUAAAAAAUAUCUUCUUAUUUUAAUCCUUAUAAACUAUAGUUGAUUGAAAAUACUAUUGAAGUUCUCUCUUAAAAAAAAGUCUUAUUUUAAUCUUCAUAAAUUGCCCUUGAUUUGAAAAUAAAUUUUCAGUUAUCAUAUUUUAAAUAAUAUCUAUAUUUAAAAUACUCUAUUUAAAAAAAAAUGAACUAAUUUUAAUUAUAUUAUAUUUUAUUUUUUUAUAUAUUUUUAAUGAUAAACCAAACAUAGAAAAUCAUUUUUCUAAAUAUUUUAAAAUUUCUAAGCAACCAAACAUAAUCUUCAAAAUAAAAGGAAAAUAAGGAGGGACAUUUGAGAAAUGGCGAUUAAAAAAAAGUGUACAAAAGCUCAAUUAAUUUUCUUCUAGUCUUUUAUAUAAAAAAGUAAAGGAAUUGAAAAGUAUUGAUAUGUAAAUUAAUAUUUGGAUUUUAAUAGUAUUUUAUUUGUCUUUCUCUAUCUCAUGUAAAAGAGAAUUUAAGAUAUUUCCUAAAGCAAAGCAUUAGUUAUCUGCAAUCAGUGGUGAUCAUGCCCCAUGUCAAUUUCGGACCCAUAUCUUAAAACUGUAUAAUUUGCAUUCAAACAUUACUGAUUUCUCAGAUGUUUCAUACUCCACAGAAGAGCAUUGUUUGUGAAAGCAUGCAUUUAUGUUGGAUUUUGGAUGAUGUGGGAACUGGGGCAAGGAUCAUAUGGAAGAGUGGUCGAUUUUGUUCUGUACUUUAACAUUUGAAAUAGGAGAAGCUCGGGCAUUUGUGGGGCUUAAUUGAUUUUGAAGCCUGAAAUUGCGUUUCUGUCAUUUUGUAAAAAAUAUGGCAGAUUCCAUGCUCUCAUAUGUUUGGUCUGUGGCCAUGUAUAGAUGCCCCUUAGUGACCAGUUUGUAACUGUCAAUCAUAGUGUUUUGACUCUGGCUCAACAACAUCAGCCAUUGACGGAUUUUCAUACUUGCAAAUCAAAUAGUCUUCUUCCUCCCUUAGGAAUUUCGGUUUAAAUGUUAUUAAGCAUACAUUUGGCUGACAAUUAUUAACCACUUCAUGAUAUGGUUUCUUACCCUUAAUCAAUGGUUUCUAAGUGAAUAUAUGCAGAAGGAAAUCUGAACUGUAGACAGCAGUAUUGAUAACUCUCAAUAUUCUUUAUAUAAGAGAAUAAACAACGUCAUAGUGAUCGUCGCCUACAAGAAAGGUACAUUUCCCAACAAGAUGUAGUUGUGACUGGUACAUGGACGCAAUUAACUCGUACAAAAGAAUAAGACCAGUGCACGGCAGCUCUUAUUUUACAUGCUAAUUAUGCUAACCAAAGUCACUCAGUUGGGAUGGGAGGGAGAUGGAGGUUUGUGCGGUGGCUUGUGGGGCGGAGUUGGUGGCUUCUUUUCAGGAGCUUGUGGCUUUUUCGGAGCUGAAGGAGGCUCAAUCUUAUGAGGCGGCUUGUACGAGUCUUCUUUACUCUCGACAGGAGGGUGGCCAGGGUUGUGACCAUAAUGUGGUGGCUUCUCUCCCUUAGGUGGCUUGCCAACUGGGGUUGGUGGCUUGUGUUCAGGAAGUGGUUUCUCUCCCUUGGGAGGUUUACCAAUUGGGGUUGGUGGCUUGUGUUCUGGGAGUGGUUUCUCUCCCUUGGGAGGUUUAGUGGGUGACUUGUGUUCUGGAGGUGGCUUCUCCACCGGAGGCUUGUGCUCCGGUGGUGGCUUCUCCACCGGAGGCUUGUGCUCCGGUGGUGGCUUCUUGAUUGGAGGGGGCUUGGGGUAAUCAGCAAGAGAUGGGAUGGUGAGAACCACCACUCCAAGGAACAACACUAGCAAGUAUGUGGGAGACAUUUCUGAGUUUGAGCUGAUCAGAUGAUGCAAAACUAGAAGAAUUACGGGACCUUUUAUAGCAAGUAUCUCCCAAUACCCACAUGACACGUGUUACUAUGACCAUAAAUAUUAUAGGGUCCAUUUGUGCCCUACCGGGUUGAAAACUUGGACGCUUGGCCGAGGACACACCUGACUAUGGAGGACUAUUGACGUGUGAUCACAGCUUUUGGAUUUUUCUUCCUGUGCAGCUGUCUAGCGGUUGGCAUUAUUUUCUUAAUCUUAAAUAAAGGCAUAGUUAUAGAGUUGUUUAAUCUCUAAAUGGGAUUUUAUAUAUCUUCAGAUAGCCAUUAAUAUAUUUGAUGAAGAAAGACAAGUGCAUACAACAUGUAUACGGCUUGCUUCAAUCGAGUACAUUUAUGAUCAGUUUUCCUGUGCAAGUAAACCAGUUUUUUGUUCCACAACUAUUUUGGAAUCUUGUUUAUCAGUUUCUAUCAUUAUAAUGUCACAUAGGCUGCAAACUUGGGCACCCAAAGAUCUAGGUGGGCAAAUUUGUUUCAGACUUUCAAUGGUGGAUUCAGUAAUUGUUAAAAGGUGUUUCUUCAUUAAGGAAAGAGUCCGGUAAAAAUAUUGUUAAAAGGUGUCAUAGAAACUAUAAUAAAUAAAUAACUUCUUUUCCCCAUGGGUGGUGUUUCUUCUGGGGAUCAGUGACUGGUUAGGGUCACCCAAAAUGAGUCCAGAUUAAAAUUGGUUCGAGUCAAAGCAGUCUCUUUUGUCCAGAAAUCAACUAUUUUGCGCAUUGAAUGAAUCGAUAAAGAAAAAAUGAAAGCCAAAUCACACCUCCCCUGCAAAACCUAAACCCCGGUUGCUAACUUUCUAUGUUUCAGUCCUAUUCAUAUAGGAAUAUUGGUUCAAGUUUGAGAAAAAUGGCAACUUACCUAGGGUUUACUUGGUUUUGGUUUGCGACUAUUUACGCAACCAACCAUGAGUUUGACUUUAACGUCAUGGGUUGAAGCCUCCUACAAUCAUGUAUGAUAGUUCAAAGCUCGUGGAAGAAAUUAUACAGGAAGGAAGAAACCUCCAAAGCUAGCUCCAAAAGAGAAUUAUCACAUCGAUAGCUCCAGAGAUUCCCAAGGGAACUGAAUCAAAGACAAGUUCCUCACUUUUUCUUCUUUUGAGGCCAAAUAUGAACCAAGGAUCACACGACCUCAUUCAACUUCAUAAGUUUGAUUUCAUGCAGUUGAACACUGGGUGAAGGCCAUGACAAGAAUUGAUUAAAAAAUUCUACCACUCUUUUAAGUAAUGGAAGAUUAUUAUCUCUGAUUGGCACCACAACAGCACAUGCUGCUAGAUCUUUCUAGACACUCCAUGCAAUGAAAGCACAAUGGAUCUUGUAAUGAUAGAAACUAAGCCAUGCUACAGUACUAGAUGAGGGGGUAAAACUAGUAGACAUCUUUCUAGACACUCCAUGCAAUGAAAGCACAAUGGAUCUUGUAAUGAUAGAAACUAAGCCAUGCUACAGUACUAGAUGAGGUGGUAAAACUAGUAGACAUGGCUGGCAGUUGAUUACUACUCAAAAAGUACUCUUUUAUAGCUUGAAACUAACUGUUUUAAACACUUUUGAGUAGUAGUUAAUACCUUUUAACUUAAUUGGCACAUUAAGGAACCUAGCAAGGGUUACUAAUCAACAUUUGGCAAGUUUUGAUGUUUUUGGUAGCUAUUUGAUCAUUGAAACAAGCCAAGAAUGAGGGGGAAUUUUGUGAAGUCCAUGGCAAUGCAAGUUAAAGCUCAAAUACAUGAAGAAUCCAAGCUUUGGAGCACUUCAUAGCCCUUUGCCAAGCCAAUCAAAGAUGCAAGGAAGAAAACCAAAGGAAGAAAUCCAACAAUCAGCAUUUUGGCAUGGCUAUGUGAAAUUUCGCACACCAUGCGAAACCACAAGAGGCAGCCAAAGAAUUUCGCAUGGUAUGCGAAAUCUUCUUGUGCACUGACUCUGUUAGAUUUUUAUCUUCAGAUAUUUUGUGUAAUUUCCUAGUUUCUCCUUGUAACCAACUUAGAUAUUUUCUUUUAUAUCUUUUUUUAUAUUUUUUAGGUAACAUCAUAUAUAAGAGGAGAGACAUAAGGAGGAUAUGGAUGUUUUUCAUAGAACACUUGUAAAUUUUUGGUAGUAAGAAAUAUACAAAGCUUUUUGCUCUGCCUUACCUUCUCAAGGGAUGAGUGGCUAGGUUUUCUUGGAGUGAGGGAAGCUAGGUGAAGGACCUGAAUGCAAAGGUGGGAGUUUUCCUUACUUUAAAUGAAAGUAGUUGUUAAACAUUAAUGGUUUUUAUUUUAAGGUUUAGCUUUAAAUCCCUGAAAAACACCUUGAAUGGCCAAUACUUGGUAAGCUUUUUAGAUUCUAUGGAUGCUUAUUGCUAGAUCCAUGGAUGUCUAUUAGUUAUCAUUUACGAGCCAUUGGAAGGUGAUUCAAGGUGAGGGUCUUUAGUGUUUGAAGCCAUUAAUGGGAAGCAAUUACCAUUUUUUCAUGAAUCCUUUGGAUCAAAUCUUAAUUGCUAAAUAUAAAACCGGUUUCGAGAGAUAACCACCAUCCUUUAUGUUAUUAUCCCCAACGCGAGGAGAAGAUCCGAAAUCUUCCUUUUUAUCUAAGGAACCCGAUCCUAGUGACCUAAAGCUCCAAGAUACCUUUUCUUUGUAGUUAACUUCAUUUAUUGUUUUUGCUUAACUUAAAAUCAAUCUUUGCAACCACAAUUCCAUUUUCUUUAAAAGCUAAUUUUUAUAAGGAAAAACACCAUUUUAUUUCCUUCACUAAGUCAACUGUACGAUGAAAACCCAUCCCUGUGGACGAUCCUAGAGCCACUAUACUAUGUUAGCUAUGCUACCCUAGUGUGAGGUGAUUUAGGUUUUAUAAAUUUUUUUGAUAACACCCAUCUGAGCCAGAAUCAAAUGGCACGACUGAACCAGGGACGAAUCAAAUGACGCCGCUACCAAGGAUGGUGCCAAAGUACAUUGACAUGACUUUUGGUGAACACUUGUGAUCUUCACCACAAGUUUGGUGAUUUUUCUUUUACUAAUUUUUUUUAUUUUAGCUUAUCUUUUAUUUAGUUUUUAGUUAACCUUAAAUUUUUCCUAGAAUUGUAUUUCUUUUGUUUUCUUUGUUUUUGUUUCAGUGAUCUUUAGUUGUGCAUGCCCUAUUGGAUAAGAGAUAUUGAGGGAAUACUUGUGAAGAUUGAAACUCCUCGAGAAACUGAGUUAGAAGUGUGCUUGAACAUCAUGGAUGUUCCACCUGAAGACCAGAAUAGCCAACAUGGUUAAGAGGAUAAUUUCAACACAUACCGAUCCAUGAGGAACCGCAUACAUCCACCUUGUAUGAGUGCACCGUCAGGCAUAAUGCCUCCCACUGAGCAGCUAGUAAUCUGACCUCACAUUGUGCCACUCCUACCUACUUUCCAUGGGAUGGAGAGUGAGAAUCCCUACUCGCAUAUUAAGGAAUUCGAGGAGGUUUGUAAUACAUUCCAAGAAGGAGGAGCUUCAAUUGACUUGAUGAGGCUCAAGCUAUUUCCUUUCACUUUGAAGGAUAAGGCCAAGAUUUGGCUUAAUUCUUUAAGGCCAAGAAGUAUCCAAACUUGGAUUGAUUUGUAAGCCGAGUUUCUUAAGAAGUUCUUCCCUACCCAUAGGACCAAUGGUUUGAAAAGGCAAAAUUUGAACUUCUCAGUUAAAGAGAAUGAGAAAUUCUAUGAGUGUUGGGAGAGCUACAUGGAAGCUAUUAACGUUUGUCCUCACCAUGGCUUUGACACAUGGCUCUUAGUGAGCUAUUUUUACAAUGGUAUGUCUUCUUCAAUGAAGCAACUCCUAGAAACUAUGUGUGGAGGAGACUUCAUGAGUAAGAAUCCGGAGGAAGCCAUGGACUUUUUGAGUUAUGUGGCUGAAGUUUCAAGAGGAUGGGAUGAACCAAAUGCUAGAGAGGUGGGAAGAAUGAAGUCUCAACCUAAUGCUAAGGGUGAGAUGUAUGUUUUGAAUGAAGACAUUGACAUGAAAGCAAAGGUUGCAGCUAUGGCAAGGAGAUUGGAAGAGCUAGAAAUGAAGAACAUACAAAAAGUGCAAGCCAUUUCUGAGACAUCAAUGAAAGCUAUGCCUUGUUCCAUUUGUCAAUCUUAUAAGCACCUAGUGGAGGAGUGUCCUACAAUUCCAGCAGUGAGAGAGAUGUUUGGUGAUCAAGCAAAUGUUAUUGAUCAAUUCAAGCCUAAUAACAAUGCUUCAUAUGGCAACACCUACAAUUCAAAUUGGAGGAACCAUUCAAAUUUCUCUUGGAAACGAAAGCCACCUCAAUACACACAACCUACUCAAGCACCUUAGCAAUCCUCGAAUCUUGAACAAGCUAUUGUGAACCUUAGCAAGGUUGUGGGAGACUUUGUGGGAGAUCAGAAGUCCAUCAAUGCUCAACUGAAUCGGAGAAUUGACAGUGUGGAGAGUACAUUGAACAAAAGGAUGGAUGAGAUGUAAAAUGAUCUGUCUCAAAAGAUAGACAAUGUCCAAUACGUAAUCUCAAGGCUUACCAACCUCAACACAGUGUAAGAGAAAGGAAAGUUUCCUUCUCAACCUCAUCAAAAUCCUAAGGGUAUCCAUGAAGUAGAGGCUCAAGAGGGAGAAUCUUCAAAGGUGAGGGAAGUCAAAGUAGUUAUCACCUUGAAGAGUGGUAAAGAGGUUGAUCAACCCACAUCCAAGCCAAAGCAUAAUGAAGAGAGUGUAGCAGAAAAAGAAAAGAGAGGAAAAUAAAGGAAUUAGAAUAGAGAAAAAUACAAAGAAAGAUGACCAUGAGUCUAGUGUGGAUGAAGAGCCCGAGAGGAUGGUGAUCAAGGAAGAUAUGAUGAAGAAACACAUGCCUCCACCUUUCCCCUAAGCUUUGCAUGACAAAAAAAGAACCAAUAAUACAUCAGAAAAUUUUGAAGUAUUGAGGCAAGUGAAGGUCAAUAUCCCUUUGCUAGACAUGAUCAAACAAGUGUCGACAUAUGAAAAAUUCUUGAAGGACUUGUGCACUGUAAAGAGAGGGUUGAAUGUGAACAAGAAAGCUUUAUUGACCGAGCAAGUGAGUUCCAUCAUACAGUGCAAGUCCUAGUGAAGUACAAAGAUCCGGGUUGCCGUACCAUCUCAGUGAGUAUUGGAAGGACUUGUGUGGAGAAAGCUUUGUUGGACUUGGGAGCAAGUGUGAAUUUGCUAUCCUACUCUGUCUAUAAGCAGUUGGGAUUUGGAGAGUUGAAGCCAAUAUCCAUCACUCUAUCUCUAGCGGAUAGAUCAAUGAAGAUUCCAAGAGGGAUGAUCGAAGAUGUCCUGGUUCAAGUUAACAAAUUCUACUAUCCAGUAGAUUUUGUUGUUCUUGAUAUGGAUCCGGUUGUCAAAUGAACUAAUUAUGUUCCUAUCAUACUUGGAAGACCCUUCCUAGCUACAUCAAAUGCAAUCAUCAAUUGUAGGAAUGGAGUCAUGCAACUCACAUUUGUCAACAUGACAUUAGAGCUCAACAUCUUCCAUUUGUACAAGAAGCAUAUCCAUCAGGAGGAAAAAGAAGGUCUAGAGGAAGUGUGAAUGAUUGACACUUUAGUGGAAGAGCAUUGUGAUCGAGAAUGCAAAAAGAUUUAGUUGAGAAUUUUGGGGAUCUUGAUGAAAGGUUACUUGAACCCUCAGAUUUGCUUGCUACCCUACUCCAUUGGAAGAGAAGAGAAGAAAUUCUACCCUUAUUCAAUGAGGAGGAGACGCAAAGAGCUGCAAAGGAGAAACCCCCAAAACUUAUUCUUAAGCCACUACCCACAGAGUUGAAGUAUGUAUACUUGGAAGAAGACAAGAAGUGCCCUAUUGUUAUAUCUUCAACUCUUACCAUUCAUCAGGAGGAUUGUCUACUUGAAGUCCUUAGAAGAUGUAAGAAGACAAUAAGGUGGCUAAUUUCUUAUUUGAAAGGGAUCAGCCCUUUAGUCUGCACCCAUCAUAUUUACAUGGAGGAUGAAGCUAAGCUAAUUCAUCAACCUCAGAGAAGGUUGAACCCUCACAUGCAAGAGGUGGUUCGAGCUGAAGUUCUGAAGCUACUUCAGACCAGUAUUAUUUACCCCAUAUCAAAUAGCCCAUGGGUGAGUCCUACUCAAGUUGCGCCAAAGAAGUCUGGGAUCAUGGUGGUGCAAAAUGAUAAGGGAGAAGAUGUCUCUACACGCCUCACUACAGGUUGGAGGGUGUGUAUCAAUUACAGGAGGUUGAAUGCAGUGAUAAGAAAGGACCAUUUCUCAUUGCCCUUUAUUGAUCAGGUGCUUGAGAGGGUCUCUGGGCUUUUUUUUUUAUUGUUUCUUGGAUGGCUACUCCGGGUACUUUCAGAUAGAAAUUGAUGUUGAAAACCAAGAUAAGACCAUUUUCACAUGCCCAUUUGGAACCUAUGCAUAAAGGAGAAUGCCUUUCGGCUUAUGCAAUGCACCCGCAACUUUCCAAAGAUGCAUGUUAAGCAUUUUCAGUGAUAUGGUGGAGCGUAUUAUGGAAGUCUUUAUGGAUGAUAUCACCAUUUAUGGAAGUGCAUUUGAUGAAUGCUUGGUCAACUUAGAAGCUGUUCUGAACCGAUACAUUGAGAAAGACUUAGUGCUUAACUGGGAGAAGUGCCAUUUCAUGGUACACCAAGGGAUUGUCCUUGGGCACAUUAUCUCCAAGCAAGGCAUUGAAGUUGACAAAGCAAAGGUUGAACUCAUUGUUAAGUUGCCAUCCUCAACAAAUGUCAAAGGAGUAAGGCAAUUCUUUGGCCAUGUCGGGUUCUAUAGGAGGUUUAUCAAGGAUUUCUCUAAGCUUGCAAGGCCUCUUUGUGAAAUAUUGGUGAAUGAUGUUAAAUUCAUAUGGGAUGAUGGAUUUGAAAGGAGUUUUGAAGAAUUGAAGCUAUUUUUGACAACCGUACCAAUAGUGAGGGCUCCCAACUGGCAACUGCCCUUUGAAGUAAUGUGUGAUGUCAAUGAUUUUGCUAUAGGAUUUUUUCUUGGGCAAAGAGAAAAUGGAAAACCUUAUGUGAUCUACUAUGCGAGGAAGGCAUUGAAUGAGGCACAAAGAAACUACACAACCACCGAGAAAGAAUUGUUAGCUGUAGUUUUUGCCUUGGAUAAGUUUCGCGCUUACUUGGUGGGGUCCUUCAUCAUGGUUUUUACUGAUCACUUUGCUUUGAAGUAUCUGUUGACUAAGCAAGAUGCUAAAGCAAGGCUGAUUAGAUGGAUUCUCUUACUUCAAGAGUUCAAUCUCCAUAUCAAAGAUAAGAAAGGAGUGGAGAAUGUGGUAGCAGACCACAUUUCAAGGCUAGCUAUCGCACAUAAUUCCCAUGCUUUGCCCAUUAAUGACGAUUUUCUAGAGGGGUCUCUCAUGUUGGUGGAAGUUGUCCCUUGGUACGCUCACAUUGCUAACUACCUGGUCACGGGAAAAGUUCCAAGUGAGUGGAAAGCACAAGAUAAGAAGCACUUCUUUGCAAAAAUUCAUGCCUACUAUUGGGAAGAGCCAUUUCUAUUCAAGUAUUGUAUGGAUCAGAUAAUAAGGAAGUGCGUUCCUGAAGAAGAGCAACAGGGGAUCCUUAGUCAUUACCAUGAAAAUGCAUGUGGAGGCCACUUUGCUUAUCAAAAGACAGCCAUGAGGGUGUUGCAAUCGGGUUUCUGUUGGCCAUCACUUUUCAAAGAUGCCCACACCAUGUGCAAGAGUUGUGAUCGAUGCCAGAGGCUUGGGAAGUUGACACGCAGGAACAUGAUGCCUUUGAACCCCACUUUAAUAGUUGAUAUUUUUUAUGUUUGGGGCACUAACUUCAUGGGACCUUUCCCUAUGUCUUUUGGCUACUCUUACAUCUUGGUAGGAGUAGAUUAUGUUUCUAAGUGGGUUGAGGCAGUCCCAUGCAAACACAAUGACCAUAGAGUGGUUCUCAAGUUUCUUAAAGAGAAUAUCUUCUCAAGAUUUGGGGUGCCCAAAGCCAUAAUUAGUGAUGGGGGUACUCAUUUUUGCAACAAGCCUUUUGAAACUCUCCUAGCCAAGUAUGGGGUGAAGCAUAAGGUAGCUACACCUUACCACCCUCAAACUCAUGGACAAGUUGAGUUAGCAAACAGGGAGAUUAAAAACAUAUUGAUGAAGGUGGUGAACACAAACAGAAAAGAUUGGUCAGUCAAGCUUCUUAAUUCACUAUGGGCAUAUAGAACAACUUACAAGACCAUUCUCGGGAUGUCUCCUUAUCGCCUAGUUUAUGGCAAAGCAUGCCAUCUCCCUGUGGAAUUGGAAUACAAAGCUUGGUGGGCAAUCAAGAAGCUCAACAUGGAUUUGAGCAGAGCUGGGUUGAAGAGGUUCUUAGACCUUAAUGAGAUGGAGAAAUUGAGAAAUGAUGCCUACAUCAAUUCAAAAAUUGCAAAAGAAAAAUUGAAGAGGUGGCAUGAUCAGUUGAUUUCCCGCAAGGAUUUUCAAAAUGGACAAAGAGUCUUACUUUAUGACUCUAAACUCCACAUCUUUCCGGGCAAGCUGAAAUCAAGGUGGAUAGGUCAUUUUACCAUUCACCAAGUGCAUUCAAAUGGAGUAGUGGAACUACUCAACUCCAACAAUAUCGAGAACUUCAAAGUGAAUGGCCACCGUCUCAAGCCCUUUGUGGAGUCUUUUUCUCACAACAAGGAGAAAUUCAUCCUCCUUGAUCCACAUCAAGCUUAACAAGACCAAUUUUCUUGAUGGACUUAGUCUUUCUAAAGACUAUCGAGUCCAUAACUUUUUGUUUUAUUUUUUAUUUGAGAUUUUUUCGGUAUUGUUACUUGUUUUGUUUUUUAUUUUUCGUUUUAAUUUUAUUUGGUUUGAUUUAACUUAGGUUUUUGAUGAUCAAUUACAGGGGGGAUUUCAAAUAGAGGAAAAACCAAGAUAAUUCGCACACCCUACGAAAAUUUCGCAAGGCAUGCGAAAUUUAUGGCUUAUUUUGCAUGGGGUGAAAAUUUUCGUACAUCUUACGAACCAAUUUCGAACACUUUGCGAAAAUAAACCAACCCUGCGAAAUCAUUUCGAUUACUCUACGAAAUUUUCGUAGAGCAUGCGAAAAAUUUAGCACACCAAACACCAUUUCGCAUACUAUGCAAAAACCUAAGGGGUCUGCGAAACCAUUUCGCACCUCCAAAUCCAUUUCGCACAUUGUGCGAAAACCAAGAGGCGCUGUGCGAAAAUGAAAAGUCGCCCUGUCAUCCCUUUUUAAACCCCUCGAGCCCUAAAAUCUCCAUUUCGCAAGCACCCCUGUCCUUGCGAAUCCCUCAUUUUCCUCUACUACCUUGCAACCUCGUCCCUUUCCAUUUGAUAUUGUGCCCCGCGCACAUCUCAUUUCAGAGACUCGCACUCCGCGCCCCCUCAAAGCAUGGACUCGAGACCCACCUUCCAUUUCCGACGUGGCACGGACCCAAGGAGCCCUUUCUGCCCCUUCACUAAGACACACACCAAGGCAGAAAGCCUCCUUUGCUCAAGUGCCUAGUGAUUCUCCAUCUUAGGCCUCAGAGGCCUCGGAGGCCCCGUGGAUUCCACCUUCCGAGGGUAGAGCAGCCAUUGGUCCUUCCUCUUCUACUCCUUAGCGUAGAUACGAGACGAGGAGACCACCUACUACACAAGGGGCGACUACUUCGAGCCUUGAGAAUUCAGUACGAUGCCUUCCUGCCAAGAGGGUCAAGACUUCAGGUCCAAGUGAGUCAUCCAGAGCUUCAUAGCCUAAGCCUCCUGUAGAUUCCAAGGUUCCUACUGACAUAUCACCGGAGUCUAUUAUCAGAAGCCCGAUGCUCAUAGCACCGCCCAUUGAGGGCAACUCAGAUUAUAGAGCGAGAUCUUUCCACUUGGAGCUAUAUUUUGAUCAGGAGGCCAUACGACAGCAGCCUGAGCUCCGAGACUCUUAUGGCUUACUGCAGAGGUACCAUCUUGAGGAACUUAUGACUCCUCGUGAGUUUUUUUAUCCCAGAGUAGCACUAAACUUUUACCAGUCCAUGACUACUCGUGGCGUCCCGAGUCCUACCACGAUUCACUUCACCAUUGAUAGACGUCAUGGUAUCCUCAAGGCCAGACAUAUUACAGAGGCUCUACAAAUUCCUUUCGAGCUAGAGGAUCCAUCUGUUUUUCGCUAAUGGUCCCCAGUAUCUCAGAGGGACAUGGUCCGUAUUUUAUCUAGGGGAACAUCUACAGAUUCGAUCUUUCUACGGAAGGAGCUUCGACCUGGGAUGCUCCUCUUAGAUGUGGUGCUAUGCUCCAACCUCUUUCCCUUACAACAUUCGGUACAUAGGUGAUGAGCUAUUUUGGACGCUUUAUUCCGUAUAUCAGAGGGCUUCUACUUUGGCCCGCACCACUUGAUCAUGGUCUCCCUCAUCCACUUUGAGGAGAAGGUUCAUAGGAAGAAGCUUCAGAGGGUGGACACCAUUCCAUUACUAUUCCUGAGGUUACUUUGCCAGGUCUUGGAGUACAUGGGCUUUCCUACUGAGCCUCGGCUCGAGCUUUGCCGCCUUUGUCGAGAGUGAUCCACUCUCGACAAAUGGAAUUAGUUGGCGGGCUAUUCUGCACCUCCAGGAGCCCCUCCCAUGGUAGCACCUCCAAUGUCCCCACAGGCAAAGUAGGGCGAGCUCCCGGCAAAGACUGUACCACCAAUGCCCACACUUGAGGCUAUUUCUGCUGCUCUGCCUAUGACUCCUACUGUUCCACCAGUUGGUCCUUUUACAUCCGAGCCUUCCAUCACCAUCUCGGCUUCGGAGUUUCGCGCCCUUGUGCAUACCUUUCAGACACUCACCACCACACAUACUCCUCUCUUCUAGCAAAUGGUUGAGAUGUGUGCCCAUCAGGACCGGAAGACUACUAUACUCUGCCAAAUUCAGCAGCACCUAAGACUUUUGCCUCAACCUCAACCUAACCAUCCCAUAUCAUCAGAGCCUCUAGCUCCAACUGAGGAUACUAUUCCACCUGAGAACACUACCACAGUAGAGGUCCGGUUUCCACCACCUUAAGAGGCCACCACAGCUACAUCAGAGGAUGUGUCAUCUCCACUUGAGGCUCCCACUACUUGAUCAUAGGACAUAUCUUUAUCUUAUUGUAUUUACAUAUUAUAUUACUAGAGAUUUGUCCUUGUUUUGAUACUUUAUAUUCUGGGAUUGGAUGUAUUGCCUGAUGAUAUCUCAAUUGUACUUUCUCAUAUUAAUAUAUAGACAUCAAUUUUUUUUAGUAUACUUAGCAUUUUUCUAUUUCCUCUACUCAUUACUCUUUUGUUUUUUUUUACUCAUGUGGUUUCUCUUAUACAACUCAGACUCCAUUUCACUCAGGAGGUACCACUUCCUCCCUUUAUUUUCAAUUGCUCUUGAAAUAUUGAGUGCAAUGUUGAUCUUGGUUGGGGGGAGAGUUGAGGAAGGAAGUUUUGUUAAUAAUGCUAGGUUAAUUUGUUAAUUUAGUUACUUUCUGCUUAAUUUUAAAAGUUUUCACUCUACUUUCCAUGGUUAUUAAGGAAAAAUUCUCAAAAUGAAAUGGGAGAAAUCGAAUUCUUGCAUUUUUACUUGAAUCUUAGAAUUUGUAUCAUGCUUAUUAAAGUUGAUGAAUUAUUGAAACUCCUAUUGAAUUCAACCUUAUUUUUUCCACUUUAAUCUUACCACACACGGUGCACAUUAGGUUCCAGUUAUAAGAUAAAAAACUAUCUCACCCCCUAAACUUAGAAAAAUUUACACUUGGUACCUUUGACAUCGUUUUAAUAGUGUUGGGACACCUUAUAAAAGGCCAAUGAGCCUUUAAAAAAAAAAAAAAAAAAAAAAAGAGAAAGAACAAAGUAUUGCACUUGCCUUGAAACCUGAGCAAGAUCCGAGGGGUAUACAGUGAAAGUCUUUAAAACCUGGUGCCCUAAGCCUUGAUUGGUUGGGAGUCACCGACCUCAAUGCUCGUUAUAAGGGUGAAUAGGUGGAGUUUAACAUAUUGUAGGUGCUUGGGUAUUGAAUUUCAAUCUCAAAAGUCCGGGAAAAAAUCUAAGGAGUUAGUGGUCAAAAGAUCCUUAAAGCUUGAUGCCCUAAACCUUGAUUGGUUGAGAGUCAUUGAUGGAUCCCCGCUACAUGGACAUUUUAGAAAACAAUACCUUUAGCAUUGCACGCCUACAAUGAAAAAAAAAUGUGAAAUAAAAGAGGUGCGUUCUUAGCCUAUUGGAGGUUGGUCAGUUUGCUAAAGUUUGAGAAAUCUAGGUUGGGGGGAGAGAAUAGUCCGACAUACUAUAAUAAAAAACUAAUAACCUUAACACUUAGAUUUUUGUGGAAGAGUAAGGAUUGGACCUUUAGGGGUGGAAAUUCUUUUGAUGCUUAAAUUUGCAUAAUGCCUACUCUUUAUAAAUUAUGAUUAGGCAAGAGAUUUGAUGACUCUUGUUCAAAGUUGGGUUUUUCCUCUUUGAUGUUCCAUGAGAGAGUAUAAUCCUCAUCAUGCCACUUGAAAUCUUUUUGGAGUGAUUAACAUGAUUUUGUAAAUUAUUUUACUGUCUAUUUUUCUUUAUCUCUCUUUUAUUGCUAAUGGACUAGCAAUAUGUCAGUUGGGGGGAGUGAUUACUACUCAAAAAGUACUCUUUUAUAGCUUGAAACUAACUGUUUUAAACACUUUUGAGUAGGUGUUAAUACAUUUUAACUCAAUUGGCACAUUAAGGAACCUAACAAGGGUUACUAAUAAGUUUUUGGCAAGUUUUGGUGUUUUUGGUAGCUAUUUGAUCAUUGAAACAAGCCAAGAAUGAGGGAGAAUUUUGUGAAGUCCAUAGCAAUGCAAGUUAAAGCUCAAAUACAUGAAGAAUCCAAGCUUUGAAGCACUUCAUAGCCCUUUGCGAAGCCAAUCAGAGAUGCAAGGAAGAAAACCAGAGGAAAAAAUCCAACAACCAGCAUUUUCGCAUGGCUGUGCGAAAUUUUGCACACCAUGCGAAACCACAAGAAGUAGCCAAAGAAUUUUGCACACCAUGCGAAAUUUCGCAUGGUAUACGAAAUCUUCCUAUGCACCAACUCCGUUAUAUUUUUAUCUUCAGAUAUUUUGUGUAAUUUCCUAGUUUCUCCUUGUAACCAACCUAGAUAUUUUCUUUUAUAUCUUUUUUUUAUAUUUUUUAGGUAACAUCAUAUAUAGGGGGAGAGACAUAAGGAGGAUAUGGAUGUUUUUCAUAAAACACUUUUAAUUUUCUGGUAGUAAGAAAUAUACAAAGUUUUUUGCUCUGCCUUACCUUCUCAUUUUGUUUUCACCUAUCUUUCUAGCCAAACAACCUCUGAGAAUGAUUUCUCAGGGGAUGAGUAGUUAGGUUUUACGUUUCUUGGAGUGAGAGAAGCUAGGUGAAAGACCCAAAUGCUAAGGUGGGAGUUGUCCUUGCUUUAAAUGAAAGUAGUUGUUAAAUAUUAAUGGUUUUUAUUUUAAGGUUUAGCUUUAAAUCCCUUAAAAACACCUUGAAUGGCCAAUACUUGGUAAGCUUUUCGGAUUCUAUGGAUGCUUAUUGCUAGAUCCAUGGAUGUCAUUAGUUAUCAUUUAUGAGCCAUUGGAAGGUGGUUCAAGAUGAGAGUCUUUAGUGUUUGAAGCCAUUAAUGGGAAACAAUUACCAUUUUUUCAUGAAUCCUUUGGAUAAAAUCUUAAUUGCUAAAUAUAAAACUGGUUCGGGAGAUAACCAUCCUUUAUGUUAUUAUGCCCAAUGCAAGGAGAAGAUUUCGAAUCUUCUCAUUUGUCUAAGGAACCCGAUCCUAGUGACCUAAAGCUCCUAGAGACCUUUUCUUUGUAGUUAACUUCAUUUAUUGUUUUUGCUUAACUUAAAAUCAAUCUUUGCAACCACAAUUCCAUUUUCUUUAAAAGCUAAUUUUUAUAAGGAAAAGCACCAUUUUAUUUCCUUCACUAAGUCAACUGUAUGAUGAAAACCCAUCCCUGUGGACGAUCUUAGAGCCACUAUACUAUGUUAUCUAUGCUAUCCUAGUGUGAGGUGAUUUAGGUUUUAUAAAUUUUGUUGAUAACACCCGUCUGAGCCAGAAUCAAAUGGAACCACUGAACCAGGGACAAAUCAACAGCCUAUAUGGGAGGGACACAAGUUUAAUUGAUUUGCAUUUCAGCGUUAUAGAUAAGUAUGUUUUGGAAGAUUUGUUCUGGAAAUACUGCACCAAGUACGAUUCUUUUUCUCUUGAGUGAGUCCAUUUGCAUGCCAAUUAACGAGUUGAAAAGUAGGAGCACCUACCUCGUGCUCAUGGAACCGAAUGUCAGUGAAGUGGGGCUCCUUUUAGCCUCUUGUGUUUCUGUUCCAACCAAGGCGGCGUAGGGAAAAACAACAAUAUGUCUGUGCUAAAUAUCAACGCAUGAUAGAUGUUUUUUUUUUUUUUUUUGGUAUGUCAAGGCUAACGAAUGAAAUGCAUUAGCUUGUUUUGUGACUAUAACUGCAAAUGUCCAAAUUGGAGUAUCUCCAUUUCUCACUUCGGAUGGUUAACUUUAUAAACAAGAUAUAGGAAACAUGUGAACAUCUUGAGGAACAAUUCAAAUUAUUCAUUAGAAGUCCUGGGUUAAGUUCCAAGAUUUAAAUCAGACCCUUCUAGCAGCUUCAAGGGUACUUAGCAACCUAUAACAUAUUAAUGAAGAUUUAGGAUUUAGACUCCGGAAUACAAAUAAAUAUGUAUCUCAUGCUUUGACUAGCUUCCCUACAUAUGCAUAAAAUGGAGAUGACCCAAAAAAAAUAGCAGAAUCUAGCUUCCCUACAUAUGCACAAAAUGGAGAUGACCCAAAAAAUAGCAUAAUCGCCUUAGUUUCUGUGGUUAAGGUGAUUCUCCGCUUAAUAUCCACAUUGACUCAUUAUGCAAAAUCAACUGAGCUAAUUUUAUUUAUUUAUUUAAUGUCAAAUAGGAACUCCUAAUUAACUGAUUACUGUCGAAAAGUGCUAUUUUGUAGACCUAAUUAUAAGGGUUUUAAGCACCUUUGAGUAGUAAUCAUAUUCAUUUAACCUAAUUAAUUCAUUAAGCUCCUUAGUAAUUAGUUCUAACCAUUUUUAGUGGCAAGUUUACAUGUUUUUCAUCAGCUUAUGAACCAAUUCAAGCAUGCCAAUUGAUGGAGGAGCUACUUGGGCGAGUUAAGCAAGGAUUUUGGACGUUUACAGGCUUGAAUUUCAAGUGGAAACACGAGCACAAGCAAUGGGAACACCAUUUCGCAAGGGGAGGCAAUUCACCUUGCCAAAUGACCAAUUUCGCAAGGGGAUUUUCCUCAUGGUGCAAAAUUUGGUCAUUUCGCACCAUGAAGAAACCACCUUGCAAAAUUUCGCAAGGUGGAUUUAGGCACCUUGCGAAAUGCCAAAUUUCACAAGGUGGCUUUUCACCUUGCGAAAUUUGGACCUUUCAUCUUCCCCCCUUGCGAAAUGCCUUUGAAAUCCCCUGUUUUGAGACGCUGUUGAUGAUAUUCCACUGCCGGUUCUCCAAGAUAUUUUGCUUGACUUUUAGCUUUAUAAAUACCUAUUUUACCCUUGUAAUCAACCAAUGAAAAGGUUGCUUUUGUAAUAGCUCUUGUAAUUUAGCUUUUUAUUGUCUUUAAAUAGAGGUGAAGAGCCUCAGACACGAUCAUCUUGUAACCUGUAACUUUAUAAGUUAUAAGAGCACUUUUGUUCAUACGCUUCUUUUCUCUUUUCUUUCUCAUUUUCUUAGUAGCCAAACAUCCUUGGAGGAUGAAAUCCCCAAGGAUGAGAGGCUAAAACCUUUUAGUUUCUUGAAGUAAUGGAUGCCAUGUGAAGCUCCCGUGUCAGGAUGGAGAUUUCCAAGCCAUAAAUGUAAGUAGCUGAGCGUCAUAAAUGUUUUCAUUCAAAGUAAAGCUUUUAAUCCCUCUGACUUGCUUUGAAUGGCCAAUACUUGAUAACCUUUUGGUCUCAAUGGAUUCUUAUUGUUAGAUCCACUGACGUUCAUUAGUUAUCUCCUACGAGCCAUUGUAUUGCAAGUCGAGGAGAUGACCUAUACCAAUAAAAGAGCAUUUAUGAGGUUCAACUACCCUUUUUGUAAGUUUUCAAGGACUAAAACUCAGUUGUUAAACUCAUACCGGUUCGAGAAGUAAGCAUCACCUUAGUUGCUUCCCCAACUCGAGGUGAAAAGUCCCAAAAUCUCCAUUUUUACACAGUGAGUUAAGCAUGGCUAUCCAAAGCUUUAAGAAACUUCUUUUUCCAUCUUUUAACCUAUUUUCAUGUUAGUUUAGUUUACAACACCUUCAUCUUUUUAUGUUUUCAUCUUAACCUAAUUUUUAUUAAGAAAAGUUCACUCCAUCCUCCGAACUUCACCAGUUAAAGUAAAAACCCUUCCCAGUGUUCGAUCCUAGAGCCACUAUGCUAUAGUAGCUUUGCUACUUUAGUGUAAGGACCUUAGGUAUAAAUUUUGUUGAUACCCUUACAUGCCAAGCUACCAAGAGUCGGGUUAUCAUUAACCUAACCAUUGGCCUGUGUAAAUUGAUUUCACAUGCACAAUGUUGUAGUAGAAGUCCAUAUUUUGAAUUUUAUUUUUGUAAAGGUAAGGAAAAUGAAGCAUUGUGUAAUUAUAAAAAUAACUUCAUUGGAAUUCACAAGGUUCACCCAAAAUGGAGCUACAUCUGUAUUCUAUCCUACAGUAGACUAUAUAGAUUGUACAAUAGUAAAUUGCAAAUACAAUUAAUAAGUCUUGUGCUUCCUUACUAAUAAUCCUUUGACAUGAACAUUGCAGCACUAAGGUCCUCUUGGGAAGACACCUUGCACCCAUGAGAGCACUAAGAGGAAGCAAGGCAGAGUCAUGGGUGCAAUGUCAUGACUUGUUGUUGCACCAAGAGAGGCUUGGUGAUGCCAUGGUGUUGCAGUAGCAAGAAUGUUGCCUUGGCAGGGACACGAUCUAGGGAUAGAUGCCAAGAAAGGCUUAGCACUCACAUGAGUUGCACAAAGAUGAAUGUAAUAGAGCAUCAGAGAGACGUCUUGGCAAGUAAAUGAAUGGAUCCAAGAGACAACAACAUGAGGAGUUUCAAAUGGAUAAGGAAUGACUCAAAGACAUUUGAAAGCUACAAGUUGGAUUCUAAUUACGAUUGCAAUUUGAGUUUGAGUAGGAGUUUAGAUUUUGAUUGUAAUUGUAGUAUGAGUUGGACUAGGAUUGCUUAUCCUUAGUCAAUAUAGGAGCGGUUCGUGUCACCCUAUGAAAAGAGUUUGAGUAGGGACUAGGAUUGCUUACUCCUAGUCAAAUAUGGAGUAGGUGGUGCCACACCUAUAAAAAAAAGGGACAACAUGAGAGAGAGAGAGAGAGAGAAAGAGAGAGUGAAUUCACUAAAGAUAUUGUGGGAGUUUUGCUUUGUUACGUCUUGUAUUAUUACUUAGAAUAGGAAUAAAAUACAAGUUGGGGCUAGAGCCCCAUAAUUAAUCUCGUGUGCCUUUGUGGUUAUUCUUUAUUUGUCAUCUCGUGUGGAUUGGAUUAGGUUGACUUAGAGGGCUUCUAAGCACCACCUUUGUGGGUUAUUAUUUAUUUUCCAUCUCUUGUGGAUUAGAUUAGGUUGACUUAGAGGGCUUCUGAGCACCACCUUUGUGGGUUAUUAUUUAUUUUCCAUCUAUUGUGGAUUAGAUUAGGUUGACUUAGAGGGCUUUUAAGCACCACAUUUGUGGGUUAUUCUUUAUUUUCCAUAUCGUGUGGGUUGGAUUAGGUUGACAAGGAGAAAAAUUAUGUGGGAAAUUUGUGUUGGGACACUUACCAUAACCAAGUAAAAUCUACCAAGUCCUUUGUAAUAUCUUCAACAAAUAUUUUAGACUAGUUCUUUCAGUUAGUGUAAAGGAGGAAGAAGUGGUAUUGAUUCUAGAAAUAGGGUGUGUGUAUUUGAACUACAAUCCUUAUGAUCCUUAGGUCUCUAAACCUUCGUGAUGGGCUCCCUGACAUUUCAUAGGUUGUGCUACACAUGCGUUUGAAAUUUAGAGUGCGUUUGACAGUGAUUCCGGGAAGUGUUUUUGGCCUUUCUUACACUUGAAAAUUUUUAUUUUUCAAGUAUUAGAAAUGCUACAAACACUUUUGAAAAUUACUGUCAAACACACUCUUAGGAGCGCACAUAUAUAGUAGAAAACUAGAAAUUGUGGUUUUUUUAGGAUUUACUGUAAUGUCAUUAGGAGGGUAGUAAGUUGAAAUUGAGUAUGAACAAAUAUUUCUUUCUUUGGGAUGUUCUUCUAGUAGGUGCUGAUGAAACUGUUCUUUCUACUGCCAAUGUCACAUAUCAGCCAGAAAUUGAAAAUUUCAGUCAAGGUGUCCUCUGUUUUAGUGGUGAGGAAAGCUAGAAAUUUUAAGGUGAAGUUUUGUUAAAAACCUUAAGUAGCUGGGAUAUCAGGCCUGUUUUGCUUGAAAAAAAAAGUUGCAAGAUAACUCAUAUGCCAAACAGGUUCUGAUAUUGUGAAUCUAUCGGCAGACAUCAGUAAUCUCAUCUUCUGAGAUGGAUGUUGGGGGUGCAUGUGGUGGUGGAGGGGCAAGGUUUCAUUUGGUUUAUUUUGUUGAUGGAUAUUGUCUAGCCACCUGCGCCAAGUUUGAGGGGUGGUGGGUUGUGAUGACCCUACAAUUACUAUUAAUUUCUUCAUCUUUUACCGAUUAAAGUGUCCGAACAGUCGAAGUUACCCUUAUGCAUGUCAACUUGAUCACUUACCUCUUCAAUGGAGUUUAUGCUGGUUCAUUUAGGAACUGAUUUUUAUUGUUAUGUAUUAUAUGCUGAUGUUUAGGUCUCUCCAUCAUCACUAUAUACAAAAAUUCUAGGUUGAUACUAUAGGUUGAGAUUUAUUUUUUAAAUAAAAAAUAAUAAAAAUAAAAAUUAUGGUGAUGUUUAGUUGUUUUAUGGAAAAUUUUAACAAGUAAAAGUUAUUUUUGGGCAAGUUUUCAAACAAAAAGAAAAGUAAAAGUUGUUUUGACAAAAACAUAUAGAAAAAAAAAUCAUAGAAAAUAAAUAAUUUCCCCAUAUUCUAACUUUUUUGAAUUUUUCUCAAUGGGCAAAGGAAUAUCAAAUCAAGUUUGAGUAGGAUUUCUUAAUUUUUAAAAUAACUUACAAUUAAAAAAUUUUGGUGUUUUCAUUUUUGGACAAUUUUUUAUUAAGCAAAUGGACUCUGAGUCAUGCAAGAGAUAUGGUUCAUUAACCGGUCGAACAAUUUUUUUAAAUUAAUUUAAAAGUCAAAUACAUAAUCAAUUUCACAAAAUUUAUAAACAAAAAUAGGUUUAGAGAAGAUCUACACAUAAUUUUACUUUUCUAAUUUUAUUUUAUUUUAUUUUUUGUUGGAAAAUAGUCUUCAAAUCAUGUAAGAUUUAAUAGGUUAAAUUUGUUAACAAUAAAUUUUAAAUUAUAAAAUAUAAUCUGGAACUCAAAAAUCAAUUCAAGUAAUGCUAAAAAAAAAUCAAAUUUGGUAUAGAAUGACUUUGUAAAUUUUUUUACAAAACAAAUGAAUUUUAAAUCAAGUGAGAUUUAAUGCAUUAGAUUUUUAUCAAAUAUAGUAAUUUUAAAAAUAAAUUUGGAACUCAACAAUAGACACAAUAAAUACCAAAAAAUAAUGAACCAAAAUUGGUUUGGAAUAACUCCACAACCUUUUUUUUUUUUUUUUGGUGCACACGAAUUUUCUUACUAGGUAUAUUGCUUUCAAAUUGAGAAAGAUUUACCAUUUAGAUUUUUUUUUAAUGAGUUUAAUGGUAUUUUAAAAUAAUUCAAAAUUUAAAAAAUUGACUAAUUAAUAUUAUAAAUUGAUAAACCAAGACUAUUUCAAAAUGCAUUGGGGGCUAAGGGGGUUGAAAAUAGGGACAAUGGGAUGGGUUUGGGACAUGACACUCAUAUCUCAUUUCCAUUCCAAUUACACAGUUAUCUCCCAUCCUUAUCCCAAACUUGUGUUGGAGCAAGUUGAUUUGUUCCCAUCUUUGUUGACGAAAUGACUAAUAACCUCAUCCCCUCCUUAUCUUAGAUGUACAUUUUGUCAAAUUUGAUCAGGUAUGAUUGAUCCAAGCCCUAACCCUAAUUGGUAAUGAGUGAAUACUACACCUAAUUGCAUUCUUCUUUCAUUGCAAAAUAAUGAGAUUAUAAUAAUCUAGCAAAUAAGAAAAAAUAGUAUGGAAGUUCAAAUUAACACCAUAACUAUCAAUAAUUUUAAGCUUAUAGAUGACUUAAAUGAUUAAAAACUAAUGCAAAAUCCUAAAAAAAAUAAAAAUCAUAUAAAGAAUUCACAAGAGAACAGAAUGAACAAAAACCAAAUAUGAACAUGGGUCAACAUUAGUUAUGGAUUUGGAUUCCUUUCAAGGCCAAUCUUUGAACCAAGACUUCAUCAAAUCAACUACUUCAAAGGCUUUUGUGUUCUUCUUGGGUUGUGCUCUCAAACAAAGACUUCGAGGUGAUGUUCUAGAUGAUUGAAUUACACAUAUUUAGGGUGGAGAGAUUGGAGAAGCUUGAAGAUGCCAACGAUGGGUACAAUUGAGUGGUCAAUAAGAACAAUGUAGCCUAUGACUAGUUUGAUGUCAUGGUACAAGAGUUUUAGGCAUUGAGGUUAAAGCAAGAGCAACAUGGAAUUGAUUUCGGAGUCUUUCAGUUAGUGUAAAGGAGGAAGAAGUGGUGUUGAUUCUAGAAAUAGGGUUUUAAGUGGUGCGUGAUUACUACUCAAAAAGUGCUAUUUGAUAGCCUUUAAUUAAUCCUUUUUAACACUUUUGAGUAGUAGUUUAGGCCUUUUAACUCAAUUGGCAUGUUAAGGAUCCUUUAAAGCAAUUUUGAUCACUUUGUGCAAGUUUUGGUGUUUUUGUUAGUAUUUUGAUCACCAAAGCAAGUCAAGAAUGAGGAGAACUAUGAGGAAUCAUGGGCAAAGCUUAGAAUUCAAUUGCCAAGAGUGAAUCCGGAUUGCAAGGAGAAAAAGCAAAGAGAAUCUGUCAUGAAGCCUAUUCUUGAUGACAGUCGUAGCAGCCACUUUUGGAGCACUUUCUGAAGUCCAAAUGAUGCAAGCUAUAUACCAUUUCAAAGAUCAGGAAGUCAACAAUCCAAUGCUUCAAACGGUGCGCGAUUCGGAGUUGAAACGAAGAAGUUGCAGCCAUUACAAGCCAGUCACUCUAAAGUGUUGCGGAAUCAGCCUUUUGUUGCGAGAAUUUCGCAGCACUUUUGUACAGUAAGGUGUUUCUCCUUCUGACGAUGCACGAACCAUGCCGCGAGAGGGAAGCUAGGAACUUCAAGAUGGAAGCCAACUUUGCAGCCUGGUGAAGAUAGCUUGGUCUUGCGAAAUAAUUUCGCAGCCCUCUUGGGUGUCUGCGAAAUUUCGCAGGCACCACUUUUUUCCUGCGAAAUGGCUCCGGAAGCCUCCCGAAGCUUGCUACCGACAUUGGGAGAUAUUUUCCAUUAGAUUUUUGUUGUCUAAAUUCCAAAAUACUCCUUGUAAACCACCAAUUACAUGAUUCCUUAGUUUUUAAGUUAGUAAAAAGACCAAAUAUCUAUGUAAUAAUUAGUUUUAUAUUAGUUUGCUAUAAAUACCUCUCGGGAGCAUGUUCUCAGAGAGGAGUUCCUUCUGUAACCAUUUUGGUAAGCAAGUAAAGUCUUUUCUUUCUACUGCCUUACCUUCUCACUUUGUAUUUUCAUUUUAUUUCUAAGUUAUGAAUUCUCUGAGGAGCUUUCCCCAGAGAAUGAGUAACUAAACCUCCAAUUCCUUGGAGCUAAGGUUGCCGGGGAAGGUUCCAAGUGCAAGAAUGCAAAGCUCUGUGGUUUUAGCUAGUAAUGAAGAGGAAGUGAAAUCCUUUAGUGAUUUCAAUGUUUUUAGUUAACUUAAAACACCUUGGAGUCACCUGGGCCAACACUUGGUAAGGCAAGUGAUUUCCAACCGUGGAAAUGCACUAGUUUACCCCUUGCGAGCCUCUGGUAGGUGACUUCAAGGUAGGAUUUUCUGGAAUUACCAACACUUGGUAAGCUUUUGGACUCCUAGGAGACAUCCAUUAGUUAUCUCUUGCGAGUUUGUGAAGGGGAAUCCAAGGUUAAAGAUCACCUUGAAUGGUAAGUGCUCGUGAGAGGCAUGAACCAUUGCAAGUUGUAUCAGUGAGAGAAUUAAAGUGAAAUCUAAUUGAAGGAGUCUCUGUACAUCACCGGUUAGAGAAUUGACUAUAAGUUGAAUCUCUAAUGCGAGGAAAUGAACCAUCUGACCGGAGCUAUGUCUUUUGCAUGAGGAACCACCCCAGUGAACCUAAAUCUCCAAGGAAUGCUUUUCUUCCUAAAUUAUUCCAAACUUCUGUUAAGUUAGUUAGUUUAAGUCUAAACCUUUACCAAUCAAACUUUGUGUUUUAUUUCUUAAGCUAACCGUGAAAUGAAACAAAACCAAUUCACUUGGAAUUGGUAUCCUUGAUUGCUUGCAAAUCAUUCCCAGUGAACGAUCCUUAGAGCCACUAUACUAUAGUAGCUUUGUAUUUGCUACCCUAGUGUAUGGUGUUAUAGGUAUAAAUUUUGUUGAUCACUUCCUCAAUCAAGGAACACCAGCUGAACACAAAUCAGCUGAGACACCAAUUGGGCAUGAGUCAAAUGGCGCCGUUGCCGGGGAAUGAGUGUCAAGAUCAUUGUGAUACCAUUUUUGAGCACUUGUGAUUUUCAUCACAAGUUGGUAAAGUUUCUUUCACUUUACUAAUUUUCAUUCUCUCUUUGUUUAUUUACAAUCUAAGUUUAUCUUUUUAAAAUUUAGUCUAGUUUAAUUUUGCUAUUGUAGCCUUGUUUCUCUUGUUGUCCUCUGUUCUUGUUGUCCUCUGUUUUCAUUUUAGUUGCAGCUGAAUACUAGUUGUGUAUGCCAAAGUGGAUACGAGACAUUGGAGGUAGGCUUAUUAAGUGUGAUACACCUCAGAGAGGAGAAUUGGAAGUAAUCUUGAAUAUCAUGGAGGCUGCACCUGAAGAUCAGCAUAGUCACCAAGGUCGUCAAGACAAUCUCAAUGAAUUCAGAUCAAUGAGGGACCGUAUGCAUCCACCUCGUAUGAGUGCACCAUCAUGUAUAGUGCCCCCUACAGAGCAACUAGUGAUCAGACCAUAUCUUGUUCCACUUCUACCAACUUUCCAUGGGAUGGAAAGUGAGAAUCCGUAUGCACACAUCAAGGAAUUUGAAGAUGUUUGUAAUACAUUCCAAGAGGGAGGAGCUUCAAUUGAUUUGAUGAGGCUUAAGUUAUUUCCUUUUAAUUUAAAGGAUAAGGCCAAAAUUUGGCUUAAUUCUUUAAGGCCAAGGAGUAUCCGCUCUUGGACUGAUUUACAAGCUGAAUUCCUCAAGAAAUUUUUUCCUACUCAUAGAACAAAUGGCUUGAAAAGGCAAAUUUCAAACUUCUCAGCUAAAGAGAAUGAGAAAUUCUAUGAGUGUUGGGAAAGAUACAUGGAAGCUAUAAAUGCUUGUCCUCACCAUGGCUUUGAUACUUGGCUACUGGUGAGUUAUUUUUAUGAUGGUAUGUCCUCCUCAAUGAAGCAACUCCUCGAGAAAAUGUGUGGAGAAGAUUUCAUGAGCAAAAAUCCAGAGGAAGCUAUGGAUUUCUUGAGCUAUGUAGCUGAUGUUUCAAGGGGAUGGGAUGAACCAACUAAAGGAGAAGUGGGAAAGAUGAAGUCUCAGUUGAAUGCUUACAAUGCAAAGGCUGGGAUGUAUACUUUAAAAGAGGAUGAUGACAUGAAAGCAAAGUUGGCAGCUAUGACAAGAAGAUUGGAGGAGCUGGAGCUGAAAAGAAUGCAUGAAGUGCAAGCUGUUGCUGAAGCACCAGUGCAAGUGAAGUUGUGUCCCAAUUGUCAAUCGUUUGAACAUUUGGUAGAGGAAUGCCCUGCAAUUUCAGCUGAAAGGGAAAUGUAUAGAGAUCAAGCAAAUGUUGUUGGACAAUUCAGGCCCAAUAACAAUGCUCCUUAUGGAAAUACCUACAAUUCAAGUUGGAGGAAUCAUCCAAAUUUUUCAUGGAAGGCCAGAGCAACUCAAUACCAACAGCCGGAUCCACCAUCUCAACAAUCUUCAAGUAUUGAACAAAUAAUAGCUAAUCUCAGCAAGGUAGUGGGAGAUUUUGUGGGAAAGCAAGAAGCCACCAAUGCUCGAGUGGAUCAAAGAAUGGACAGAGUGGAUCAAAGAAUGGACAGAAUGGAGAGUAUGUUGAACAAAAGAAUGGAUGGAAUGCAAAAUGAUAUGAAUCAAAAAUUUGAUAACAUCCAAUAUUCAAUUUCAAGGCUUACAAAUUUGAAUACACUGCAAGAAAAGGGAAGAUUUCCUUCUCAACCUAACCAAAAUCCCAAAGGUGUCCAUGAAGUGGAAAGCCAUGAGGGAGAAUCAUCACAGGUGAAAGAUGUGAAAGCUUUGAUCACUCUAAGGAGUGGUAAGAAAAUUGAGCAGCCAACACCCAAGCCACAUGUUGAGAAAGAAGAAGAGAUGAAGAAAGGGAAGGAAAUGGAAGAUAAAGGCAGUGAGAUCAGUGAAGAAAAGAAGGACUCUGAUGCAACAAUGAAAGUAAUUCCAGAGAAGGAGCUUCUGAAGGAAGAAAUGCUGAAGAAAUCAACUUUUCCACCUUUUCCUCAAGCAUUACAGGGGAAAAAGGGGGUUAGAAAUGCAGCUGAAAUCCUAGAAGUAUUGAGGCAAGUGAAAGUUAAUAUUCCACUGCUGGAUAUGAUCAAACAAGUUCCAACGUAUGCAAAAUUCCUAAAGGACUUGUGUACUAUCAAAAGAGGGUUGACUGUAAACAAGAAAGCCUUCUUGACUGAGCAAGUAAGUGCAAUCUUACAGUGUAAGUCUCCUUUGAAGUACAAAGACCCUGGAAGUCCUACCAUUUCAGUCAUGAUUGGAGGAAAGGUAGUGGAGAAAGCCUUGCUAGACUUGGGAGCAAGUGUGAAUUUGCUUCCAUAUUCUGUCUACAAGCAACUGGGACUUGGAGAGUUGAAGCCAACAGCAAUCACUUUGUCUCUGGCAGAUAGAUCAGUGAAAAUUCCAAGAGGGGUAAUUGAGGAUGUAUUGGUUCAAGUAGAUAAUUUCUACUAUCCUGUAGAUUUUGUUGUUCUUGAUACAGAUCCUACUGUAAAGGAAGCUAAUUUAGUUCCUAUCAUCCUUGGAAGGCCAUUUCUUGCAACUUCAAAUGCAAUCAUCAACUGUAGAAAUGGGCUUAUGCAACUCACUUUUGGUAACAUGACACUGGAUCUAAAUAUUUUCUAUAUGUCUAAAAAGCAAAUCACUCCAGAAGAAGAAGAGGGUCCAGAAGAGCUAUGUAUUAUUGAUACUUUGGUGGAGGAGCACUGCAAUCAACAUAUGCAAGAUAAGUUGAAUGAAAGUUUUGUGGAUAUUGAGGAAGGUUUUUCUGAAUCUCCUAAUGGGCUUGCUACUCUACAAAGUUGGAGAAAGAUAGAAGGAAUUCUACCUUUGUUCAAUGAAGAAGAGGAGGCAGCUGUUGAAAAAGAAAUUCCAAAACUCAAUCUGAAGCCUUUACCUAUGGAGCUGAAAUAUACAUAUCUUGAAGAAAAUAAUCAAUGUCCUGUCGUAAUAUCUUCAUCUCAAACCAAGUCUCAAGUGAAGGAUGCAAGCUUCAAAUGGGAUCCGGGCAAACUGAAUCAGGAAGGGCAAAAAGUUUUGAUGUAUGACACAAGACUCCAUAUCUUUCCUGGGAAGCUCAAGUCAAGGUGGAUUGGUCCAUUUGUUAUUCACCGAGUAUAUUCCAAUGGAGUGGUGGACUUAUUGAAUUCCAAUGGCAAGGACAGCUUUAGAGUCAAUGGAUAUCGUCUUAAGCCGUUCAUGGAGUCAUUCAAAUCAGAAAAGGAGGCAAUCAACCUCCUUGAACCUCAAAAAGCCUAAGUGAAAUGGGUUUGCUGGACGUGGUUUUACCACAGUCCAAAAAUUUUUGUAAAUUUUGUAAAUUUUCAAGUUGUUUCCAUGCUUUUAAUCUUAGUUUUUGAUUUUAAAUCAUGUUUUUAGGUGUGUUUUAAUCGUUUUAUAUGAUCCCAGGCGGAAGAAAUUUCAAGGGGAUUGAAAAGAAAAAAAUCGGGUCGAAAUUGGAGCCGAAACAGAGCAAAAACAGGGGAAAAACAGAGCUCUGCGAAAUUUCGCAGGGUGAAGGAAACUUCUGCGAAAUUGGCAUUUUGCUGCCAAACCAUUCCGCAGCACUGUAGAAGCCUCUGCGAGUGUAUUUCGCAAUUGCGAAAGUGGAUUUGGCACACGAGUGCCACUUCGCAGCACAGUGACAUCAAUUUCGCAGCUGCGAAACUCACUGCGAAGUUGCUGCGAAAAUGGCAAGUUGCUGCGAAAUUGGCGUUUUGUUGCGAAACGUAAUCUGACCCCUGGGCUUCCGUUUUUCCUAUUUAUACCUGUCAAAAGUGCUGCGAAAAAGGUUUCAAAAAUUAGAGCACCAUUCUCGCAGCCCUUUCAUCUUCUUCGCCAAGCCACGCCGUCCGUUUCUCCGGUCGUCUUCUCCGUUUAGCAGCGCCGGCCAAAGAUCGAUAGCCCAAAAAUGGCACGAACGCGAGGGGCAAAGUCUUCAUCCCCUUCGAACCGCAAAAGGAGUCUGCGAAAGGAGCCAAGUUCAGGCUCUGUUCCAGAACCUGCUCCAAAGCCUUCGCCGUCGAGACCACAACCUUCUCCAGUGAAGCCGGCGCCACCAAAGCCGCCGGCAAGGCGAUAUUUAACCAGGUCAGGUGGUCAGCCAUUGAAGAAGAAAGCCAGAGUUGAGAGCUCUGAACCAAUCGAUUUGACUGAGCAAUCCCCUGAGAAAUCACCAAAUCCUUCACCGGUACAAAUUCCAGUGCCAUCACCGGUUCCCUCGCCAAUUCCCUCACCAGAAGCAACUCCAAUUCCAUCGCCGGUACCAUCUCCGGCACCCCAAGAAAAAGCUCAGGAGCCUCAAGCGCCAAUUCCAGAGCCCCAAAUUGCAGCUGAAGCACCUCUGGAAGAAGUGAUCCGAAGGCCAAUGCUGCCUCAGCCCCCAAUCGAAGGAAACCUGGAUUGCCGAACUCGGGCAUUCCAUUCUGAGCUUUGCUUCGAUUUAACAGCAUUCAGAGUGAGGCCAGAGCUUGCCCAAUCCUUCCAACUGCUGAGGAGAUAUCAUAUGGAGCAUCUGCUAGCUCCAAGGGAUUUUUUCUAUCCCCGGGUAGUCACGGAUUUCUACCAAACCAUGACAACCAAAGAAGUAAGAAAUCCAACUCUGAUUCAUUUCAUAAUUGAUGGAAGGCAUGGUAUUUUGGGAGCAAGACAUAUUGCUGAAGCCCUGCAAAUUCCUUUUGAGCCAACUCAAUUCGACAAUUUUAAAGCUUGGACAAAUCCUACUGAGUUAGAGAUGGUUAGCACACUAACCAGAGGAGCUGCAAAUCGAUCGCAUUUGUUGAGGGGGGAGCUACCUCCAGUUAUGUUUUUGAUUGAUGCCUUUUUGAGGCAUAAUAUCUAUCCCCUGCAGCAUUGGACCCAAAGAAGGGGAAUUCUCCUAGAAGCCUUGUACAAAAUGUCUGAAGGAUUCUUCUUUGGGCCUCAUCAUCUGAUCAUGGCAGCCCUUCUAUACUUUGAGGAGAAGGUUCACAAGAAGAAGCUUCAAAGAGCAGAUUGCAUUCCACUCCUCUUCCCAAGGCUGCUAUGCCAAGUUUUGGAGCAUCUCGGAUACCCCUCUGAGCCUCAGCAGGAAAGAAAGAGAAUAUGCCGUGAGCCUUUUACCCUUGAUAAAUGGAAUAAUAUGACGGCCUACAAAAUUGAUCAGCCUGGGCAGCCUCAGCCAGCAGCAAGGAGAGUCUCCCCAAGACAUAUACCUGAAGGUAUAACACUUGCUACUCCUGCCAUCCCUCGAGCUCCACCAGCUGCACCUGCUCCAUCACAGCCAUCCACAUCAGCUGAGCCGAGGAUGGCCAUCCCUAUAUCCGAAUAUCGAGAGCUGUGCCGUGCAUUGGAGACUCUUACAGCUUCUCAGAGCAAUCUUGCUCAGGAGUUGGCAGCCAUUAAAGCAUGCCAGGAGCAGAUGUUAGCCUCUCAGACUCAACAAGCUGCCAUCCUAAGGCAGCUUCAAGUCCAUUUCGAUCUGCCACAAGCUGUAGAGCCCUCUAUUCCUACUCCACCAGAGCCACACUCUCAGCCUUCAGAGUCUCAUCCUCCAGAACCCGAAGCACCAGCUGAUCCACCUACUGAGGAGGCAGAUCCUUCUGCCUAGCACCAUCACCCCCCUCAUCAGACAUUAUAUAUAUAUUUGCUGUUUAUGUUUUUAUGCAUGUUUGUUUUGUUUUAGUUGAAAAGAAAUCCCAGUAUUUUGGUACUAUAUAUGGGAUUCCUUGUGUUACUUGUCUUUAGUAUUGUAAUCACAUGAACUCAAAGUAAUACAAGUUGACUAUUUCUUGUUAAAAGUUAGCAUUAAAGUUUCCUUAUUUCCUUUUCUCACAUAUUCUAUUCUUUUUGAAACAUGUGGUUUUCCCCAAUCAAUAUUCGAAUUUGAUAUCAGCAUGGAGGUACCACUUCCUCCCUUUUAUUACAGUCACUCAAAUCACAUUGAGGACAAUGCUCAGUUCGGUUGGGGGGUAUGAGGAAGGAAGUAUUCUAAACCUUUUUGGUAUUGCAAUUAUAUUGGUUAAUUAGUUGUAGAUUUUACUUUUUACUAGUGUUACUCUAUUCUCCAUGAAUUUUGAGGAAAAAUUUUCAAAUUAAACCAAGAGAAAUUGAACUGUUGUUUUUCACUUGACUUAGAGUAUGGAUUAUGCUUACUAAAGUGGUUCAAUUGUUGAAACUUCUACUGAAAUUGAAUUGAGUUCUUCCACUUUAAGCUAUCCACACACUGUGCACAUUAGUUUCCGAUUAUAAGAUGAAAAGCUAUUUCCCUCUUGACUUAGUAUAUUUUUGGGACUUGGUAUAUUUGACCUCAUUUGAUAAAAAUUGAAACACCCUGCAAAAGGCCAAUGAGCCUUUGAAAUAAAGAAAGUUGUUUGCUUGCCUUGAAACCCGAGCAAGGUCUGAGGGGUAUAUGGUGAAAAUCUUUAAAGCCUGGUGCCCUAAGCCUUAAUUGGUUGGGAGUCACCGACCUCAAUGCUCGUUACAAGGGUGAAUAGGUAGAGUUAGCAUAUGGUAGAUGCUUGGGUAUUAGAAAUUCAUUCUUAAAAGUCCGGGGAAAAAUCCGAGGAGUUAGUGGUUGAAAGAUCCUUAAAACUUGGUGCCCUAAACCUUAAUUGGUUGGGAGUCAUCGAUGGACCCCCAUUACAUGGACAAGUCAGAAAGAGUACCCCAUAAAGCUACCUUAAAAAAAAAAAAAAAAAAAAAAAAAAAAAAAAAGAUGAAAGUGUGUUCUUUUCUUAUUGAUUUUGGUCAGUUUGCUAAAGUGUUGAAAAGAGAUAGGUUGGGGGGUGAGAUUAGUAGCAUAUUAUUCUCGGAACCUAAGGAACCAAUACACAUAGAUUUUUGUGGAAGAUUGAAGUUUAGUUCUUAGAAAAUGAAAUGAUUUUAAAACUUCAGUUUGCAUAAUGCACUCCCUUGAUUGACAGUGUUUAGCAUAGGUGUUAUGACUCUUGUUGAGAUUUGGGUUUGUAUUUCUUUAAUGAUUCAUGUGAGAAAUAGAUCAUCAUGCCACUUGAGAAUUAUUUUCCUUUUAGCAUGAUGUUGUAAAUUUUAGAUUAGUUUGCUAUUUAUUUUUUAUUUUCUCUCCUAUAUUGCUAAGGGACUAGCAAUAUGUCGGUUGGGGGGAGUGAUUACUACUCAAAAAGUGCUAUUUGAUAGCCUUUAAUUAAUCCUUUUUAACACUUUUGAGUAGUAGUUUAGGCCUUUUAACUCAAUUGGCAUGUUAAGGAUCCUUUAAAGCAAUUUUGAUCACUUUGUGCAAGUUUUGGUGUUUUUGUUAGUAUUUUGAUCACCAAAGCAAGUCAAGAAUGAGGAGAACUAUGAGGAAUCAUGGGCAAAGCUUAGAAUUCAAUUGCCAAGAGUGAAUCCGGAUUGCAAGGAGAAAAAGCAAAGAGAAUCUGUCAUGAAGCCUAUUCUUGAUGACAGUCGUAGCAGCCACUUUUGGAGCACUUUCUGAAGUCCAAAUGAUGCAAGCUAUAUACCAUUUCAAAGCUCAGGAAGUCAACAAUCCAAUGCUUCAAACGGUGCGCGAUUCGGAGUUGAAACGAAGAAGUUGCAGCCAUUACAAGCCAGUCACUCUAAAGUGUUGCGGAAUCAGCCUUUUGUUGCGAGAAUUUCGCAGCACUUUUGUACAGUAAGGUGUUUCUCCUUCUGACGAUGCACGAACCAUGCCGCGAGAGGGAAGCUAGGAACUUCAAGAUGGAAGCCAACUUUGCAGCCUGGUGAAGAUAGCUUGGUCUUGCGAAAUAAUUUCGCAGCCCUCUUGGGUGUCUGCGAAAUUUCGCAGGCACCACUUUUUUCCUGCGAAAUGGCUCCGGAAGCCUCCCGAAGCUUGCUACCGACAUUGGGAGAUAUUUUCCAUUAGAUUUUUGUUGUCUAAAUUCCAAAAUACUCCUUGUAAACCACCAAUUACAUGAUUCCUUAGUUUUUAAGUUAGUAAAAAGACCAAAUAUCUAUGUAAUAAUUAGUUUUAUAUUAGUUUGCUAUAAAUACCUCUCGGGAGCAUGUUCUCAGAGAGGAGUUCCUUCUGUAACCAUUUUGGUAAGCAAGUAAAGUCUUUUCUUUCUACUGCCUUACCUUCUCACUUUGUAUUUUCAUUUUAUUUCUAAGUUAUGAAUUCUCUGAGGAGCUUUCCCCAGAGAAUGAGUAACUAAACCUCCAAUUCCUUGGAGCUAAGGUUGCCGGGGAAGGUUCCAAGUGCAAGAAUGCAAAGCUCUGUGGUUUUAGCUAGUAAUGAAGAGGAAGUGAAAUCCUUUAGUGAUUUCAAUGUUUUUAGUUAACUUAAAACACCUUGGAGUCACCUGGGCCAACACUUGGUAAGGCAAGUGAUUUCCAACCGUGGAAAUGCACUAGUUUACCCCUUGCGAGCCUCUGGUAGGUGACUUCAAGGUAGGAUUUUCUGGAAUUACCAACACUUGGUAAGCUUUUGGACUCCUAGGAGACAUCCAUUAGUUAUCUCUUGCGAGUUUGUGAAGGGGAAUCCAAGGUUAAAGAUCACCUUGAAUGGUAAGUGCUCGUGAGAGGCAUGAACCAUUGCAAGUUGUAUCAGUGAGAGAAUUAAAGUGAAAUCUAAUUGAAGGAGUCUCUGUACAUCACCGGUUAGAGAAUUGACUAUAAGUUGAAUCUCUAAUGCGAGGAAAUGAACCAUCUGACCGGAGCUAUGUCUUUUGCAUGAGGAACCACCCCAGUGAACCUAAAUCUCCAAGGAAUGCUUUUCUUCCUAAAUUAUUCCAAACUUCUGUUAAGUUAGUUAGUUUAAGUCUAAACCUUUACCAAUCAAACUUUGUGUUUUAUUCCUUAAGCUAACCGUGAAAUGAAACAAAACCAAUUCACUUGGAAUUGGUAUCCUUGAUUGCUUGCAAAUCAUUCCCAGUGAACGAUCCUUAGAGCCACUAUACUAUAGUAGCUUUGUAUUUGCUACCCUAGUGUAUGGUGUUAUAGGUAUAAAUUUUGUUGAUCACUUCCUCAAUCAAGGAACACCAGCUGAACACAAAUCAGCUGAGACACCAAUUGGGCAUGAGUCAGUGCGUUAGAGGAUCAAGAAGAAGAAAAAGAAGGAACUGUUGGAAUUAGUAUGAGUGUGAAGAGAAAAGUAUAUAAAUAAGGGGAAGUAAAAGCAAAGUUCAAAAAGCUAUAUUUUUUUAUUGUUGGUGUAUGGUUGCAUGAUUAUCCCUAUAAAUAAUAGGAGUUUUUUGGUAUUCUACUAGUAGUUGAAGCAUAAUUUCAUAAAUUAAUAUUUAGAGCGGGGUGGGGUGAGUUGUGACAAAAUUCAUACCCGUCCCAAACCUUGGUUCAGAUUUUUAAAAUAUUCUCAAACUUAUCAUAUACCCAACUUUUAUAUUUCAUACUUGUCCUAAUAGAGGCACGUUAGGCCGGGUUACUUGAGUAACCUACAUAAUUGUCAUCCCUAGUUGAAAUACACUUUUUGGCAGUGGCCACCAACUGAGCUAGAAGCUUGAUUGAUUGACCUACAAGAUUAGUUCUCAUCAUUUUAAAAAAAGUUCUGGCUUUGGUUGUGAGUGCAAUUGAAUCUAAACUGGCAUUUGCUUAAUGCAUCUACUUCAAUCCUAAACUUCUUACUUCUUAAGCCUCAAUUGUUGUUAGGAUUUUGGAAAACCCAUUUCCUUAAAUUGUAAAUUUAAGAUAAAAUAAAAUAAAAGUGAGACAUUUCUUGAUUGAAUAUUGUUAAAGGUCCCUUGGCAUUAAGACUUGGUUGAAGCCUUGGAAGAUUAGUGGAACUCUCAACAUGUGUUUGAAUCUUGAGGAGAGUGGAUGUAAGCCAAAAUUUUGUCAAACCAUUAUACAAAUUGAGUUUGAAUCCUCAUUUCUUGAUUUCUUAUUUAUUUGCUUUUUCUUAUUAUUACUUGAAUUGUCAUUUGCAUUCAUUAAUGUUAAAAUUGGUUAUAAUUAACCAACACUAAUUCUCUUUCCCCUUCCCUUUCUUGGGUGUAAACCUAGGUUGGAUUAACUAGAUAAAUCUAUUAAGAUGGUAAAAGAAUAAUUAUUCUUAACAUACAUAAGAUCAUCUUCAAUCAAAUGACUCAUUGGCUAAUAUGUUGAAUUUGCUUAUUACUUGCAACUCAAAAUUGUGUUCUAGUUGUGUCAAGUCCCCAGUGUAUGGACAUUAAAUUUGUAGUACGUGAUGAGUAAUUAGAUGGUCCAACUCCAAGAAAGUGAUUGAAAAGUAGUUCAAGAAAGGUGCAAAAGGGAAUUGUUUUGGUAUUUUCGUUUUUAUUCUUGAAGGUGGCAGAGCUAAAAUUUGAGAAAUCAAGCAAAACAUACUGAAAUUACAUUGAAAGAAAGAAGAUGGGAGUUAAUGUCUUGCAGUACAUGAUAAGGACUUCAUGCAUGUAGUGUGACCCAUGUCUUGGACUGAUGCCAACUCACGGUUACACUUAUACCCUUGGUUCUCUCUUUACUACCUUGGCUAACCUAGAUCAGGCUAUGAGAUAGGCUCCUCACCACACCAUUACUUGCCCAUUAAUUAGAGACAUUUUCAAGCAAUGAGGUAACAUGGUGACACCAAGAGGGUCUAUUCCUCGCCCGGAACAAGUCUAGACUUGGUCUCAAAAAAAUGGAGAAAAAUGAGGUGUCGUUAUGUAGAAAUACAACAACCAUGCCUUCCUCAUUACUUAGAUUCAGAAUGUGAAGGUGAAAUUGAGAAACAGAAACUCUUGAAACCAAAAUGAAAAUUGAUACUUUUACGAAGAAUUACAACAACAUUAGAGGAAGACUACAUUCUUCCUCUUUAUUCCUACAUUUCUACACUACUUCUACUCCACUCCAUAUUUCUACAUACAUCUUUAAUCAGUCUUCCCUCCUUUAUAUAGAGCCAUCUUCACACAAAUUUCGCAAGGUAGAAAAGAGGAAUGAAACUUGGAGCAAGGUUCGACUACUGGUUGUAGCUUGUCAAGGCUGGAAGUGAACUUUUCUUGGCUUUCUGGGCAUGGGUAGUAACUUGUGGGUUCCUGUUUGGCAUAAAAAUGGCUAGAACAUGUGGCACUAUCUUGUUGGAUGAUGUGUCAAGCAUGUGGCAGCCAUCUAGUGGCGAUUAUGUCAAUUUUGGGAUGGAGAGUUGGCAUCCAAUUGCAAAGAAAUAUGACGUCUACCAACAUGCAAUGUAAACCUAUGUAGAUCAUAUGAAGAUAGAGAGGAAAAAUAUAGAAAUGGAUAUAUACCUAGAACUAGCUUUUUAUUAAAUGAAACGGAGAGACAACAAUGAAGGAAAAUAAAAUUUUUUGGCUUAUAUCAAAGAGUUCACAUUGUGUUACCCUAGGUUUUCUUAAAACUUACUUUUAUGAUAACAAAAAAGAAAAAACCAUUAUUGUUUAAUCCUUUGUUUUAAACGCAUGUAAGGUGUAAUUAAGUUAGUUCAAUGCAUUAAUUUAAGAAACUUGACCUAUCAAAAGUACAAAAUUAGAUGAAAUCCAUUUCAAUGGUUAAAAUGAUCAAAAUCAAACUUUUUCUAAGUAUUUUUUAAAAGCAUCAAUAGUGAAAGACAAUUUUAUAUUUAGUCGGAGUUUGGACAAAACUGAAAAACACACAAAAUCCAAGCGACCAUCUCUAGCUUGGAUGGUCGCUUGAUCCCACCUAGAGAUGUGCAUGAGUAAAAGGAUUUGAAAAUGGAAAUUGACUAUGUAGUCGAUCAAUUAACUUUGCAACAUCAUAUGCAAUCCUAAUUGCUAGUCAUCUAAUCAAUUAGGUAGUCAAUCAACAGGCCAAAAAUAUGUUUAUAAUGACUAUUUUGUACAAAAACCACCUGUAUAGUUAAAUAUAAUGCAUUUCAUUUAUAAAUCUUCUAAUUCUUGAAUAACGAUCCUAUCAUCCUUUGAAAGUUUUUAUUACACUUUUUUUACUUUUGUUCUAAAACUUACACAUCACCCUUAAUUGUACCAUGAGAACCUAGCUAUUUUUUAUUUUUUUUUUUGUAAUUCAUCAAAGUUAGCUUUUGUAUUCAUUGUUGUAUUAUUUUUAGUAUAACUUAGAAAGCUAGUGUUUUCAAGUGAGUAAAAUUAACUUGUAAAUAUUGUAAAGAUUCAUCGACAUGUAUCUUAAACUAAGUGUACAAGUUAAAACAUUUGCUAGUAGAUUUUCUCAAAAUUUAGAAUAGAGCUUGAGACUAUUGAAAUAGGUGGGGUUGCACCAAACCACAUCACAUCGUUGUUUGCACCUUUUUUCACUCUCUUUUACUUAGUUGCUCUAUAUUUGUUGUCUAGUAAUAUCCUAUAGGCUUGAUGGGUUAGGGAGCAUCCCUUUGUGAAAAAAUUUUAUUCAAUCCUUAGUUGUAUCACGCAUAUAUAAAAUGCCUCAUUGUUUUAAUGGUAUUCAGUCGUGGCAUCACAGAUAUGGGCAUCUAAAUUUUAAAAGUUUGAAACUUUUAUCUAAAGAAAAUAUGGUGCUUUGCCUUUUUGUAAAGCAUGUUGAUGAAAUCCAUGAGAAUUGUGUACUUGGGAAGCAACACCGAGAUGACUUUUUUUUUUUUUUUAUAAUAUUGUUUGUCCAAAUUCCCUACAAAUUAGGCCACCAGAUGUUCAUAAUUCUCCCUUCUUGAAUUUGAAAACUCGGACAAUUGGACAAUGCGACACCUAAGUCCGGUUUCUAAAUGCUAAAGUGAAAGGGUAGGUAUGGACCAUUGAAAUGUGAUCACAACUUUUCUCUGUAGCCAUGUUGUCUCUUUUUUCUUUUGCAUGAUUUUCUUACCUUAACAGAAUCAUAGACUUGUUUAGUCUCUAAAUGGGAUUAAUUUCAUCCAGCUUUAAGCUACUAUAUUAUAUCUAGGUGGAGGACUUUUAAGAGUGCAACCGACAUAGAGCACAUGGAAGUGGGUAUAUGGGACAUGAAAUUUCUUCUUAUAAAGAUUGCAUGAUUUUUAUAUUAGAGUUGUUGAGGCGCUAUGUAUUUAGCUUGUUUUGCAGUUAAAUUAAUUGGAUAAGUAGACAUUGGCGUUUCUAAAUCUACUGUGAAGUGCUUCAUGUACGUGUGAAGUAUUAGAAAUUUCUUUCUUGGCAACUUGUUUUUCUUUGCGGUCUACUGAUAGGUUUGACUAAAAUUAUAUUCCCUGUCAUGCUAAUUAAUUUUCACGUGCAUGCUCAAAAGAAAAGUAUGACCUUAGUGCACCAAAAUCACUUUGAUUAAUUUGUGAUAGGUUUUUGUGCAUCAUGACAUUAGCCUUAUUCAUUUAGAUAAUGUUUAGUUUUUAGAAAGUAUUAAGAAAAGGAAAAUAAAUAUUAAGAAAAAUAUUCUUAUAUUUGAUUGUAUUAUGAAAAAUAUCAUAAAAAAAUCAAAUAUAAUUUAAAUUAAUUAAUAAUUUAUACAUUUUCAAAUUAUUUAAUCUUUAUAUUGAAGAUAUAAUAUAAAUGAAAUGAGUUUUAAGUAUUAUAUAAAAGUGAUUUAUUGAUCUUACAUAUAUAUAUUUCUUUUUUUUUUCCUUCUAUUUUUUCUCUUUAUUUUAUUUUCCUUAUGUUUUCCUCAACAUUUUCCGGAACCAAACAUAGCCUUAGGAAAUCCACAAUUACCUUCAACUGAGUAGAUUCUGUUGUUUUAGCAAUGUUAGGCUGCUAACUUGUGUUGGUACGAACCUAUUAAGCCUAAAGAUGUAAUUAGUUAGGAUAUUCUUUUCCCUCUAGUCUUGUAGCUCCACGUGUACAGUUGGUUAGGACCUCAUUGUAUAUAAUGCUUGCCCUGUUAUUGUAGAAGACAACAAAGAUAAAUAAUAUUAACAUUUUUCCUCUCAUCUCUCUCUGUUUCCCUCUGUUUUCAUCUCCUCUCUCAUCUUGGUAUCAGAGCCUCCAUGGCUUCUUUCAAAGAAACCUCCGAAUCACCUUCUGCUAGCAUUGUUAAUGUGCAAAACCCAUUAUCUCAAUCAAACAACCUUCCUUCACCAGUAGCCACACCCUCUUUUUCUUUCUCGUCUAUGAAUCAACCUCUCACAGUGAAGCUGGAUAAUGGGAACUACCUCAUAUGGAAGAAUUAGCUUCUAAAUGUCAUCAUUGCUAACGGACUCGAUGAUUUCAUUGACGGAUCUCGACCCUGCCCUCCUCGAUUUCUCGAUCUGCAACAACAAACCCUCAAUCCAGAGUACUCAGCUUGGCAGAGAUACAAUCGACUUCUGAUGAGUUGGCUGUACGCAUCCUUGUCCAAAGAUAUAAUGGCUCAGAUUGUUGGGUAUUCAACAGCUAUGGAGAUUUGGAAUGCCCUUAAUCAGAUUUACUCUGCCUCUUCUAUGGCGCGGUUUACUGAGCUUCGCACCAAGCUUCAAACGCUCAAGAAAGAUGGACUCUCAGUUGGUGAAUAUAUUCAAAGGCUCAAAUCCAUUUGCAAUAGUCUUGCAGCAAUAGGAGAACCAGUUUCUGAGAAAGACCAUCUUAUCUAUUUGUUCAAUGGAUUAGAUUGUGAGUAUUAUUCUUUUGUUACCUCCAUUCAAAAUCGAUCUGACCAACCAACUAUUGACAAAAUCCAUAGCCUAUUGCUUAGCUAUGACUUCCGGCUUGAACAACAAAACUCUGUUUCUCUCCAUUCUGCCCAAGUCCAUAUGGCUCAUCUGAACAAGAAACCUUAUAAAUCAACUCCUCAACCUACAUUCAAUCAUAUUCACAUUCAACCUAGAUACUCUUCUCCACCUUUUAAGCCAACCACUAGUCAAUAUCAACCCAACAUUUUGGGCAAACCACAACCACAACCAUGACAGCCUCAACCUCAAUGGAAACCACAUUUUUCAAUCUAAAAUCAAAAGCCUCAGCGCCAAAUUUGUGGUAAAUUUGGACACACUGCUCUUAUUUGCUUCCAUCACACAAAUUUGAACUAUUCACCCCAACCUUCUCCUAAAUCUUUCAAUACUGUUCUCACCACAAAUUCCCAGCUCCCUAAUCCUCCAAAAUUUUCUUACCCUACAAUGGCUCAUCCUGCUGCUACGCAUAACACGGUUCCCGAUACAAAUUGGUACAUGGACUCAGGUGCUACACAUCACUUUACUCUGGACAUCAACGUGCUUGACACUGUGACACCAUUUAGUGGUUCAGAACAGGUGACAGUUGGGAAUGGUAAGCAACUCUGUAUCUCACAUCUUGGUACUGCAAAACUACCAUCUUCGUAUUCUCCUCCUGUUCUACAUCAGGUAUAUCACACUCCAAAAAUUUCAAAUAAUCUUAUUAGUGUUAAAAAAUUGUGUUCUGAUAAUAAAGUUUUUGUUGAAUUUUAUGCCACUCAUUUUCUUGUCAAGGAUCAGGUUUCGAAGAGAGUUCUCCUUUAGGGUCAACUUGAUAAUGGCUUAUACAAAGUUCAGUCGUCAUGCUCUCCUUCUGCUGUUUCCUUUCCUCCUCAAGUUUUCAUAGCCAACAUCAAGUAUCCAAAUCUGUGGCACAAGAGACUAGGCCACCCAGCUUUAUCUGUUGUUAAUCAAAUCUUGGAUUCUUGUAACAUUGCUCGAACACAGAAAAUUUGUUUUAAUUUUUUAAAUUCUUGUCAAUUAGCAAAGAGCCACAGGCUUCCUUUUUCUCUGUCUCCAUCCAUUGCAGAAAAACCUUUUGAGUUAAUUCAUACAGACCUAUGGGGUCUUUCGCUCGUUCGCUCUAUUUCUGGUGCUCUUUAUUUUUUACUUUUCAUUGAUGAUCAUACUCGUUUUACUUGGUUUUAUUUGCUCAAAACAAAAGAUGAAGCAUAUCCUACUUUUCUCAAGUUUCAAGCUCUCAUUGAAAAUCAAUUUAAUACCAAGAUUAAGGCUGUCCAAUCUGAUUGGGGAGGUGAGUUUCGAUCUCUCUCCAUACCGUUUUCAAAUAUGGGCAUUGUCUAUUGUUUAUCGUGUCCAUACACCUCACAACAGAAUGGGCGAGUUGAGCGAAAAAAUCGCCAUGCGAUUGUCCUUUCUUGCUUGCUCUAUGCCCUUAUCUUAUUGGCCUUAUGCCUUUCAAACUGCCACUUACCUUAUUAAUCGUCUCUCUACCCCUGUGCUGCAUCAUCAAUCCUCUUACUUCGCACUCUAUCACAAACUCCCAACUUAUACUCAUCUUAAGGUCUUUGGUUCCUCUUGUUUUCCGUAUUUGCACCCUUAUAAUACCCAUAAACUCCAAUACAGGUCACUAGAGUGUGCUUUUCUUGGUUACAGUUCACACCACAAAGGUUAUCUAUGUCUUGACAUUCAUUCUAGCAGGGUGUAUAUUUCUCGCCAUGUGAUUUUUAAUGAAGAUUCUUUUCCAUUCAAGAAUUUGAAAUCUUCUCUCUCUCAGUCUAUUUCUUCUUCCUCUUCUUUAUAAGUUCCUCUGUUCAUUCUCUUGCCUCCCCUUUCCCCAUCUCCUCUUAUUUCUUCAUCUAUACCUCAUUCUUUUCCCUCUUCUUCUUCUACCUCUAGUACUUGUUCCCCUCUCGUUGCUCCUACCUCUCUUCCUUCCUCUUCACACUCUGUGUCUCCAUCUAUUCCACCUCCUUCUCCACCUUCUCCGAGUGUGGACCUGCUUGCACCUUGUGUGAAUACAAAUUUACAUACUUCUUCUCGCACUCACAAUAUUCAUCCUAUGGUGACUAGAUCUAAGGUUUGUAUCUAUAAACCUAAGUUGUUGUUGAGUGUCUCCAUAGGUUCUCUCACUAAGCCUACUUCCUUUCUUCAAGCUAUUAAAGAUCCUUCAUGGAAGCAAUCCAUGGAAUUCGAGUUUGCUACCCUUCAACACAACAAGACCUGGCAUUUGGUUCCUUCACCUUCCUCAGGCGAAGUAAUCGGUUGUAAAUGGGUCUAUAAGCUAAAGCUUCAGCCUGAUGGCUAAAUUGAGAGAUACAGCCUGCUUAGUAGCUAAGGGUAUCAUCAAAUUGAAGUAUGGACUACUUCGAAACAUUCAGCCUGAUNNNNNNNNNNNNNNNNNNNNNNNNNNNNNNNNNNNNNNNNNNNNNNNNNNNNNNNNNNNNNNNNNNNNNNNNNNNNNNNNNNNNNNNNNNNNNNNNNNNNAGCUUCAGCCUGAUGGCUAAAUUGAGAGAUACAAGGCCUGCUUAGUAGCUAAGGGUUAUCAUCAAAUUGAAGGUAUUGACUACUUCGAAACAUUCAGCCUGAUUGUCAAGCUUUCUACUAUCUGUAUUGUGCUCAGUCUUACUUUUUCCCAGAAUUGGUGUAUUAGACAGCUGGAUGUUCAUAAUGCCUUCUUACAUGGUGACUUAGCUAAAGACGUUUUCAUGGAACAACUGCCUGGAUUUGUUGAUCCUCUCUAUCCUACUCAUGUCUGCAAGUUGGAUAAGUCUCUCUACUGUCUUAAAUAGUCACCUCGGGCUUGGUAUACUAAGCUGAGUACUUCUCGCUACACUUGGGAUUUGUUACUUCUAAGAAUGACUCUUCCUUAUUUAUUUGUCAUUCGUCUCAUGGGUUACUUCUUGUUCUUGUCUAUGUGGAUGAUAUAAUCGUCAUUGGGAGCCACUCUCCUCAGGUUACUCACCUUAUCCAACAGUUGCAUCAUUAGCUUUCUUUAAAGGAUCUUGGUCCUUUACAUUAUUUUCUGGGCUUGGAGGUUCAUCACACCCCUACUGGUAUUCACCUCAGCCAAGCAAAGUAUAUCACUGAUCUCCUUACCCGGGCGGCUAUGUUGGAUGCCAAGCCAUGUCCCACUCCUAUGUCCUCCAACACAUAUCUCUCUUUUCAUGAUGGAGUGGCUCUUGAAAAUGGUUCAGAUUAUCGAAGUUUUGUUGGUGCCCUUUAGUAUUGUACCAUGACACGCCCAGAUAUAGCUUUUGCAAUAAAUAAAGUGUGUCAAUUCAUGCACCAUCCCUCUAAUGUUCACUGGCAGGCUAUAAAACGUAUUCUCCGGUACUUAAAGGGCACAUCUCAUUUUGGUCUCUUCCUACAGCCUUCCUAUGACUUCAACAUCACUUGCUAUACAAAUGCCGACUGGGCUUCCUGUCCUGAUGACAAGUGUAGCACCAGUGGCUACUGCCUCUUUCUUGCCUCUAAUCUGGUUUCUUGGUCAUCUUCCAAACAAAAAGUGGUCUCCCGCUCCAGCGCCGAAUCAGAGUACCGAGGGGUAGCAAAUGGGGCUGCUGAAAUUGCUUGGACUGAAUCUCUUCUUUGUGAACUUUCCAUUACUCCCCCUCCCCUCAUUCUCUGUGACAAUAUCAGUGCCACGUACUUAGCUGCCAAUCCUAUUUUGCAUGCCCGCACCAAACAUGUGGAAAUCGACUAUCACUUUGUCACGGAACGUGUUCUUCAAUGCUCUCUUUUUGUCCAGUUUACACCUUCUGAUGAUCAACUUGCUGAUUGCAUGACCAAGCCUCUCUCCACCCAACGUUUCAUCACUCUACGCUCCAAGCUCACUGUUCUCACUAGACCAAUGAGCUUGAGGGGGGAUGUUAAGCCUAAAGAUGUAAUUAGUUAGGAUAUUCUUUUCCCUCUAGUCUUGUAGCUCCACGUGUACAGUUGGUUAGGACCUCAUUGUAUAUAAUGCCUGCCCUGUUAUUGUAGAAGACAACAGAGAUAAAUAAUAUUAACAUUUUUCCUCUCAUCUCUCUCUCUGUUUCCCUCUGUUUUCAUCUCCUCUCUCAUCUGAACCAAAUGAUCCAUGUUAACCUUGGCUUGGUUUGAUUUGGCUCUAUCUUAGAGAGCUCAAGGAUCACGUCAACUCUGGUUUCUACUAUUCAGGUCCAUUCCCAUAUGAACUGGUUCAAAUUUGAGAAAAUGGUAACAGACCUUUAGUGAUGUUGGUUUGGAGCCAGUUGCCAAACCCGCCCUGAGCUUUACCACUAAUGUCAAGGGAGAAAGCCAUUUGAACAAAAACAAUAGCUUCAAGGGACUGAAUCGUGGAUGAAAUCUGAUCCACAUUUCUUCUCAUUUUGGAAACAAAUGAGAACUUAACUAAGAAGAUUCUACGGCCUCAUAGUGCUUUUCCUGAUCUAAGGUUGGUUCGUUUCCCAAACUGUGAGAUGCACGUGCCAGACUUCAGAACUCUCACGCUCAGGAGUGUAUCCACGUGGUGGACAUAAGAUGGUGGCUUAAGAUCUGGUGUCGGUGGCUUUACUUUACUAGGAGAGUAGUGUGUCUUCAUCUCAUUCACUGCCGGAGGGUGGCGUAAGCAGUGACGCUAAGGUGGGGCACAGUCAAUAUCAUUUGCAUUUGACCAUUAUAGUUUUCUCCCGGCUUUAAAGUAACCUUAUCGUGAUAAAGGAUUACUAGCACUAGUUCAGAUGAUAGUCAUGUUAAAUUCGGACCAUGUUUGUGUCACAUUAUCAGCAACCAUGUGUUUAUGGUUCAUGCUUUCUGCAACUAAAAUUGAUAUAUAACCAGGUGAACUUCAAUCUAAAUUCUGAAAGUACUCAUGUGAUAGAUGGUGCCCGUCUGCAGAGUCCAUCAAUUGAAAAAUGGAGUGAGUGUAUCUAUAAGAGGGAAGGCUUGGAAAAUGUUCAGUUUUCUGGGAAUUCAACAAGGAUCUAAAAUAGAUUGUUUUCUUUGCUGAUUUCAAUGGUUGAAAUUUGAGAAGAUUGUGUCCACAUAACACAACUAUUACUGGUCCUUCUGUUGCAAUUUAUCCUCUAAAGCUCUAGCAUGUCUUCCAAUUCCCACUUCCCUGUUACUCCAGGAAAGCUAUUUCUGUCAUUGUGAAGAAGAAAAGAGAAUGUACAUAUCGAUGCUUUUAAGUGACUGGAGCAUUUAUAUCAGGUGGUCUGCAGCCAUAUAUGCCACUUUGUGAAGAUUGGAACAGUCAAUCACUAGGCUAUAUAUUAGUGUGGCCCAGCCACUUUAAUCAAGGACAAGUCUUCAUACUUAAAGUCAAAUUCUGCCUUUAGUCUCAUUAUAAAUUUCUGUUUAAAUAUUAAGCAAACAUUUGUUUAAUGCGAUUAAGACAGUACUAACUCAAUACCUGUUCUAUUUUUGGAUGCAAAUGCUUGAUGGUUUCAUCAUUGGAUGGGAUAAAGGUGCAUUCAUGAUUAGGAAUACUAGUAGUUAUAUUUUAAUUCUCUUUUUUCUCAAUGAGACUUGUUGGCACAAUUUUGCUGUUGAGAAACCUACCUCUCCAUGGAAAAUAAGUUGUGAUUGAUAGUACUGGAUAUAUUCAAGAAAUCUAAAUAUAGAUAGCACAAAAUAUUAUCGACAUAAAUAGCAUUAACAGCGUACGUAUGUCUCAGUGCUCAUCAGCUAUAAGCAUGGGGCAAACACUUACUAUGAGCAACUUACGUCAAAAUUCCAGAAUAGGACAUAGAAGUGACAGAUAUAGAACAUUGCAUAUGAGUCACAAGAAAGGAAAUUACGGGUGCAUAGCAGCUCUUAUUUUACAUACUACUACUCAUACUGAUCAAAGUCACUCAGUUGGGAUGGGUGGGAGUAGGAGGUUUGUGGGGUGGCUUGUGCGGAGGAGUUGGCAGCUUCUUUCCAGGACCUGGUUGCUUCUCUGCUGGAGUUGAAGGAGGCUUAAUCUUCCGAGGUGGCUUGUAUGAGUCUUCAGCAUUCUCAGCUGGAGGGUGACCAGGGUUGUGACCAUAAUGUGGUGGCUUCUCUCCCUUAGGUGGUUUGCCAACUGGGGUUGGUGGCUUGUAUGAGUCUUCAGCAUUCUCAGCAGGAGGGUGACCAGGGUUGUGACCAUAAUGUGGUGGCUUCUCUCCCUUAGGUGGUUUGCCAACUGGGGUUGGUGGCUUGUGUUCUGGGAGUGGCUUCUCCCCCUUGGGAGGUUUUUCCAAUGGGGUUGGUUUGUGUUCAGGAGGUGGCUUCUCCACUGGAGGCUUGUGUUCAGGAGGUGGCUUCUCCACCGGAGGCUUGUGUUCAGGUGGUGGCUUCUCCACCGGAGGCUUAUGCUCUGGUGGUGGCUUCUCGAAUGGGGGAUGCUUAGGAUAAUCAGCAAGUGAGGGGGCGGUGAGAACCACCAGGCCAAGCAACACCACUAGCAAAUAUGUAGGAGACAUCUUUGGGUUUGGGCUCAGAUGGUGCAAAACUAGGAGAAUUGGCUAGCCUUUUAUAGCGGAUCGUACCCAAUAAUGAAAUGACACGUGUCAUUAUGACCCAUGUGUAAUGGGGUCGAUUUGGGUCCUACAGUGUUGAAAACUUCGACAUCCACUUUUGGCCUUUUGCUUUCUCUACAGCCGCCUUGCUUUUUCCCUCUUUCCUUUUGUUUUCCUCCUGCCCCAUUCUAUCAACUAAACACAAUUAUGUAGUUGUUUAAUUCUUAAAUGAGAUAUUAUCCGUCAAUCGUAUUAUAUUUUAUCAAGAGAGAACGGAGUGCAAUGUGGCUGUAAUUUUAUCGUUUAGUUUUAUCUCUUGGACCACUGCAUUUUUGUUAAGAGGUGCAAUAAUACACGUCUUUAUCUGCCAUUCAAUAUUUACAGUAAAGAGAGGGCACAAAACUCUUCACUUCGCACCAUAAUUAUUUUGUUUUCUGGACACCCCGGGGCCCUUUGGUUGGUUUGGGGGUCAGAAAGUGAACAUCAUAGGGGGUUUUUCCCUUAUGUGCAUUUGUAUCUGAUGGCUUUAACUCGCCUUGUUACUACAAAGAAACUGUCACAGAUAGGAACUUAUUCCAGGCUGAGUAUCUCCUCAUAGACCCUAUAAAAGAAGACAAGUCAUAAUGAACAUCUAACCUUUGUUCAAUUUGAUUCAAUGCCCCCAUUGUGUCCAUCUCACAAAUCUGAAUUAUUAUAUCCAUUGAAUACAUAAAUUAAUGAAGAAAAUAUGAAACCCAAGAUACAUCUCUGCACAACCUCAACCCUGGUUGCUAUGUUUCCCUUCUAUUCACAUGAUUUGAUGCUAAUUGCCAAACUUGCAACAAGCCCUGAGUUUGACACCUAGUAUCGAUGGGCGAAUUUAAAGUCUCCUCCAAACAUAUAUUCCACAGCUUGAAGCUCACAGAAGAUGUUACAGGCAGGGAAAAACCUUCAGAGUUCGCUACCAAAGAUAAUUAUUAAGGAGAUAUCACAAAGAGAAUUCCAAGGGGUCUGAAUCAAAGACAAAUUGGUCGUUCGUGGGGGUUCUUACUUUCUUUUGGGUAUAACUCACUGAGGGCACUGUCUUUGUUAUUUGCAUUUCACAUUUAGAGUUCUGUUCUGGAAACAUAUAAAAGGAGCAUCAUUUUGUUCUUGGGUAACCCAUAGUCGUGAGUGGGUCCAUUUGCAUGCUACUUAGUUGAAAAGUUGGACCAUUUGCUCCGACGCCUACCUCCCGGAUUCCAUGCUCGGAUAAAACAAGAAUAAAAAAAAUAUUUAUAAUUUACAAAUGGGGGAAAGAAAAAAAUGUCAACAACAAACCAGGAAAAAAGAGUAGUAAAAUUCAUGUCACAUGCUAGUGAGAGAAGGGGUUGUUACACUCACUCGAAGUUCUUUCCAAAAUAUCGCAUGGUAUUUUAUUUUAUGUGUCAGCGCAGUUGUGAAUGGAACGUGCAAAAGUCCAAAUUGGCGUUUUUCCUUUUCCCGUGUAGGAUGGCGACCUUUAAUAAAUAUUUAAAACAAAAAACGAAAAAAAGGAGGGAAAAGGGAUCAGAAAAGAUAAAACAAUGUGUACAAGAGCUCAAUUAGUUUGCAAAUUACUGUUUGGAUUUUGAUAGUAUUUUAUUUGUCCAUCUAUAUUUGAUGGAAAAGAGAAUUUAAGAUAUUUCUGAAACAAAAGCAUUAGUGUAAAACUAAAUUAAGGUAUAAUUAAGUUAGUUCAAUGCAUUAAUUUAAGAAACUUGAUCUAUCCAAAGUACAAAAUUAGAUGAAAUCCAUUUCAAUGGUUAAAAUGAUCAAAAUCAAACUUUUUCUAAGUAUUUUUUAAAAGCAUCAAUAUUAAAAGACAAUUUUAUAUUUAGUCGGAGUUUGGACAAAACCAAAAAGCACACAAAAUCCAAGCGACCAUCUCUAGCUUGGAUAGUCACUUGAUCCCACCUAGAGAUGUGCAUGAGUAAAAGGAUUUGAAAAUGGAAAUUGACUAAAUAUUUAGUUGAUCAAUUAAAUUUGCAAUGUCAUAUGCAAUCCUAAUAGCUAGUCAUCUAAUCAAUUAGGUAGUCAAUCAAGUGUUUGUAAUGACUAUUUUGUACAAAAAACCACAUGUAUAGUUAAAUAUAAUGCAUUUCAUUUAUAAAUCUUCUAAUUCUUGAAUAACGAUCCUAUCAUCCUUUGAAAAUUUUUAUUACACCUUUUUUACUUUUGUUCUAAAACUUACAUAUCACCCUUAAUUGUACCAUGAGAACCUAGCUAUUUUUUUUUUUUUUGUAAUUCAUCAAAGUUAGCUUUUGUAUUCAUUGUUGUAUUAUUUUUAGUAUAACUUAGAAAGCUAGUGUUUUCAAGUGAGUAAAAUUAACUUGUAAAUAUUGUAAAGAUUCAUUGAUAUGUAUCUUAAACUAAGUGUACAAAUUAAAACAUUUGCUAGUAGAUUUUCUCAAAAUUUAGAAUAGAGCUUGAGGCUAUUGAAAUAGGUGGGGUUACACCAAACCACAUCACAUCGUUGUUUGCACCUUUUUUCACUCUCUUUUACUUAGUUUCUCUAUAUUUGUUGUCUAGUAAUAUCCUAUAGGCUUGAUGGGUUAGGGAGCAUCCCUUUGUGAAAAAAUUUCAUUCAAUUCUUAGUUGUAUUACGCAUAUAUAAAAUGCCUCAUUGUUUUAAUGGUAUUCAGUCGUGGCAUCACAGAUAUGGGCAUCUAAAUUUUAAAAGUUUGAAACUUUUGUAAAGCAUGUUGAUAAAAUCCAUGAGAGUUGUGUACUUGGGAAGCAACAUCGAGGUGACUUUAUUUUUUUUUCCUUUUAUAAUGCCACACCUAAGUCCGGUUUCUAAAUGCUAAAGUGAAAGGGUAGGUAUGGACCAUUGAAAUGUGAUCACAACUUUUGGCCUUUUCCUUUCUCUGCAGCCAUGUUGUCUCUUUUUUCUUUUGCAUGAUUUUCUUACCAAAACAGAAUCAUAGACUUGUUUAGUCUCUAAGCUACUAUAUUAUAUCUCGGUGGACUUUUAAGAGUGCAACCGACAUAGAGCACAUGCAAGUGGGCAUAUGGGACAUGAAAUUUCUUCUUACAAAGAUUGCAUGAUUUUUAUAUUAGAGUUGUUCACGUGCAAUGUAUUUAGCUUGUUUUGCAGUUAAAUUAAUUGGAUAAGUAAACAUUGGCAUUUCUAAAUCGACUGUGAAGUGCUUCAUGUACGUGUAAAGUAUUAGAAAUUUCUUUCUUGGCAACUUGUUUUUUCCUUGCCAUCUACUGGUAGGUUUGACUAAAAUUAUAUUCCCUGUCAUGCUAAUUAAUUUUCAUGUGCAUGCUCAAAAGAAGAGUAUGACCUUAGUGCACCAAAAUCACUUUGAUUAAUUUGUGAUAGGUUUUUUUGCAUCAUUUAGAUAAUGUUUAGUUCUAAGAAAAAUUUAUAUAAAAAUGGUUUAUUUAUCUUACAUAUAUAUAUAUAUAUAUAUAUUUUUUUUUUUUUCAUUUUUUUUUCUUCUAUUUUAUUUAUUUAUUUUAUUUUCCUUAUGUUUUCCUCACAUUUUCCGGAACUAAACAUAGUCUUACGAAAUCAACAAUUGCCUUCAACUGAGUAGAUUCUGUUGUUUUAGCAAUGUUAGGCUGCUAACUUGUGGUGGUACGAACCAAAUGACCCAUGUUAAUCUUGGCUUGGUUUGAUUUGGCUCUAUCUCAGAGAGCUAAAGGAUCACGUCAACUCUGGUUUCUACUAUUCAGGUCCAUUCCCAGAUGAACUGGUUCAAAUUUGAGAAAAUGGUAACAGACCUUUAGUGAUGUUGGUUUGGAGCCAGUUGCCAAACCCGCCCUGAGCUUUACCACUAAUGUCAAGGGAGAAAGCCAUUUGAACAAAAACAAUAGCUUCAAGAGACUGAAUCGUGGAUGAAAUCUGAUCCACAUUUCUUCUCAUUUUGGGAAAAAAUGAGAACUUAACUACAAAGAUUCUACUGCCUCAUUCAUAGUGCUUUUCCUGAUCCAAGGUUGGUUCGUUUCCCAAAUUGUGAGGUGCACGUGCCACUCUCACGCUCAGGAGUGUAUCCACGUGGUGGACAUCAGAUGGUGGCUUAAUAUCUGGUGUCGGUGGCUUUACUUUACUAGGAGAGUAGUGUGUCUUCAUCUCAUUCACUGCCGGAGGGUGGCGUAAGCAGUGACGCUAAGGUGGGGCACAGUCAAUAUCAUUUGCAUUUGACCAUUAUAGUUUUCUCCCGGCUUGAAAGUAACCUUAUCGUGAUAAAGGAUUACUAGCACUAGUUCAGAUGACCGUCAUGUUAAUUCGGACCAUGUUUGUGUCACAUUAUCAGCAACCAUGUGUUUAUGGUUCAUGCUAUCUGCAACUAAACUUGAUAUAUAACCAGGUGAACUUCAAUCAAAAUUCUGGAAGUACUCUUGUGAUAGAUGGUGCCUGUCUGCAGAGUCCAUCAAUUGAAAAAUGGAGUGAGUGUAUCUAUAAGAGGGAAGGCUUGGCAAAUGUUCAGUUUUCUGGGAAUUCAACAAGGAUCUAAAAUAGAUUGUUUUCUUUGCCGACUUCAAUGGUUGAAAUUUGAGAAGAUUGUGUCCACAUAUCACAACUAUUACUGGUCCUUCUGUUGCAAUUUAUCCUGUAAGGCUCUAACAUGUCUUCCAAUUCCCACUUCCCUGUUACUCCAGGAAAGCUAUUUCUGUCAUUGUGAAGAAGAAAAGAGAAUGUACAUAUCGAUGCUUUUAAGUGACUGGAGCAUUCAUAUCAGGUGGUCUGCAGCCAUAUAUGCCACUUUGUGAAGGUUGGAACAGUCAAUCACUAGGCUAUAUAUUGGUGUGGCCCAGCCACUUCAAUCAAGGACAAGUCUUCAUACUUAAAGUCAAAUUCUGCCUUUAGUCUCAUUAUAAAUUGCUGUUUAAAUAUUAAGCAAACUUUUGUUUAAUGCGAUUAAGACAGUACUAACUCAAUACUUGUUCUAUUUUUGGAUGCAAAUGCUUGAUGGUUUCAUCAUUGGAUGGGAUAAAGGUGCAUUCAUGAUUAUGAAUACUUGUAGUUAUAUUUUCAUUCUCUUUUUUCUCAAUGAGACUUGUUGGCACAAUGUUGCUGUUCAGAAACCUACCUCUCCAUGGAAAAUAAGUUGCGAUUGAUAGUACUGGAUAUGUUCAAGAAAGCUAAAUAUAGAUAGCACAAAAUAUUAUCGAUAUAAAUAGCAUUAACAGCGUACGUAUGUCUCAAUGCUCAUCAGCUAUAAGCAUGGGACAAACACUUACUAUGAGCAACUUACGUCAAAAUUCCAGAAUAGGACAUAGAAGUGACAGAUCUAUAUAUAUAGAACACUGCAUAUGAGUCACAAGAAAGGAAAUUACGGGUGCAUAGCAGCUCUUAUUUUACAUACUACUACUCAUACUGAUCAAAGUCACUCAGUUGGGAUGGGUGGGAGUAGGAGGUUUGUGGGGUGGCUUGUGCGGAGGAGUUGGCAGCUUCUUUCCAGGACCUGGUUGCUUCUCUGCUGGAGUUGAAGGAGGCUUAAUCUUCCGAGGUGGCUUGUAUGAGUCUUCAGCAUUCUCAGCUGGAGGGUGACCAGGGUUGUGACCAUAAUGUGGUGGCUUCUCUCCCUUAGGUGGUUUGCCAACUGGGGUUGGUGGCUUGUAUGAGUCUUCAGCAUUCUCAGCAGGAGGGUGACCAGGGUUGUGACCAUAAUGUGGUGGCUUCUCUCCCUUAGGUGGUUUGCCAACUGGGGUUGGUGGCUUGUGUUCUGGGAGUGGCUUCUCCCCCUUGGGAGGUUUUUCCAAUGGGGUUGGUUUGUGUUCAGGAGGUGGCUUCUCCACUGGAGGCUUGUGUUCAGGAGGUGGCUUCUCCACCGGUGGCUUGUGUUCAGGAGGUGGCUUCUCCACCGGAGGCUUAUGCUCUGGUGGUGGCUUCUCCACCGGAGGCUUAUGCUCUGGUGGUGGCUUCUUGAAUGGGGGAUGCUGAGGGUAAUCAGCAAGUGAGGGGGCGGUGAGAACCACCAGGCCAAGCAACACCACUAGCAAAUAUGUAGGAGACAUCUUUGGGUUUGGGCUCAGAUGGUGCAAAACUAGGAGAAUUGGCUAGCCUUUUAUAGCGGAUCGUACUCAAUAAUGAAAUGACACGUGUCAUUAUGACCCAUGUGUAAUGGGGUCGAUUUGGGUCCUACAGUGUUGAAAACUUCGACAUCCAGUUUUGGCCUUUUGCUUUCUCUACAGCCGCCUUGCUUUUUCCCUCUUUCCUUUUGUUUUCCUCCUGCCCCAUUCUAUCAACUAAACACAAUUAUGUAGUUGUUUAAUUCUUAAAUGAGAUAUUAUCGGUCAAUCGUAUUAUAUUUUAUCAAGAGAGAACGGAGUGCAAUGCAGCUGUAAUUUUAUCGUUUACUUUUAUCUCUUGGACCACUGCAUUUUUGUUAAGAGGUGCAAUAAUACACGUCUUUAUCUGCCAUUCAAUGUUUACAGUAAAGAGAGGGCACAAAACUCUUCACUGCUCUGCAUGUGUCCCAAAAAUGCGAUUGGACAAAUUAUGAUUUGCAUGCUAAAAAGAGGCAAAUGAGGUUAAUUCGCACCAUAAUUAUUUGGUUUUCUGGACACCAUAAAAAGAUGUUAUACAGGCAGGGAAAAACCUUCAGAGUUAGCUACCAAAGAUAAUUAUCAAGCAGAUAUCACCAAGAGAAUUCCAUAGAGUCUGAAUCAAAGACAGAUUGCUCGCUCGUGGGGGUUCUUACUUUCUUUUGGGUAUAACUCACUGAGGUCACUGUCUUUUUUAUUUGCAUUUCACAGUUAGAGUUCUGCUCUGGAAGGUUUGUUCUGGAAACAUAUAAAAGGAGCAUCAUUUUGUUCUUGGGUAACCCAUAGUCGUGAGUGGGUCCAUUUGCAUGCUACUUAGUUGAAAAGUUGGACAAUUUGCUCCGACGCCUACCUCCUGGAUUCCAUGCUCGGUAAAACAAGAAUAAAAAAAAAUAUAUAAUUUACAAAUGGGGGAAAGAAAAAAUGUCGGAAAAAAUAGUAAAAUUCAUGUCACAUGCUAGUGAGAGAAGGGGUUGUUACACUCACUCGAAGUUCUUUUCAAAAUAUCGAAUGGUAUUUUACUUUAUGUGUCAGCGCAGUUGUGAAUGGAACGUGCAAAAGUCCAAAUUGGCGUUUUUAUUUUUCCCAUGUAGGAUGGUGACCUUUAAUAAAUAUUUAAAACAAAAGACGAAAAAAAAAAGGAGGGAAAAGGGAUCACAAAAGAUAAAAUAAUGUUUACAAAAGCUCAAUUAGUUUGCAAAUUACUGUUUGGAUUUUGAUAGUAUUUUAUUUGUCGUUCUAUAUUUGAUGUAAAAGAGAAUUUAAGAUAUUUCCGAAGCAAAAGCAUUAGUUUGCUCUGUGAUGUCCCACAUCGAAUAGGGGAGAAAGUUUCUGGCGCUAUAUAUGUAGAGGCUCCUCUUAACCAAGUAGAUGCGUUUUAAAACCAUGAGGGCCCCCUUAGGUCCAAAGCGGACAAUAUCUACAUGAUUGGGUGUAAGUCAUUACAAAUGGUAUCAGAGCCGAUCCCCGACCCCGGUGUGGGGGUUUGUUUGGCCCUGUAAGGGGUGUUUGUCUGUUUGACCCCACAAUCCCAUGGGACACAACGAGGACGUUGUGUCUGCAUGGGGGGGCGUUUGUGAUGUCCCACAUCGGAUAGGGGAGAAAGUUCCUAGUGCUAUAUAUGUAGAUGUUUCUCUUAACCAAGUAGAUGCAUUUUAAAAUUGUGAGGGCCUCUUUGGGCCCAAAGCGGACAAUAUCUACAUGGUUGAGUGUAAGUCAUUACAUGCUCCAUGUCAAUUUCAGCAUUUCUCAUAUGUUUCACACAUACACAGAAGAGCAUCGUUUUUUAAAGCAUGCAUUUAUGUUGGAUUAAUUUGGAUUUUGUGGGAACUGGGGCAAGGAUCACAUGGAAGAGAGGUUGACUUUUUUCAGUACUUCAAUGGUUGAAAUAUGUGAAGGCUUGAUUGAUACUAAAGCUUGAAAUUGCGACUCUGUCAUUUGUAAAAAAAUAUGACAGCUUCCAUGCUCUCGUUUGGUUGCAUUGUCCGGUCGAGAGGUGCAAAAAGCAUUCUCUCUCUUCUAAUAGUCUUUUCGUUUAAAUCAAGGGAUUUGCCUUCCCGGUCGAGGUCCAAUAGAGGGUAACGGUCACCUACUAAACAUUAAAUGCUCCAACAACUAGUGAACUGAUCGACCCCAGCUCGACUAGUUGAGGUUACUUUUUGGUUUUCUUGUCUCCCGAGGUUAGAAACCUAUAAAUAGAGAGCUUCACUUCAUUUAUGAGUAAGAGAACACCUAAAUUUAUUUGUUUACCUACUUGUUUUUGCCAUAAAAGCUCUCAUUUCUUUUCUUGGUGUAUUAAAUCUCCAUUUGCAUAUCCUUUAGUGCACCUUUGUGAUUCAUUCUAGCCUUGAGUUGUAUUUAAGCCUUUGUUGAGCUAGGUUGAGAGUUUCAUACUUGUUUAUUGAGUGUUAAAGCCUUCAAGUGAGUUAAAACUUGAAGAGAUUGUGUAAGAGCCCAUUGGAGUCGGAAUCCAAGUGUAAAGGUGAUUAAAAGCUUGGUUGAAGCUUCAAGUUAGUGGAACUCUCACUCGGUUAUGAGCUUGAGAAGAGUGGACAUAGACAAGGCAGUGUCGAACCACUAUAAAAUCUGAGUUUGAUUUCUCUAACCUUAUCUCUUUAUAUUUGCUUCUCUUGUGCUUAAAUUUUUUGUGUUUAAAAAGAAUUUUUAAAAACUCAAUUCACCCCCUUCUUGGGAGUUUUUCUCUUUUAAGAUCAGCUUUUAUUUUCUCAAUUGGUAUCAGAACUAUGCCUCUUGUUUAAGACUUAAUCGUCUAAGAGGAAAUGGCUAAUCCAUCAAGUUCAUCUCACAUUGAAAGUUUUGCAACCAAUAGACUUCUUUUUUUUUUUUUGCGGGAACUGAUUAUCCCUAUUGGAAAACUAAAAUGACUUGGUUUUUACAAUCAAUUGAUUUAGAUGUAUGAGAUGCCAUUGAAGAUGACCUAACUUUUCCUUCAAAACUAGUUGAUGGAGUCAUGGUUCCAAAACCUAAGCAAGAAUGGGAUGAGCGUGAUUGAAGAAAUUUUCAAUUAAAUGCUAAAGUCGUUUAUACUUUGCAAUGCUCUAUGGACAGAAAUGAAUAUAAUAGAAUAUGUCAAUGCAAAUCGGUUAAAGAAAUUUGGAGAUUGCUUGAAAUAACUCAUAAAGGAACAAAUCAAGUUAAAGAGUCAAAAAUCAAUUUACUUGUUCAUAGAUAUGAAUUGUUUUUUAUGAAAGAUAAUGAAACUAUUGUUAAGAUGAUCACUAGGUUCACCAACAUUGUUAAUGGUCUUAAAGCCUUGGGAAAGACCUACAAGGAAUCCGAAAACGUGAUGAAGAUCUUGAGGUCACUUCCAUCAAAGUGGCAUACCAAGGUCACCGCAAUUUAAGAAGCAAAAGACUUGAUCAAGCUACCUUUGGAGGAGUUCAUAGGGUCAUUGAUGACAUAUGAAAUCAAUUUGGCAAAGAAGUAACAAAAAGGUGAAGACAAAAAGAAGAAGAACAUAACUCUCAAAGCUACAACUAAGGAAGAAGAAGUUGAAGAAGAAAAACAAAUUGAAGAAGAUGAAGAUUUAGCCCUCAUCACAAGAAAGUUCAACAAAUUCAUGAGGGGUGAAAGGUUUAGAAGAAGAAGGUUCACUUCUAGAAGAGACUUUUCUAAAAAGGAAUCUUCAUCUAAUGGUGACAAAAAGAGAUGGGAAGAGAAAAGAGACUUGGUGUGUUUCAAGUGCAAGAAACCGGGACACAUUAAAUAUGAUUGUCCUCUCUACAAAAGUGAAGUCAAGAGGAAAAAGAAUAAGGCAAUGAUGGCCACUUAGAGUGAAAGUGAAGAUGAAUCAUCCGAAGAAGAAAAUGAGAAAGAAGUGGCAAACAUGUGUUUCAUGGCAAUAGAUGAACUUGAUGAGGUAAAAUCUAACCUUAGUGAUUAAGAUAUACAUGAUGCAUUUGAAGAAUUGUAUGAGGAUUUUUAAAAACUUAGUUUGAAAAAUAUUUCUCUUAAAAAGAAAGUUCAACAACUUGACAAAGAACUUAGAGAAGUAAAAGAAAAAUUUUCAAAUGUUAAAGUUUCUAAAACUCAUCUUGAAAAAGAAAAUGAGAUUCUAAGAAAGAAAAAUGAAUAGUUGAACUCCUCUCUUUCAAUCUUUUCUUCUAGACAAAAAUCUUUUGAAAUGAUUCUAACUAGCUAAAAAUGUGUUUUUGACAAACAAGGGUUAAGAUUUAAAUCUUCAAAAAAUCAAAAGUAUUUUAAAAACUAUUUUGUAAAGGAAUCCACAAGUGCAAGUCCUUCCACUACUUGCAACUUUUGUGGAAGAGAAUGGCACAUUAGUAGUACGCCCUUUAAGAAAUGGUUCUCAAAAGAAUUUAAAUGCAAAAACUAAAAAAGAUUUGGAUUGAGAAAUCCAAGGUCACUAACCCUCAAGGACCCAAAAAGAUAUAGGUACCUAAAUCAACUUGAGUUUUAUGUUGUAAGGUUCAAAGAAUGAUAAGUGGUUCUUAGAUAAUGGUUGCUCAAGACACAUGACCGGAGAUGAAUCCAAGUUUGCUUUUCUUAAAAAGAAAAAUGGAGGAUAUGUUACCUUUGGAGACAAUGCAAAAGAAAGGAUGAUUGGUCAAGGCAACAUUGGUAAUGGCACAUCCUCUCUCAUUGAAAGUGUUUUAUUAGUAGAUGGUUUCAAACAUAACCUUUUAAGCAUUAGUCAAUUUUGCGACAAAGGUUUUUAAGUGAUUUUUUAAGCAUCUCAUUGCAUCAUCAAGGAUAUUCAAAAUGAUAAAACCAUUUUCAUGGGCCAUAGAUGUGAUAAUGUUUAUGCUAUAAAUAUUUCAAAAUAUGAUGGCCAUGAUAGAUGUUUUUCAAGCAUGCAUGAUCAAAGUUGGUUGUGCCAUAGGAGAUUGAGACAUGCUAACAUAGACCUCAUUUCCCAACUCAACAAAGAUGAACUUGUUAGAGGCCUUCCCAAAAUAAUUUUUUAAAAAGAUAAAGUUUGUGAAGCUUGUCAAGUGGGAAAGUAAAUCAAAAACUCUUUUAAAAACAAAAACUUCAUUUCCACAUCUAGGCCACUUGAGUUGUUGCAUAUGGAUUUAUUUGGUCCCUCUAGGACACCAAGUCUUAGAGGAAAUUCUUAUGCAUAUGCUAUUGUGGACGACUUCUCUAGAUACACAUGAGUCUUGUUUUUUAGUCAAAAGAAUAAAGUUUUUUAUGAGUUUUCAAAGUUUUGCAAUAAGAUUCAAAAUGAAAAAGGUUUUUCAAUUACUUAUAUAAGAAGUGAUCAUGGGAGAGAAUUCGAAAAUAUUGAUUUUGAAGAGUAUUGCAAUGAGCAUGGAAUUGACCACAAUUUUUUGGCUCUUAGAACUCCUCAACAAAAUGGGGUAGUUGAAAGGAAAAAUAGAACUCUUCAAAAAAUGACAAGAACCAUACUAAAUGAAAACAACUUACCAAAAUAUUUUUAGGCCAAAACGGUUAACACUUCUUGUUAUGUUUUAAAUAGAGUAUUAUUGAGGCUCAUACUUAAGAAAACUCCCUAUGAGCUUUGGAAAAACAAAAAACCCAACAUUAGUUAUUCCAAAGUCUUUGGAUGCAAUAUUUUAUAAUAAACACCAAAGACAAUCUUGGAAAAUUUGAUGCAAAAUUGGAUGUUGGAAUUUUCCUUGGUUACUCAACUUCAAGUAAAGCUUUUCGAGUUUUAACAAAAGAACCAUGGUUGUAGAGGAGUCCAUCCAUGUUAUUUUUUAUGAAUCUCCAAGAAAGAGAGAGGAUUGAUGAUGAUUUAGGUUUGAAGACCUCUAUAGGAAGAUUGCAAAUCGAAGAUAGAAGACAACAAGAAGAAAAUGGAGAGAAUCCAAAGAAAGAAGGAUCACCAUUGGCACUACCCCCUCAUCAACAAGCGCAAGGUGAAUCAAGUCAAGAGCUUCCUAAAGAAUGGAAGUUUGUCAUCAAUCACCCACAAGAUCAAAUUAUAGGCAAUCCAUCUAGUGGGGUAAGAACUAGAUCCUCUCUUAGAAAUAUUUGCAAUAAUCUAGCUUUUAUCUCUCAAAUUGAGCCUAAAAAUAUAAAUGAUGUUUUAGAUGAUGAAAAUUGGAUAAUUGCAAUGCAAGAAGAGUUAAAUCCAUUUGAAAGAAGUGGAGUAUGGGAAUUAGUACCAAGACCUUCAAAUCAAAGUGUUAUUGGAACUAGAUGGAUCUUUAGAAAUAAAAUGGAUGAAAAUAGCAUAAUUGUUAGAAAUAAAGCAAGAUUGGUAGCCCAAGGUUUUAAUCAAGAAGAAAUGAUAGAUUAUGAAGAAACCUUUGCCCCCGUAGCUAGGUUGGAAGCCAUUAGGAUGCUACUUGCCUUUGCAUGUUUUAAAGACUUUGUUUUAUAUCAAAUGGAUGUGAAAAGUGCUUUUUUAAAUGGUUUUAUAAAUGAAGAAGUAUAUGUUGAACAACCACCCGGUUUUCAAAGUUUCAACUUUCCUAACCAUGUUUUUAAACUUAAAAAGACACUUUAUGGUUUGAAACAAGCACCUAGAUCAUGGUAUGAAAAAUUGAGUAAAUUUCUUUUGAAAAAAAUGUUUUAAAAUGGGAAAAAUUGACACAACUCUUUUUAUAAAAACCAAAGAAAAUGAUAUGCUCUUAGUUCAAAUAUAUAUUGAUGAUAUCAUUUUUGGUGCUACUAAUGUCUCUCUUUAUGAAGAAUUUUCUAAGUGCAUGCAUAGUGAGUUUGAAAUGAGCAUGAUAGGAGAACUCAACUUCUUCCUUGGACUUCAAAUCAAGCAACUAAAGGAAUGAACCUUCAUCAAUCAAGCAAAGUAUAUAAGAGAUCUUCUCAAAAGGUUCAACAUGGAAGAAGCCAAAACAAUGAAGACUCUAAUGAGCUCAUCCAUUAAGCUUGAUAAGGAUGAGAAAGGUAAAUCCAUUGACUCUAUUAUGUAUAGAGGCAUGAUAGGUUCUUUGCUCUAUUUGACCACUAGUAGACCUUACAUUAUGUAUAGUGUGUGUUUGUGUACUAGAUUUCAAUCUUGUCUUAAAAAAUCUCACUUAAGUGUCGUGAAAAGAAUCCUCAAAUAUUUGAAAGGGACAAUGGACAUAGGCUUAUGGUAUCCUAAGAGUGAUAACUUUGAAUUAAUUGGUUUUUUGGAUGCUGAUUUUGUCAGUUGUAGGGUUGAAAAAUAAAACACUAGUGGCACUUUUCAUUUCUUAAGACACUUACUUGUCUCAUGGCAUAAUAAGAAGCAAAAUUUGGUAGCUUUGUCAACAGCAGAAGCUAAAUACAUAGCAACUGGUUUAUGUUGUGCACAAAUCCUUUGGAUGAAAUAAACACUUAGUGAUUUUGAUUUAUCUUUUGAGCAUAUUCCUAUUAAAUGUGAUAAUAGUAGUGCCAUAAGUAUAUCAAAAAAUCUCGUGCAACACUCUAGGACUAAGCAUAUAGAGAUUAGACAUAAUUUUCUUAGAUAUCAUACACAAAAGGAUGAUAUAACACUUGAAUUUGUAAGCAUAAAAGACCAACUUGCCGAUAUCUUUACAAAACCUCUAAGAACAUUUUGUUGAUAUUAGAGGACAAUUAGGAGUGAUUUCUUUAUGAUCUAAUGUGAUGAAUUCUUGAUGAAUAUACUUUUUGAUUGCAUGAAUUUCAUGUCAUAUAUGCAUCAUAUAGAAAUAUACUUAGAUAAUGGUCAAAUUUCGACCAAAAAUCAAAAUUCCCAUGGCAUUAGGCAUAAAAAUUUUGGAAUUUCAACUGAAAAUGGUAGGAGGAGGAUCACAAAAUGAGAAAGUAUGCAAAAAUUGAAAAAUCAAAACGUUGACCAAGCGGUCAAUCGGACUAGACCGAUCGACUAGUUUGUCGAGAUUUAGGAUUUUUAAGAGACUCCAACGCUUCAAUUUUUGCACCGUUCUCCUCUAUUUCUUCACGGUUUCUCUGAUUUUGUCUUUUAGAGACUAAUUUGAGUGCGUUUUGGAUCAAUUGAAGCAUUUUGGAUUGGAUUUUAGGAAGAUUGAAAGUUAAGGUUUCGGAUUUGGGUCGCCUUCUCUUCCUCUCGCGUGUCACAAUCAGCUUUAGCAUUGUUCUCUUUCCAUUUUCACACACCUAGGGUUUCAGUUGUGAGCAUCUCUCUCUCUUUACCAACCACUACUCCCUUGCUUCUUCCAUAUGGCUCCUAGGCGAGAGUCCGCUACUUCUAGGGCACAAGGCAAGCACCCAACUGAGUCGUCUCAGUCAAAGGCACGUCGAAAAGUGAGAUUUGACAUUGCCUUGUUCAGUUCCAUGGAGGACUACCAACUAUACAAGCAACACUUUGCUUAGAGACGAGUAGUUCCCAAGAGAAAUAUUAAUUUUCCUCAACUUCAGCAUUUCGAAUUUAAGGGUCUAUUUACUAGGAUGGUUGGUUGUCUAUUGUCACAAUUUCGGAGCCGGUUUUCCUGACCUUAGUGCGAGUUUUUUACUCGAGGGCGACUUAUGGCAUGGGUGGCAUGAUCAUUUCUACUGUUGGAGGAGUUGAGAUCUGUCUGGACCCAGAGAGCAUCUGCCAUAUUUUCGAUAUUGCUCUGGUUGGACUCAAAGUAUACAAGUCCAAAAUGUGGCCCAUUGUGCCAGGAUUUGAGCUUAGAGAGGUCAUUCAGAGGAUUUGUGAACUUCCAGACGCCCAGGAGAUGGGCAAACCAUUGCCACACAGUUUGACGGUCAUCAACAGGGUGCUACACCAUAUAUUGUGCUCUAUCUUUCUACCACGAAGUGGACAUUGAGAUGAGGUCUCUUAUUAUGAGGCAUUCCUUAUUGACUCCAUUCUAACGGAGAGACGAAUUCAUCUACUAUGUCAUCAUUCACUAAGCCUCCUCACAGUGACAUACCACCUCAUCAGGCACCUCUUGCUCCUGACCAUGCUCCAUUGAUGGAUUUAUUUACUCAUAUUAGCUCUCUAGGCACUCGCAUGAAGGAGUUUGUUGUAGUUAGUGAUACAUGGUUCUACUCCAUAGAGGAUCGCAUGGAUCAGUAUCAGACUGGCUUCACGUCACAGUUUGAGUAUCUCCAAUAGAGGAUUGAGCAUAUUGAGGAUCACUUGAGCAUGAGAAGAUGAUGGCUUUUCUAUGCUCUGUGUUUCCACCUCCACCUCGUCAACCUUGAUUUCUUAGAGACCCAUUGUUUUCAUUUUGUAAUGUUGCCAAAAGGGGGAGAUAUUUAGGAUCUAGGACUCUAUAGGAGACUUACAUGCAUAUCAUUUUCAUAUCAUUGUUUGGAUCGUACAUAUUGGAUAGUGAUACUUUUUACUUAUAUAUGAUAUGCCUAUAUGUUUCAUGUCUUACAUUGUUUCUUAUUGCAAAUUAUCUCUAACAUGUCUUGAUUAUCUUUUUUUUAACUUCAUAAAUUUUGAUUGUUAACCCAUGAUUGGUUUGAGGGGAAGAUUCUUCUUCUCCUAGAUAACCAAGGUUUGUCAUCAUAAAAAAAUUGGAGAUUGUUAGCCCAAGGGUUCUCCUAAUCAUGUUUUGAUGAUAACAAACCAUGCUUAAGUUACUAAUUGGUUUGAAUUAUAAAGAAUUUCAAGUGUUAAUUUGAAAAUUCAUCAAAGAACCUAAUGGAUGCAAGAUCAAGAUUUUUGGAAGACCUUUAAUCAUAAGAAACAUAUGUAAGAUGAAUGCAUGGGUGCACUUAAGAUUUGCAUAUCAUUUCAUGCAUAUUUGGAAAACACGGUUUAUGCUUUAAAGUUACAUUUCCAUCAAAAUUUGAGAUCCAUCAAAUGAACCUUAGGAAAAAUGUUUUAAAAUUGGCAUAUAAUUUUACCUAAAGACCUUGCCUAAGUGUUAGAAGCAAAAGGACAAAAAAAAUAUAGGUUUUCUGGUCAAAAAUGGUGAACCAGUCAAGGCAUUGUCUAAAUCAGCUCAAUCGGCCAAGGUACCGGUCGAUCGGUUUCCCUUUCCCUGUCGAGAUCUAGUCAAGAGGUACAAAAAUCACAAUCUCUGUCUCUUUCUCUCUUUGUCUAUCUUCCAGUAGUCUUUCCUUCCCGGUCGAGGGAUUUGCCUUCCCGAUUGAGGUCCGAUUGAGAGUAAUAGUCACUUGCCAAAUAUUAAAUGCUCCAACAGUUAGUGAACUGGUCGACCCCCACCUUGCCCAGUUGAGGUUACUUUUUGGUUUUCUUGGCUCCCGAUGUUAGAAACCUAUAAAUAGAGAGUUCCACUUCAUUUAUGAGCAAGAGAACACUUGCAUUUAUUUGUUUACCUACUUGUUCUUGCCUUAAAAGCUCUCAUUUCUUUUCUUGGUGCAUUAAAUCUCCAUUUUGAUAUCCUUUAGUGCACCUUUGUGAUUCAUCUUAGCCUUGAGUUGUAUUUGAGCCCUUUUUUUAGCUAGGUUGAGAGUUUCAUACUUGUUAAUUGAGUGUUAAAGCCUUCAAGUGAGUUGAAACUUGUAGAGAUUAUGUGAGAGUCGAUUGGAGCCGAAAUCCAAGUGUAAAGGUGAUUAGAAGCUUGGUUGAAGCUUCAAGUUAGUGGAAUCCUCACUCAAUUAGGAGCUUGAGGAGAGUGGACGUAGCCAAGGAAGUGUCGAACCACUAUAAAAUUUGAGUUUGAUUUCUCUAACAUUGUCUCUUUAUAUUUGUUUAUCUUGUGCUUAAAUUUAUUGUGUUUAAAAAGAAUUUUUAAAUACCCAAUUCACCCCCCUCUUGGGUGUUUUUCUCUUUUAAAAUUAGCCUUUAUUUUCUCACAAACUAUUGUAGUAUAGUGGUUUUUAGGUGUCAUCCAUUAGGAUGAAUUGUUCUCGGUAAUUAAGGCGUGAAUGAGAGGAGAAUUAAUGAUUGUGAUUAAGUAAAAUUGAUUUGAAAAUUCAUGGUGAAAAAUCAAUUUAACAAUGGUUUCUAAUUGAGAAAAACAAUGAAAUGUGAAAUAAAAUAAAAUUAAUAGGAAAUGAAAUUCUCGAAGUUAGAAUUUUCUAAAAAACAAAUUCCAUGGUGAAUGGAUGUUGAGAUCUAAUUUUCAUCAAGUUAGAUUGAAAACCGAAAUUUUCAUAUAAACUGAUUUUUUAUUUAGUUUUAGGUCUAGAUUUAAUUUCCCUUAAAAUUAGGUUAUUUAAUCCAAGAAAUCAAUUCAAAUCAUAUAUUCAAUUCAUCUUAAAUUAUCUUCCAAUUAUUCACACAAUGCAACUAUUCAAUCUCAUCAAAUCUAGCUUUUAAGAAUUUAAUGAAUCUACCUAGUUUGCAUUGUAAUAGUCAUCCAUGACAAUUUGAAGAGAAAAAUAAUUCAAUUAAUCAAUCACUUGGAUCAAAUUACCUUUGCAAUUAAAGUUCAUUUCUCUAAUUCACCACAGAUUUUGUCUCUAGAUCCUCCUUUCUCAAAGAAAAAUGAGAUUUAGCCACACAUGAUUGGAGAUUUGGUCUCAUAAGGCAUGUUUAGCUAGUGAUAAAAUGAGAGAAAAUAAAGAAAAAUAGAGAAUUCGAUUAAGAAAGAAAAUCUAAAAAAUUCUACAAUUAGAAAUGUCCAAAAAGCUUUUUCAUGAGAAAAUCAAGUUUCUAUUUAUAGGCCAAGGUCAAGUGGACACUUGACAUCAUCUAAGAGGUCUUCCGGAAGCUUCUUCAUCAAGAAAUCUGGAGUUUAAUAAUAAAAUGGUCAUUUCACAAGAGCUCAAACAAUUUCGCAUGAUUAUGUGAAAUAAAAAAUGCAACAACAGCAAUUUACAUCUUCUUGGAGCAUUUCGCAUGACUGUGUGAAAUUUUCACAUGAUCAUGUGGAAUCGACUUGACAACUCUCAUUUAGCCUACAACAUAAUUCCACCUUUUGGUCCAUUUUUCAUAGUCAUGCGAAAUGGAAAUAUUUGAUUUUUAAGUUUUCUUUUGUCAUUUCUUUCAUUUCCUUCUCUUGAUUCCACUUCAACUACCUCCGAAUCCUGGUCCAAACCAAUUGCAUUACUUCUUUCAUUAUGCAUUUGGAUCAUCAUCAACAUUAUUUGUUCUCUUCAAUUUGAUUCAUCUCUUUUGUCACCAAUUUAUCAAAAUCAUACCUUGAAAUGACUCCAAAACUUCAUAAAACUUGUUAGUAACUCUUGCAAGGGCAACAACAUAUUAAUUAAGUGUUUUAGGCAUAGUUACUACUCAAAAGAUGCGAAACUCAUGAUAAUUAUUAUAUAAAAUAUGCUCUUUUUGAGUAGUAAUCAACUUUCUUGCAUAAGCAGACCUUUUAGGGUGGAGUACUAAAGACCAAUAUGCUUGUCCUUGUUGUAAUAAAGAAACUUGCUCUUAUUGAUUGCACCAUGGGAGAAAAUUUUGCUACAUGAGUUAUCAUCAAUUUCUUCCCACCAAUCAUAGAUUUAGACGUGACAAGAGGCCUCUUAAUGGCAAGGAGGAACUGACACUCACACUUAUACAAUUAUCGGGCAUUGAUGUGUUGCAACAAUUAGAAUAACUUACACCAAUUAUGUUGGGGAAGUCACAAAAGGCAAACAUGAAAACUAAAAGGAAAAAAGAAAAAUGUUACAUAUCACCACAACUGGAAAGAAAAAAGUAUUUACUUUCAUUUGCCAUAUUGGAAAGCACUUAUUUUACAUCAUAAUAAUUUAGACAUAAUGCAUAUUGAGAAAAAUGUGUGACAAUAUAAUUGAGACAUUGUUCAGUAUUGACGAAGAAACAAGGACAACCUAAAUAGUCAUCUCGAUUUACAAGCUCUAACUAUUAGAAAUGAGAUUCACCCAAUAGAAAGCAGGACCAAAUUUAUUUUGCUUGCAACAUGCUACUCACUCACCCCAAAUGAGAUUAAGGAAUUUUGCAAGUUUUUGAAAUCAAUAAAGGUCCCCAAUGGCUAUUCUUUCAAUAUCUCUCGUUAUGUGCAACUCAAUGAAAGGAAGAUAUAUGAGCUCAAAUUGUAUGAUUGUCAUGUCCUAAUGCAACAACUUCUCUCACUUGUAGUUCGUGGAGUUCUACAUAAGAAUGUUUGUGGAGUUAUCAUAGAAUUGCGUAAUUUUUUCAAGCAAUUGUGCUCAAAGGUGUUAGAAACAAAUCACUUACACCAACUUGAGAACAAUAUUAUUGUCAUACUAUGUAAAAUGGAGCAAAUAUUUCUUCCAUCAUUCUUUGAUAUUAUGGUGCAUUUACUUGUGCAUCUAGUAAGGCAAAGGUUGCAAGACUUGUGCAAUAUUGUUGGAUGUACCUAAUUGAACGAUAUUGUUAUAAUUUCAUAUGAAUCAUUUAAUUUUAUUUUAUAUUAUGUUCAGUUCAUUAACAUGUACAUUGGUCUACAUAUGGAUGAUGAUAGGUACCUAAGCACUUUAAAGUCAUAUGUGCGUAAUAGAACUUUUCUAGAAGGUUCUAUUGUAGAAAGGUACCUUGCAAAAGAAUGUACAACAUUUUAUUCUAGGUACUUGAAUGAUGUGGAAAUAAAGUAUAAUCACAAUGAUAGAAACUUUGUUGGUUUCAACACUAGAGGAGAUGAAAGGGGUUAUCUUUAAACAUAUUGGACAUGCAUUGGGAAAGCCCAUAUUUCAUUAACUUAGUUCAAAAGAGUGGUCACAAGCACAUUUAUAUGUGUUGACAAAUUGCGAAGAUGUCAUACCAUUCAUUGAGUAAAAAAUUUAUUUGAAUUUUAAUUAAAGCUCUAGUUUAUAUCCUUAAUCAAUGUUUUUUAAAUUCACAAGGAGCACAAGCAAACCAUCAAGGCUAGACCACAUAUACGUGUUUGAGACGUAGAUUUAAUUCAUAACAAGGAAUUUAUCAAGUGGUUUGAAAGACAUGUAAGUAUAUUCCUUAUUAUAAGGGAUUUAUUUCACAUUAUGUUUAUAUUGAAUCCAAACCUAUUAUUGAAUUGUAGGUUGAACAAUUACAUAAUGAAGGUCAUAUAUCUGAACACCUUCUCACAUUAUCAUGUGUUCCAAAUUCAUUAGUUACAUGCUUCAAAUGAUAUAUUGUCAAUGGAUUUAGAUCCCACAUUAAAGAACGUGAUAAAAAAGUUUUUAAAAAAAGACUCAGAAUAAUGGAAUUGUUGUAGUUGCAAAAACGUCAAGCUUUACAAGUGCAUGUGAUAUGAGUCCAAUUAUUAGUGAUGCUCUCUACUAUGGUGUUCUAACUAAAGUUGUUGAGUUACAUUAUCUUGGUGAAAAUAAGGUUGUUUUAUUCGAGUUUGAUUGGUGGGAUGUUACAAAUAUUGGAAAAUUGAUAAAAGAUGAUGAGUACAAUUACACAUUUGUUAACUUUGCAUGAAUUCUAACCACGAACGAACGAUUUGUACUUGCAUCUCCAGCAAAGUAAGUGUUCUAUGUGAAGAAUGCGAAUGAAUCAGAUUGGCAUACUAUCAUGGAGAUGCAACCUCAAGACCUCUAUAAGAUGAACGGGAUAGGAUCCAAUGGUGAUUUUGAACCAUUUCAACAAAGUGAACUACAUGAUCACUAAUAUAUCUCAGAUUUAGUUGAUGAAGAUAUAAUCAAGUGGAACAAAAGUGAUGUUUUAGGACUAAUCAUCCUAAAAAAUAUUGUAGUUUCUUAAAAAAAAAAUGAAAAUGAAGAAGAUAAUUGAACCUUUGUCAUACUUUAAAAAGCAACUAUGCAUUGUUCAUUUUGUAUGUUUUGGUUUUCUUCAUUUAAUUUCCUGAUUUUUGUGAUUCAAUGUCAUAUUAUUGAUCUUGAAAUAUUUUUCUAAUUUUUCAUUCUACGAUGGUUUCAACAAGGAUGACAUCAAGUCAAAAAAGGAAAUGUGGUCCCACACACAAUAUUGCAUUACAGGGAUUAAGGUCAGGGAAGAAGGUAAAAGUUGCAUUUAAUGAGUACAAUCAAUUGGUUAAACAGAAAAAUGGAAAACACUUAUCGAGCUACAUAGGGACACUUGUAUCUAACCAACACAAUGUACCUCUCCAAGCUAGUGAUUGGAAAAAUGUUCCAAAUGAUGCAAAAGAGAAAGUAUGGCCUUUGUUUUGGUAUGUUGUAUUUCUCACUAUAUGAUGUCAUUUCACUGUUAUUCUAUUUUGUGACUAACGUUUGAAUCAUAUGUAAGAAAAAUUUGAAGUAGAUAAAGACUGAAAAGAUUACAUGUUGGGUAUAGCCUCAAAUAAAUAUAGAAGCUAUAAAAAUAUGAUGAAUGCAAAAUACUAUGACCCUUGGCAUAAGGAUGCAUGAGGAGAGGUUAAUACAUAAAUCACCAUUUGUCUCUGAUGUUGAUUGGAAGUGGCUUGUCUCUGAUGCAUAAACCAAAUCCCCCACUGAAUGUUUGAUAUUUGAUAGCAGGAAAAACACACCCGCAGCUAUACACCUCCAUCAUUCAGAUAAUUAUAGUGGGGGAGAUGAUUCAUGGUUGCCCUUAUACCCUUUAUUUGCACCAUCUAUUGAGAUUCUUUAUCAUGGCCAGGUUUUACUGCAGCAAUAAGAUAUGGUGGCAACAAUUUUAUCUAUAGGUGCGGUUCCAGACCGCCUCCAUAGGUGCGGUUCCUGACUGCCUCCAUAGGUGCCUCUUCUUGUAAUGUUUGUUCUGGGAAUUACACUUGAAAGCCUUAUCGUGAUAAGGGAUUACAAACACUAGUUCAGAGGACAGCCAUGUUAAACUUCCACUAUGUUUGUGUCACAUUAUCAGCAGCCUAGUGUUUAUUGGUCAUGCUAUCUGCAACUAAUAUAACCCGGUGAACUUCAAUCUAAAUUCUGAAAGUACUCAUGUGACAGAUGGUGCCUUUCAGCAGAUAUCAUCAAUUUAAAAGUAGUGUGUGUGCCUAUAGGUGGGAAGGCCUUGGCAAAUGUUCAGUAUUCCGGUAAUUCAAGAAGGAUAUAUCUAAAAUAGAUUUUCUUCUUGCCCAUUUCAAUAGUUAAAAUUUGAGAAGAUUGUGUCCACAUCACACAAAUAUUAUUGGUCCUUCUGUUGCAAUUUACCUCUGAACAUGUCUUCCAAUUCCCACGGUCCUGUUACUCCAGGAAAACUAUUUCGGUCAUAUUGAAAAAAAAAAUAUUAAAGAAGGUACACAUGCUUUUAAGUGGACUGGGGCAUUCAUAUCAGGUGGUCUGUAUCCACAUAUGCCACUUCGUGAAAGGUGGAACAGCCUAAUCACUAGGCUAUUUAGUGUGGCCCAGCCACGUUAAUCAAGCACAAGUCUUCAUACUUAAAGUCAAAUGGUGUCUUUAGUCUCAUUACACAUCGCUAUUUGAAGAUUAACUCAUCACUAGUGUAAUGCGAUUAAGACAGUCCUAACUCAAUAUUUGUUCUAGUUUUGGAUGCAAAUGCUUGCUGGUUUCAUCAUUGGAUGGGAUAAAGGUGCAAUCAGGACUAUGAAUACGUGCAGUAAUACUUCAUUCUCUUUUUUCUCAAUGAGACUUCUUGGCACAAUUUUGCUGCUCAGCAACCUACCUUUCCAUGGAAAAUCAGUUGUGACUGAUAGUAAUGGAUAUAUUCUAGAAAGCUAAACAUAGAUAGCAUUCAAUAUUAUCGAUAUAACAUUAACAGCGUAUGUCUCAAUGCUCAUCAGCUACAAGCAAUGGACAAACACUUUGAGUAACUCACAGCAGUCAAAAUUCCUAAACAGGACAGACGUGACAGAUCUAUAUAUAGAACACUGCAUAUGAGUCACAGGAAAAGAUAAUACGGGUACAUAGAAGCUCUUAUUUUACAUAUUACUCAUACUGAUCAAAGUCGCUCAGUUGGGAUGGAUGGGAGAAGGAGGUUUGAGGGGUGGCUUGUGCGGGGAAGUUGGCAGCUUCUUUCCGGGAGCUGGUUGCUUCUUUGCUGGAGUUGAAGGAGGCUUAAUCUUCCGAGGUGGCUUGUAUGAGUCUUCAGCAUUCUCAGCAGGAGGGUGACCAGGGUUGUGACCAUAAUGUGGUGGCUUCUCUCCCUUAGGUGGUUUGCCAACUGGGGUUGGUGGCUUGUUUUCUGGGAGUGGCUUCUCUCCCUUGGGUGGUUUGCCAACUGGGGUUGGUGGCUUGUGUUCUGGGAGUGGCUUCUCCCCCUUGGGAGGUUUUUCGAAUGGGGUGGGUUUGUGUCCUGGUGGUGGCUUCUCUCCCUUGGGAGGUUUACCAAUUGGGGUCGGUGGCUUGUGUUCUGGGAGGGGCUUCUCUCCCUGGGGAGGUUUAGUGGGUGGCUUGUGUUCUGGAGGUGGCUUCUCCACCGGAGGCUUAUGCUCUGGUGGUGGCUUCUCGAAGGGGGGAUGCUCAGGGUAAUCACCAAGUGAGGGGGUGGUGAGAACCACCAUGCCAAGCAACAACACUAGCAAGUAUGUAGUAGACAUCUUUGGGUUUGGACUCAGACAGUGCAAAACUACGAGAAAUCGCUAGCCCUUUAUAGCGGCUCGGACCUAAUACUGACAUAAUAUAAAAUAAAUAUUAUAUUUUAUCAAGAGAGAACAGAGUGUAAUUUUAUCAUUAAUACCGAUCGAGGCCAAAGAAAGAAGACCCAUAAUCCAUUUCCCACAAGCAUACACAAUGCAGCUGUAAUUUUAUCAUUUACUUUUAUCCCUUGGACCACUGCAUUUUUGUUGAGAGACACAAUAACACAUUUUUAUCUGUCAUUCAACAUUUACAGUAAAGAGAGGGCACAAAACGCAAUUAGAUAAAUUAUGUUUUGCCUGCUAAAAAGAGGCAAAUAACUUUAUUUGCAACAUAAUUAUUUUGGUUUCUAGUGACCCCGGGGCCUUUCGGUUGGUUUGGGAUCGGAAAAUGAACAUCAUAGGGGGGGUUGUGCCCUUAUGGGCAUAUAUAUCUGAUAGCUUCAACUGGCCUUGUUCCUAGAAAGAAAUUGCCAAAGAUAUAAACUUAUUCCAGGCUGAAAGUAGAUGAGAGUCAUAAUGAACAUCAACCUUUGUUCAGUUUGAUUCAAUGCCCCCAUAGUGUUCAUUUCACAGAUCUGAAUGAUUAUAUCCGUUGAAUACAUAAAUUAAUGAAGACAAAUAUGAAACCCAAGAUACAUCUCUGCAUAACAACCCCAACCCUGGUUGCUAUGUUUCCCUUCUUCUAUUCACAUGAGGAUACUGGUUAUAAUUGUCAAACUUGCAACAAGCCCUUUGACACCUAACGUCAAUGGACGAAUUAAAAGUCUCCUUCAAACGUCUAUUUCACAGCAUGAAGCUUAUAAAGGAUGCUGACAACCUUCAGAGUUAGCGACAAAAGAUAAUUAUCAAGGAGAGAUAGUUCCAUGAGAAUUCCAAGGAGUCUGAAUCAAAGACAAAUUGCUCACUCAAGGGUUCUUAUUUUCUUUUAGGUACAAAUCUCUUGAGUGUUGUUAAAGAAACACGUCACUGUCAUUUUGAUUUGCAUUUAACAUUUCACUUUUGUUCUGGAAGGUUUGUUCCGGAAACAUAUCAAAUGAGCAUCAUUUUCUUCUUCGGUGACACAUGGUCGCGAGUACGUGGGUCCAUUUUCAUGCCACUUAGUUGAAAAGUUGGAAAGAAAAAACAUGCCAACAAGAAGAUAGUGAGAGAAGGGGCACUUCAAGCCUUUAACAUGAACAAACAGUAAAUAAAAGAUGUUUCUCCACUCAUAAAAGUGUGUUAGAUAGCAAUAUAACGAAUCACAUCCAAAAUCUUUACUAGGCUCAAACAUAAAGAAGACUCAUUUUUAAGAAAAGAUAAAAAUGGCAUUGUCUGAUAGUAUCCAAUACACGAGAUGGCACUUAAUUUGUACAAGAUCUGUCAAUGCUGACGCACAUUUUCUGAUUAAAAAAAAACUGAUCAGUCAAAAGCAAUGAAGAGAAGUGAUGACAAUGAAUGAUGCUUCCAAUAUUUUCACCCCUUAUAGUGUUCUUCAUGAUUCAGAUAUAUAAUUGGAAAUAGAACAACCCUAUGCCAUACAUUCGUCUAAGUAUGGUGUCUAAUUUUUUGUGUCAGCGGUUGCGAAUGGAGCGUGCAAAAGUCCAAAUUGGCGUCUCUCCAUUUCCACAUAGGAAGGUGACCUUUAUUGACAAAUACCCAAUAUUUGUAGACAUUCCUUAAAUAUCAUAACUUCUUGUUGAUUUGAAAAUCAUUUUUCAACUACCAUGUUUUAAUAAAUAUUUUUUAAAAUGUAUUUUUAUCAAAGUCCACCAUGAUGGAUAAUAUUCACCAUGCAAUAAUUAAUAAAGUACAAACUAAGCGAAAUGAAAAGCAUUUUCUUUGCUUUGAGUUGAUUUUGGUUGCAUUGAGUUGAUUUUGGUUUCAUGGUUUUUUCAACUCUUAUUUUGAUUGGAAGAUGUCAAGAAAAGAAAACAUAAAGAAAAAUUAAAAGGGAAAAAAGAAGAAAAAUAAAAAAAAAUAGAUUUAAAAGUUAAUAAAUUAUUUUUUAUAUUUAUUUUAAUUCAUUUCACUUAUUUUUCUUUUACUAUAUAAAAUUUAAAUAAUUUAAAUUUUAUAAUUAAUUUAAUUACAUUUCAUUUUCUUCUAUAUUUAAAUAUUGGAAAAAUAUUUUACUUAAUAUUUUUUUCUUUAAUUUCUUUGGCAUUUUGGGAACCAAACUUAGCCUUUAAAAUAAAAAACAAAAAAAAAAUGAAAAUAAGGAGGGAAAAGUGAGAAAAGAUAAAAACAAUAUGUAAAGGAUUUGAAAAGUAUUAGUUUGUAAUUACUAUUUGGAUUUCAAUAGUAUUUUAUUUGUCUUUCUAUAUUUCAUGUAAGAGAGAAUUUAAGAUAUUCCCCAAGGCAAAGCAUUAGUUACCUGCAAUCAGUGGUGAUAAGGCUCCAAGCCAAUUUUGGGCCCCAUAUCUUAAGACAGUACAAUUUCCAUUUCAACAUUUCUGAUUUCUCAGAUGUUUCACAUACCACAGAAGAACAUUGUUUGUGAAAAUAUGCAUUUAUGUUGGAUUUUGUAUGCUGUGGGGACUGGGGCAAGGAUCAUAUGGAAGAGUGGUUGACUUUUUCUGUACUUUAACGGUUGAAAUAGGAUAAGCACGGGCAUUUGUGAGGCUUAAUUGAUUUUGAAGCCUGAAAUUGCGUUUCUGUCAUUUUGUCAAAAAAAUGGCAGAUUCCAUACUCAUAUGUUUGGCCUGUGGCCAUGUACAGAUGCCAUUUAGUGACCAGUUUGUAACUGUCAAUCGUUGCGUUUUGACUCUGCCUCAACAACAUCUGCCAUUGACGGGUUUUCAUACUUGCAAAUCAAAUAGUCUUUCGUCCCAUCAGGAAUUUCGGUUUAAAUAUUAUUAAGCAUACGUUUGGCUGACAAUCAUUAUCCAGUUCAUGAUUUGGUUUCUUACCCUUAAUCAAUGGUUUCUAAGUGAAUAUAUGUAGAAGGAAAUCCGAAGUGUAGACAGUAGUAUCGAUAACUCUCAAUAUUCUCUAUAUAAUAGAAUAAACAGCGUCAUAGUGAUCGUCGCCUACAAGCAAGGUACAAAUACCAAAACGAGUGACUCACAUAGACAUCUCCCAACAAGAUGUAGUAGUGACUGACACAUGGACACAAUUAACUCGUAGAAAAGGAUAAGACCAUUGCACAGCAGCUCUUAUUUUACAUACUACUUAUGCUAACCAAAGUCAAUUAGUUGGGAUGGGUGGGAGAUGGAGGUUUGUGCGGUGGCUUGUGGGGCGGAGUUGAUGGCUUCUUUCCAGGAGCUUCUGGCUUUUUCAUCGGAGCUGAAGGAGGCUCAAUCUUAUGAGGCGGCUUGUAUGAGUCUUCUUUACUCUCGACAGGAGGGUGGCCAGGGUUGUGAUCAUAAUGUGGUGGCUUCUCUCCCUUAGGUGGCUUGCCAACUGGGGUUGGUGGCUUGUGUUCAGGAAGUGGUUUCUCUCCCAUGGGAGGUUUAGCAAUUGGGGUUGGUGGCUUGUGUUCUGGGAGUGGCUUCUCUCCCUUGGGAGGUUUAGUAGGUGACUUGUGUUCUGGAGGUGGCUUCUCCACCGGAGGCUUGUGCUCCGGUGGUGGCUUCUUGGUUGGAGGGGGCUUGGGGUAAUCAGCAAGAGAUGGGGUGGUGAGAACCACCAGUCCAAGGAACAACACUAGCAAGUAUGUGGGAGACAUUUUUGAGUUUGGGCUGAUCAGAUGAUGCAAAACUAAAGCAUUACGUGACCUUUUAUAGCAUGUAGCUCCCAAUACCCACUAAGUAUUGUGGGGUCCAUUUGUGCCCUACGGGGUUGAAAACUUAGACAAUUGGGCAAGGACCCACCUGACUAUGGAGGACUAGUGAGGUGUGAUCAUAGCUUUAGGAUUUUUCUUCCUCUGCAGCCGUCGUGCCGUUGGCAUGAUUUUCUUAAUCUUAAAUAAAGGCAUAGUUAUAGAGUUGUUUAAUCUCUAAAUGGGAUUUUAUAUAUAUCUUCAGAUAGCCAUUAAUAUAUUUGAUGAAGAAAGAAAGACAAGUGCAUACAACAUGUAUACGACUAGCUUUCAUGGAGUUCAUUUAUGAUCAGUUUUCCUGUACAUGUAAACCAGGAUCAUAUAUAUGUUUCUGUUCCACAACUAUUUUGGAAUCUUGUUUAUCAGUUUUUAUCAUUAUAAUGUCACAUAGGCUGCCAACUUGGGCGCUAAAAGAACCAGUUGGGCUAGUUCGUUUCAGAAUUUCAAUGUGGAUUCAGGAAUUGUUUUGUAAGAUAUGCGAAAUAGUAGAGGGAUGAAUAGUGUUUCAUUAAUAAAAGUGUCCUGUAAAUUAGAAGGUGUCAUAGAAACUAUAAUCAAUAAAUAACUUUUUUUCCCCACGGGUGGUGUUUCUUGUGGGGAUCAGUGACUGGUUUAGGUUCACCCAAAAUGAGUUCAGACUAAAAUUGGUUUGAGUCAAUGCCGUGUCUCUUUUUUCCAGAAAUCAACUAUUUUAUGCAUUGAAUAAAUCAUACAAAGAAAAUAUGAACGCCCGCAAAACCUAAACCCUGGUUGCUAACUUUCUAUGUUUCAGUUCUAUUCACGCAAGAAUAUUAGUUUAAGUUUGGGAAAAAUGGCAACUUACCUAGUGAUUACUUGGUUUUGGUUUGCGACUAUUUACGCAACCAACCAUGAGUUUGACUUUAACGUCAUGGGUUGAAGCCUCCUACAGGAAGGGAGAAAGCUCCACAGCUAGCUCCAAAAGAGAAUUAUCACAUUGAUAGCUCCAGAGAUUCCCAAGGGGACUGAAUCAAAGACAAGUUCCUCACUUUUUCUUCUUUUGAGGCCAAAUAUGAACCAAGGAUCACACAACCUCAUUCAACUUCAUAAGUUUGAUUUCAUGCAGUUGAACACUGGGUGAAGGCCAUGACAAGAAUUGAUUCAAAAAUUCUAUCACUCUUUUAAGUAAUGGAAGAUUAUUAUCUCUGAUUGGCAUCACAACAGCACAUGCUCCUAGAUCUUUCUAGACACUCCAUGCAAUGAAAGCACAAUGGAUCUUGUAACGAUAGAAACUAAGCCAUGCUACAGUACUAGAUGAUGAGGUAAAACUAGUAGACACGGGUGGCAGCCUAUAUGGGAGGGACACAAGUCUAAUUGAUUUGCAUUUCAGCAUUAUAGAUAGGUAUGUUUUGGAAGAUUUGUUCUGGAAAUACCGCACCAAGUAGGAUUCUUUUUCUCUUUAGUGGGUCCACUUGCAUGCCAAUUAACGAGUUGAAAAGUAUGAGCACCUACCUCGUGCUCGUGGAACCGAAGGUCAGUGAAGUGGGGCUCCUUUUGGCCUCGUGUAAACUUGAUUCAGAAGUGAAGUUAAUAGUCUUCCAUUCAGAUGGAUACAUGGGAAUUUUUCUCUUUUAUUUAUUUAUUUAUUUUUUUUUUGUGUGUGUAUGUCAAAGGAUAAUGAAUGAAGCGCGUUAGCUUGUUUUCUGACUGGAACCGCAGAUGUCCAAAUUGGAGUUCCUUCAUUUCUUACUUAGGAUUGUUACAUGUAUAAACAAGGUAUAAGAAAUAUGCCAACGUGUCUUGAGGAGUUAUUGAUUAGAAAUAACAAGUCACCCGACUGUAGAGUUCCAAGAUUUGAAUCUUCAGACCCUAUAGCAGCCUCUGGGGUACGUGGCAUCCUAUAGCAUAUUAAUGAAGGCUUUUUCGAUUUAGACUUCACAAUACCAAUUAAUAUGUAUGCACAAAAUGGAGAUGACCCCAAAAAAAACAGAAUCGCCAUAGUUUAUGAGGUUAAGGUGAUUCUCCACUUAAUAUCUACAUUAGCUAAUUAUGUAAAUCAAAUGAACUUCUAUUUUUCCUUUUUUUUUUUGGUUUAUGUCAAAUAGUAGCCCAUAAUUAACCCAACCAUUAGCCUGUUUGAAUUGAUUUCACAUGCACAAUGUUGUAGUAGUUCAUAUUUUGAAUUUUAUUUUUACAAAGGUAGUUAAGGAAAAUGAAGUAUAAUAAUUAUAAAAGCAGACUAUAUACACUACAAUAAUUGUUAGAAUGGUAUCUCAAAUUCUAAUUUAAAAUAUUAUUUUUUGUAAAAGAAAUAUUAUAUAGAAUAUUUCCUAAUUUUAUAAAUGAUUAUAAUUAGAUCUUUAUAAAAUAAGGAAAGUUGGUAAGAAUAUCUUUAUAAAUAUUUUAGGUCAUGAGAGAAAGAAAUGGGAUAAAAAUGUGAUGAAGAGGUGAAAUAAGAGAGUUGAUUAGGAUAUAGAUGUGAAGAAGAAAGGGAUUCAAUAUAUAUAUAUCUUUCAAUUACCACAUUAAAACCCUGUGAACCUUUUAUAUGGUUUACUUUAUUUUUAUAUUCCUCCUUUAAUAUAUUUACAUUAAUGCUUCCAUUGGCACAACAAUAACGAAUUACAAAUACAAGCAACAAGUCCCAUGUUUUAUUACCAAAAGCAGGUAAAAUCCACCUAAUAUAUUACAAUAUAUUCAUCCAAUAUUUUAGACCAAUUCUUCACCAUAAAUAUCAUAAUGUGGCUUUUGUUCUUUCUUAAAUUUAAAUUGAAUUGUCUUAUAUCAAUUUGUUUGUGAUUUUUUCAUUAACUUCACUUUCAUUUGGUUAUCUUUGGUUUUUGAAAAGUAUUAAGGAAUUAAUUAACAAAAUAAUGUUAAGAAAAAUAAUUUUCUCUCUUUUGAUUUUGAUUUUGUAGUAGAAAAAUAUAAUUAAAAUUAUUUAAAAAGUAUGUAAUUUUAAAUUAUUUAAUAUUUAGAUAAAAAAAAUAAGUCUAAUGAGUUUAAAAUAACAUAUAAAAAUAAUUUAUUUAUUUUAAAUUUAUUUUUUAUUUUCCAUUAUGUUCUCUUUCUCUUUUACUUUUUCAUAUUUUUUCUUACGAAGAAUCAAACACAACCUCAUAUUAUAUGUCAAGUGUUUGUCUAUAUUUGAGCAAUGUUAGAUACGGCCAUGGAUUCAUCAAACUAAACUGAUUUUAAUAGAUACUUCACAAAUUGAUUUAUACACUAAAUCAUUGGAUAGCAAUGAUGCAUUGGAAUUAAACGUAGGAUGAAGCUCGAAGAACACUGUUUGUGUAACAACAUAUUUAUGAAAUUAUGCAAAGGAUGAGCUUCGGGGUAGUAGUACAAGGUCAUUAAUGGAGAGCCGUGUUAAACCUUGAUUGUGAUUGGAUUCCGUUAUCAGCAACAGCAACCUUGUUUGUAACCUUGAAAGUCAUUCUGUCCACAUCGAAACUCCAAUUUGACGUUUGUAAUUACCAUUCCUGGAGUGUUCCUUGAUUGAAAUUUAAAUAAUAAUUGCGGCCCACAAGGAAUAUUUUCGAUUCUGUGGGAAUUUGACAAGGUUUGUUAGAGAAGACUGGUGACAUGUUGACUUCAAUGGUUCAAAUAGGAGACGUAUGUGGAUUUGGGGGGUUUAAUUGAAACUGAGUCCCUAUGGCUUUUUAAUAUUUGCAUUGAGCAGUCUCCAUGUGACUUCCUAAUUCCCACCAACCCUCCUGUCCAUGCUGUGAAACUAAAUUGUAAUUUAUCAGCCUUUGUCAAUGGUUUCUAAAUUAAAGAUAUAGACCAUGCAUGUACUUUAAUAAAAGCAAAUCUAAAGUGUAGAUAGCAGCAAUGGUGACACCCAAUAUUCUCCAUAAAAUAGAAUUAGAAUAAGCAGUGUUACAUUGUUCAUGAUCACCUACAAGCAUACAAGAACUUCCAUGAAUAACUCAUAGCAAUUGCCAACAGGGCGUCGUAGAGACUCAUACAUAGAACACUAUCCACCCAGAGGAAAGGACAAGACCAGUGCGCUGCAGCUCUUAUUUUUCACAUGUAUACCACCACUCGUAAUAACCAAAUUCACUCAGUUGGGAUAGGUGGGAGAUGGUGGUUUGUGGGGUGGCUUGUGGGGAGGAGUUGGAGGAGGCUUUAUUUUCUGAGGCGGCUUGUAUGAGUGUGCAGGAGGAUGCCCGGGAGUGUGACCAUAAUGUGGUGGCUUCUCUCCCGUAGGUGGUUUGCCAAAUGGGCUUGGUGGCUUCUCUCCCUUAGGAGGUUUACCAAUUGGGGUUGGUGGCUUGUGUUCUGGGAGUGGUUUCUCUCCCUUGGUAGGUUUGCCAAUUGGGGUUGGCGGCUUAUGUUCUGGGAGUGGCUUCUCUCCCUUGGGAGGUUUGCUAAUUGGGGUUGGCGGCUUAUGUUCUGGGGGCGGCUUCUCUCCCUUGGGAGGUUUGCCAAUUGGAGUUGGCGGCUUAUGUUCUGGGAGUGGCUUUUCUCCCUUGGGAGGCUUGCCAAUUGGGGUUGGCGGCUUAUGUUCUGGGGGUGGCUUCUCUCCUUUAGGAGGUUUGCCAAUUGGAGUCGGCGGCUUAUGUUCUGGAAGUGGCUUUUUUCCCUUGGGAGGUUUGCCAAUUGGGGUUGGCGGCUUAUGUUCUGGGGGUGGCUUCUCUCCCUUGGGAGGUUUGCCAAUUGGAGUCGGCGGCUUAUGUUCUGGGAGUGGCUUCUCUCCCUUGGGAGGUUUUGUUGGUGGCUUGUGUUCUGGAGAUGGCUUCUCCCCUGGAGGCUUGUGCUCCGGAGGUGGCUUCUGAAAUGGCGGGGGCUUGGGGUAAUGAGCAAGAGAUGGAGUACUGGUGAGAACCACCAUUCCAAGCAACAAUACUAGCAAGCAUGUGGGAGACAUCUUUGAGUAGUUGUAGCUAAGAUGGCGCAACACUGUAGGCAUUGGGUGGCCUUUUAUAAAGGGCUGGACCCAACAGCCAUAUGACACGUGUCAUGAUGACAAAUGAAGUUGAGGGGAUCCAGAUGGGUCCUACUGAGUCGAAAACUUGCACUAAUUGAUCUGGUGAGAUGACUAUUUCUGUCCUUUUGCCCUUCUCGGCCACCCUGUGCUGUUUUCCUUUUGCACGAUUUUCGUUGCCAAACAAGCAAAUAAUAUUUCGCCAAGAAAGAGGAGAGUGAAUGUGGAAUGCAUCAAGUCCCAUCAAGGAUGGCAGAGAAGAAAUAGAAGAUUGCCCAACUGUGAUAAACAUAGCAUACACGUAGCACCAGGAACUUCAUUUACUUCCAUCUAAUGGAACAUAACAAUCUUCUAAAGUUUUUGCAUGAUUUUGUUAUAUGUCUCUUAGCCUAAAGUUGGAAAUGCGCAACAAAUUUUGUCACUUCUCUAUUUCCCACUGAUGAUGUUAAUUAGCCUUCAUAGAUAUCAUCCUUUCUACAAAGUGCUUCAUUUGUGUGUUAUUGUAAAGUGUAAGAAAAGUAAUUGAACAUGUUCUUUUUCCUUUCAUAGAUGACUUUUGAUGUGCAUUUUAAAAGCAGCGCUGUGAGUCGGUGACCUUGAUUCACACGGAAACUAAGGCUCCUAUAGGACCCACUUUUAGCUGGUUAGGGGUGAAGAAAAUAUCAACUUUUCAGAGUGAUUUAAGUCAAGGCCAAGCCUCACUGUGUCAUUACUCGUGUGAAUUUUAUAUGCACAUACAUACAUAAAUAAAGUAUGAGACCCAAAUAACACCUUCCCUUUACAAACUUAACCCCAGCCGCUCUCUUUCAAUUCUUUUCACACAAGGGUAUUGACUCUAUAAAGGUCAAGAAAAUCAUAAUUUCCUAGGGUUUACAAGGUAAUUGGCUUAAUGCUAAUGUGAAAACAUAAAAGAUAAUAGUAUAUUGUAAGCUAACGAAUAUUCUAUAGUUAUAAUUAUUUGUGAUGUGCAUAAAUAAAUCUUCAUAUAUAUAAUGGAACAAUGAAUAAAGAACCAAUGAAAAAAUACUAUAUAUCAUUGCUUGGCAUUUAAACCGUAUAUGCUGCUCUUUCUAGCUACUCCAUCCACUGAAAGACAACAAGGUAAUCCAUGUUAUAAUGAUAGAAGAUACUGUCUCUAGGCUUUUUGUGAUGAAAAAUAUAAGAUAUGGGUAGGGUUGACCCUUGUAUGUUUGUCCUAUAAACACUUCAAAGUAACAUAUUUUUCUUCUUUAGCAACUCAUAAUGAUGGGGUUCAUUUGCAUGUCACUGAGUUGAAAAGUUGGACAAUUGCCCAUGUCGCCUUCCUCCUAGAUUCCGUAGUUCACGGGAAGGUAACUCAAGUUUGACAUAUUUUGAAUUCUUUUCACUCGGACGUCUUCAUAACCUGACAAAACAAAAAUGAAAAACAGAGGAUUGGUAUAUUAUUCAUGGUAAGCCUCAAAUUAUAGUAGUAUGAGAAAGGAGAAAAAGAUUUUGGGAACUCCAAUCUGGAUAAUUCUCGUUUCUUCUCUUGAAUAAAAAUUUCACUUACCUAACUUCGUUUGGAGAAAUGGCAUAUUUUAAUUUUGUACGUCAUUGCUAAUAAAUGGAGCAAUUUAGCAUGUUUUGUGACUGAAACUGCAAAUGUCCAAUUGGCAUUUCUUCAUUUCCCACUUAGGAUCUGAUCUUGUAGACCAUAUAACGAUAUGUAUCUGUGCAAGCAUUGAAAACUAAUGUGAACUAUGAGGAGUUACAAGCCACUGGACUGUAGAGCGAGUGCCAAGAUUUAAAUCUUCAGGCUCUAUCUGGGUAAGGGGAGGAUAGCGACCUAACCUUUUACCAAAGGCUUAGAAUUUAGACUUUUGGAAAAAAAUUUCUCAUGUUUUGGCUGGAUUUCUUGUGCUUGGCGCAAAAAGGAGAUGGCCUCAAGAAAUAGCAGACUCACUUUUGUUUUCAGCCCUUAAUAAUUCUCCACUGCUUUCCAUAACUACAUGGGUUAUACAUGCAGUCUGCUGCAAUAUUCCAGUUAUAUUUAUUAUUUCAAAGAGGGUGAAUGACUUCACAUGCAAUAUGUUGCAGUAACAACCCAAAUUUUGGCACACCAUCUUAAGAAUAGAAAAGUAUAAUAAAAGAAAUCAAUCAGAGAAUCACUUUGCAUGCAGUUCAUAGAGUUCGCCCAAAAUGGAGCCACAUGUACGGACAACCCCACAAUAGACAAUCUUCUCUAUACAGUAAUAAAAUACAGAAAUGGUUAAUGAAGCUCUGUAUUUCCUUAUCAUAUAUGACCGGUUGAAAACUCAGCAAGUCUUCCUCAAUCACAGACAGUUGGAGUUGCUUCAUCAAAAUCAUGCCUUCAUUACUGGCUUCAUUUUGGUUUCAAUGUCUGUUCUACCCUUAAAUUGGGUCUCUGCUUACUACCGGGAUAUCCUUUAGCGUCCUGCAAUUCUACUAGAUUAAAGAGAAUGACUUAAUUCUGCAUUCUGCCGUCCCUAGUCCAAGUGGUACUAGAAUUGAUGUUUCCUUUAGUGUCCUUUCUUCAUACUUUCAGGUUCUUCCCUUGUUUCAAUAAUGCUGUUUUCCUUCAUGUUUAACCUCUGUUGAACCACUUAAAACAACACAAUUUGCACACCAAUGUUUCUUUACAGAAAAGACUGUUUGCAAAAAUGCACAUGUUAUAAGGUUAAUGGAAGAAUUAAUUUGGGGAUAAGGGACUAGGAUUGGGCCAAUGAAGUUUGGUGUUAAAUUUUGAUUAUGAUUGCUUUUCAUUAUCAGGUACCUUAUAUUUGCUGAUGCUAUCUGGAACUAAAUUCAAAUCAGACAUUAUCCGAUUACUAACAGGACAUAUCAUGUCCCUCUGCAGAGUUUCUAAACUAACAUGUAUCGAAAUGUGGCCCCAAAAGGAAGGCUAGGAAGAUGGAGGAUUUUGUAGGAAUCGACCAGAAUCAGAUGGAAGAGAGAUAGUCCUGUUGACUUUAAUGGUUGUGAUAGGAACAUGCAUCAUUAUAUGAGAAGUUGCAUGAAUUUAUGUAUCCUGUUAUCGUUCCUUGACGAUUUCCCAAUGCAAUUUCACUGUCCACAAGACUAACCUCUCCAUGCAGUCAAAUGAAUUGUAAUUUCUCUAUUGGUACCAGUAGUACAUUUCAUACCAAACAUAUAGUAAAUAUAAAAUAUAAAUAGAUCAAGGAAAUCUGAAUUGUAGAUAGCACUGCAAGUAACACUCAAUAUUCUCUAUAUAUAAUAAAAUAAACAGUGUCACAAUACUCAUCACCCAGUGGCAAGGGAGAAAAACCUACAAUGAGUACUCAAAUCACCAUUCUCAAACAGAAACAUAGCAGUGACUGAUACAUAGAACCUAUAUGCUCACAGGGAAAGAAUAAGAUGACCAGUGCACAGCGGGCAGCAGCUCUUAUUUUACGUACAACUCAAAUCCCAAACUAACCAAAGUCGCUCAGUUGGGAUGGGUGGGAGAUGGUGGUUUGUGGGAUGGCUUCUGGGUAGGAGCUGGUGGCUUCUGUCCCUUUGGUGGUUUGCCUAAUGAGCUUGGUGGCUUGUGCUCCGGGAGUUGUUUCUCUCCCUCGAGUAGGUUUCGAGUCUUGUCAGAUGGCUUGUGUUCUGGUGGUGGCUUCUCUCCCUGGGGUGGUUUGCCGAAUGGGCUUGGUGGCUUGUGUUCGGGGAGUGGCUUCUCUCCCUGGAGAAGGUUACGAGUUUUGUCAUAUGGCUUUUGUUCUGGUGGUGGCUUCUCUCCCUGGGGUGGUUUGCCGAAUGGGCUUGGUGGCUUGUGUUCGGGGAGUGGCUUCUCUCCCUGGAGAAGGUUACGAGUUUUGUCAGAUGGCUUGUGUUCUGGUGGUGGCUUCUCUCCCUGGGGUGGUUUGCCGAAUGGGCUUGGUGGCUUGUGUUCGGGGAGUGGCUUCUCUCCCUGGAGAAGGUUACGAGUUUUGUCAGAUGGCUUUUGUUCUGGUGGCGGCUUCUCUCCCUGGGGUGGUUUGCCAAAUGGGCUUGGUGGCUUGUGUUCGGGAACUGGCUUCUCUCCCUUGGGAGGUUCAGUUGGUGGCUGCUGUUCCGUAGGUGGUUUCUUCACCGGCGGCUUGUGCUCCGGAAGCGGCUUCUCUACCUGGAGAAGCUUACGAGUUUUGUCCGAUGGCUUGUGUUGUGGUGGUGGCUUCUCUCCCUGGGGUGGUUUGCCAAAUGGAGUUGGUGGCUUGUGUUCGGGGAGUGGCUUCUCUCCAUUGGGAGGUUUAGUUGGUGAUUGGUGUUCCGUAGGUGGUUUCUGAAGUGGGGGAUGCUUGGGGUAGUCAGCAAGAGACGAGGUAGUGAGAACCACCAGUCCCAGCAGCAACACUAGCAAGCAUGUGGAAGACAUCUUUGAGUUCAGGCUGAGAUCUGUGCAAGGAUAACAGAAUUAGGUGGCCUUUUAUAGAGGCCUGGACCCAACACCCAUAUGACACGUGUCAUGCACUCAUGGUGACACAUAAUUCUAUGGGACCAUUUGGGUCCUACAGAAGUUGCAAAGUUGGACUACUGAGGUGUGAUCACAACUUUUGUCCUUAUUGCUUUCUCUGCGGCCAUUGCACGAUUUCCUUUAGCAUCAUUUUCUUGGCUAAAUAAGCGUAUUAUAUUUGUGGCAGACCGUCCACGUGUCAUAAACAGAUAUAUUAUAAUAAUGUAGUAUGCUUUUCUCCAAUGGAACAUGACACUCUUCUAAGUCUUGUUUUAAAUAUUGUGCAGGAUUACUUUAUACGUUGCAGUUCCAAGUCAAAAUUGGUGGGCAAACGUUGGCCUUUUUUCAUUUCACCUAAGAUUAAUGCUCACCUGGGAUAGGCACUACAUGACUUAUCUGCUCUUUUACUGUAAAGUUGCUUUGUGUAUGAGAUACACCUCCCCUGCACACCCUCAACAUUCGUUGCUCUGUUUUCCUUGUGUCCAGACGAGGAUAUUAAUUGGAGGCUGACAAAACGACUGCUAGCCCAGGAUUUACAAGGUCCUGGUUUGAGGCUUCGGUGAAAGUAUUUUUGAAAAGACACACAUAGAGAUAGUGCGUUUGGUGCAAUGCAGCACUGUGAGCCAUUCUGACGCGUUCUUAAUUUCAAAACUAAUGAAUGCUUCAAAAUUUUAAGAAGUGACAUUUCCAAAUAUUUGAGUUCGUUUAAUUGAACAUUGGAUAACUAGUGAUCAUAGAUUAUUAUCUGUGCUUGGCACUAUAAGAGGGUAUAUGCUUCUUUUUCUGGCCCCUCCUUCAAGGGAGGAGGGACAAUGUGAUCUGUAACGUUAGAAGCUAUUCCAUGUCAUCUUUGGGCUCAGUUCAAAACUAAAAGAUAAUGGGGGGGGGGGGGGGGGGCAUAUCAUUUUAUAUUUCUUCUAGAAGGUUUGUUCUGGAAAUAUUUCACAGGAGCAUAUCUUUUUCUUCUAUUACGUCAUCCGCAGCCUCCAAUAGGUCGGUUAACAAGCCACCGAGUUGAAAAGUUGGAAAAAUGGGAACACAGCCCGCCUCUUGUAUUCAGUAGUUAAAUAAAAGGUCACUAGAAGUGAGAUCCCUUUUGGCGUCUUGAUUUUCAAUCCAGCACCUCUGUGACCUGACAAACCAAAAAAACUAAAAAAUAAAAAACAGUACGUGGGUUGGUGUUAAGCAUCAAGACAUGUUAAUGAAAGAAGGUAGAGAAUAGGAUAUUGAAAUCCCAAUCCUGAUAACAUGAUUUUCUUUGCUAACAACCAUAUUAUAUUUUAUCAAGAAAGAGUAAUGCAUGUGGCGUCCAUCAAGACCCAUUAGAGUUCCGCUAAAGCUAUAGUUCUGUCAACGUUAUCAUUUACGUUUCCUCUAGAUAAUGGCAUUUUCCUCUAAAGCUCUUGCACCAUUAGGCUUCAAGUCAAAAUUUCACAUGUGAACUUUGGAAAUUUUCUCCAUUUGCCCCUAAGGAUACAGUUAGAAUUGACUUAAAAUCCUGAUUGAUAUGUACUAUUAACCAAAGAAUAUUGUAUAUAAUAAUUGAAAUAUUGUUGAUUCAUCGUGGAAAUACAUUUUGUAAGGAAAGUUGUUGAGAAUUUAGUAUGCUAUAUGGAGAAAAAAGUCAUGACUUAAGGUUGUGUAUGUAUAUUCUAUAUCAAAUAUUAGGUAGGAAUGUGGGAAAGAGCAGAGUGUAAUGAUAAGAAACAAAGAAAUAUAAGAUAUUCUUGAAAGUGGAAAAUAUAAAAUGGCUAACGAGUCAAAUUUAUGAUGCGUAAGGGGGAUCAUGUCACAUAAGAAAACCAUGGCAUACUAAAGACGUACGUGUGGUAUGGAGUAAUAAUUUUGUUAAAAUAAGUUUCUUGUUGGAGUACAUUAGGUGACUAUUCAUAACGUAUCAAAUUAAAGAGUCAAGUGCAUCAAUGAAGGCAUAUGUAGAAAAUUUGUUUGUGACAUGUACCAUAAAGAUAAGAUUGACUUGAUAGAAUUUAGUCUAAGUAGGAGUUGUUAAAGGUGUCUUAAAUUUCUAAUUGAUGUAUAUUUUUUUCUAAAAAAAUAUUAUAUAGAUAUUUUAAUAAAUGAUUAAUUCUUUGUAAAAAUACUUACAUAAUAAAAAACAUCAUUAAAAAUAUCUUUAUAAAUAUUUUAAGUUACAAGAAGGAAAAAAACCACUGUGAGAUAAUGAUGAACAUGCAACACUGUACCAAGUAAAUAAAAAUGUGAUAAAAAAAAAAGAGAAACACUCGAUAAAGGAAGGCUCGUAUAUAAAGAGUAAUAUUUUUAAUCAUAUGAUAGAAUGAUUUUCUCUCAUUCAUGAAUAUAGGCAAGAUUGGGGAACCAUUAUAAAAUUUUGUACACCUCGUGUAAAUUGAUGUUUGUCUUCAUAUUUUACACCAACAAAUGACAUUGAAGUUGUCAUUGAUAAAAGGGAAAAGGCAUGCCUCCACACCAUGUGCUUGAUUCGAAUGGUUCAAGUUUGAAGAAUUUUCUCCGGAAGAUCUAAAACAUUUUCGCCUUUAAAUUUCAUUUGAUUAUUAAUAUCCGAAAAAAUAGUUAAAUACUCUUUCUAUUUUUGAGUUGUUGAAUUUUUUGAAAGUUUUUAUAUUUGUUAUCAAGAAUUUCUAUUUUAUUAAGGGUGAAUAUUUAUAAAUAAGAUAUUAUAUAAUAUUUGGAUAAGAGAGAAUGGUGGAAUAUAAUAAAGUUUUAAUCCUUCCCAAUUUUGAACCUUUUUUUUUUUUUUUGAUAUAAUCGCCUUUCUCUUGCAAUCCUAUUAUCAGGUACCUUAUAUUUGCUGAUGCUAUCUGGAACUAAAUUCCAAUCAGGCAUUGUCCAAUUACUAAUAGGACAGAUCAUAUCUCUCUGUUUCUAAACUAACAUGUAUCGUAAUGUGACCUCAUAAGGAAGGCUAGGAAGAUGGAGGAUUUUGUGGGAAGCGACCAGAAUCAGAUGGAAGAGAGAUAGCCCUGUUGACCUAAUGGCUGUAAUAGGAGAAGCGUGUGGUUUUAUGGGACUUAACUGAUACUAAACCUGUAUGAUGCUUGGAGUGGUGUUUCUUUCAUUUUGUUAAGAAAAUAUGGCAGCAUACAUGCUUUCAACUGAGUGCAUCAGAGCAUCCAUAACAGAUGGUCUGCAACCCUAGGUGCAUGCCACUUUCUGACUGAUAAUGAAAUUGUCAGGUACCUGGCCUUGACUAAGCUCAACAGCAUCACAUAAAGAGAAGCUUUCAUACUUAGAUUACUGUUUAAAGUUUUUGCUUAUUUGAUUUCUUAAUGCCAUUAUGACAUUAUUGAUUCAAUUCUGCUUCCGAUUUUCGAAGUUCUGGGCAUCUACUGAUUGCAUCAUUAUAUGAGAAGUUGCAUGAGUUUAUGUAUCCUGUUAUUGUUCCUUUGCGAUUUCACUGCUCACGGGACUAACCUCUCCAUUCAGUCGAAAUGAAUUGUAAUUUCUUUACUGGUAGCAGUAGUACUUUUCAUAGCAAAGAUAAUAGAAAAUAUGAAAUAUAAAUAGAAGGAAAUCUGGAUUGUAGAUAGCACCAUAAGUAACACUCAAUAUUCACUACAUAAUAAAUAGACAGUGUUACAUAGGUAGAGAAACCUACAAUGAGUACUCAUCACCAUUCUCAAACAGAAACAUAGCAGCGACUUAUACAUAGAACCUAUAGGCUCGCAGGGAAAGAGUAACAUGAUAAGUUCACAGCGGGUAGCAGCUCUUAUUUUACGUAUUACUCAAAAUCUCAAACUAACCAAAGUCACUCAGUUGGGAUGGGUAGGAGAUGGUGGUUUGUGGGGUGGCUUCUGGGUAGGAGCUGGUGGCUUCUUUGUUGGAGUUGAAGGAGGCAUAUUCUUCUGAGGUGGCUUGUAUGACUCUUCGGCACUCUCUGCAGGAGGGUGCCCAGGGUUGUGACCAGAAGGAGGUGGCUUCUGUCCCUUUGGUGGUUUGCCUAAUGGGCUUGGUGGCUUGUGCUCCGGGAGUUGUUUCUCUCCCUCGAGUAGGUUUCGAGUUUUGUCAGAUGGCUUGUGUUCUGGUGGUGGCUUCUCUCCCUGGGGUGGUUUGCCGAAUGGGCUUGGUGGCUUGUGUUCGGGGAGUGGCUUCUCUCCCUGGAGAAGGUUACGAGUUUUGUCAGAUGGCUUUUGUUCUGGUGGCGGCUUCUCUCCCUGGGGUGGUUUGCCAAAUGGGCUUGGUGGCUUGUGUUCGGGAACUGGCUUCUCUCCCUUGGGAGGUUCAUUUGGUGGCUGGUGUUCCGUAGGUGGUUCCUUCACCGGCGGCUUGUGCUCCGGAAGCGGCUUCUCUACCUGGAGAAGCUUACGAGUUUUGUCAGAUGGCUUGUGUUGUGGUGGUGGCUUCUCUCCCGGGGGUGGUUUGCCAAAUGGACUUGGUGGCUUGUGUUCGGGGAGUGGCUUCUCUCCAUGGGGAGGUUUAGUUGGUGGUUGGUGUUGCGUAGGUGGUUUCUGAAGUGGGGGAUGCUUGGGGUAGUCAGCAAUAGACGAGGUAGUGAGAACCACCAGUCCCAACAGCAACACUAGCAAGGAUGUUGAAGACAUCUUUGAGUUCAGGCUGAGAUCUGUGCAAGGAUAAAAGAUUUAGGUGGCCUUUUAUAGAGGGCUGGACCCAACACCCAUAUGACACGUGUCAUGCACUCAUGGUGACACAUAAUUCUAUGGGACCAUUUGGGUCCUACAGAAGUUGCAAAGUUGGACUAUUGAGGUGUGAUCACAACUUUUGUCCUACUUGCUUUCUCUGCGGCCAUUGCACGAUUUCCUUUAGCAUCAUUUUCUUGUCUAAAUAAGCGUAUUAUAUUUGUGGCAGACCGUCCACGUGUCAUAAACAGAUAUAUUAUAAUAAUGUAGUAUGCUUUUCUUCAACGGAACUUGACACUCUUCUAAGUCUUGUUUUAAAUACUGUGCAGGAUUACGUCAUAAGUUGCUUGUUCCAAGUCAAAAUUGGUGGGCAAACGUUGGCCUUUUUUCAUUUUCCCUAAUAUUAAUGCUCACCUGGGAUAGGCACUACAUGAUUUAUCUGCUCUUUUACUGUGAAGUUGCUUUGUGCAUGAGUUACACCUCCCCUGCACACCCUCAACAUUUGUUGCUCUGUUUUUCUUGUGUCCAGACGAGGAUAUUAAUUGGAGGCUGACAAAACGACUGCUAGCCAAGGAUUUACAAGGUCCUGGUUUGAGGCUUUCACGAAAGUAUUUUUGAAAAGAUACACAUAGAGAUUGCGCGUUCGGUGCAAUGCAACAAUGUGAGCCAUUCUGAAGUCUUAAAUUUCAGAUUAAUGAAUGCUACAAAAUUCUAAGAAGGGCCGUUUCCAAAUAUUUGAGUUCAUUCAUCCGAACAUCGGGUAUAUGCUUCUUUCUCUAGCCCCUCCUUGAAGGGAGGAGGGACAAUGUGAUCUGUAUCGUUAGAAGCUAUUCCAUGUCGUCAUCUUUGGGCUCAGUUCAAUACUAAAAGAUAUGGGCGGGGCCCUUAUCAUUUUAUAUUUCUUCUAGAAGGUUUAUUCUGGAAAUCUUUCACAGAAACAUAUCUUUUUCUUCUCUACGUGAUCCGUGGUUUGAAAGUUGGAAAAAUGGGUCCGUUAACAAGCCACCGAGUUGAAAAGUUGGAAAAAUGGCAACACCGCCAACCUCUUGUAUUCGAUAGUUAAAUAAAAGGUCACUGGAAGUGAGAUCCCUUUUGGCCUCUUGAUUUUCAUUCCAGCAUCUCUAUGGCCUGAUAAAUUAAAAAACUAAAAAAAAAGACAGUACGUGGGUUGGUGUUAAGCAUCAAGAGUCAAGACAUGAUAAUGGAGAGAAAGGAUAUUCAAAUUCCAGUUCUGACAACAUGAUUUUCUUUGCUGAACUACCAUAUUAUAUUUGAUCAAGAAAGAGUAGUGCAUGUGGCCAGGAUCAAGACAUACAUUAAUUUCCACAUGAUGAAGACAGUUUCUGAGAGUUUCUUCUAAAGCUCUUGCGCGAGUAGGCUUCAAGUCAAAAUCUCCCAUGUAAACACUGGUUUUUCUUUCAUUGCCACUAAGGAUGCAGUUAAUAUUGACUUAAGAUCCUACGUGAUAUAUUUUUUUAAAAGAGCUAUAUUGUAGAUAAUAUUUGAAAUAAUGUUGAUUCGUUGUGGAAAUAUAUUUGUAAGGAAAGUUGUUGACAAUUUAAUAUAGUAUAAGAAGAAAAAAGUUAUCAACUAGCUAGAGAUGAGUAUGUAAAGUGAGGCUCACGAUUCAACGCGUAAAUAUAAGAUAUUUUAAGGCUCAAUAGUUAUGAUAUCUAUUUUAUUUUUUGUAUCUCAUAUAUUCAAAGAUAUAGUAAAAUGAUUUUACAUAUAUAUAUAUAUAUAUAUAUGAACAUAACUAUUUGUGCCAAUUGAUUUUUAUCUUUAUUUUGUAUAUUAGUAAUUAUAUUAAAGUUUUUACUAAUAUAAUAACUAAUAUAAAAGCUUUUUCUAAAAGAGUCAACAGAGCAAAACACUUAUUAUAAAAAAUAAUUUUGAUUGAAGGUGGAGUCAAUUAUUCUUUAUUUAACAUGUAAUGCAUACGGCGUGUACUUCAUAACUAAAGUAUAUAAGUGUAACAUCUCUUAUAUAUUCUCAUUCAAUCUCGAAAGUGGAAAUUUUAAAAAGAUUAAACGGUUCAAAUUUGUCGUGCAUAAAGGGGAUCAUGUCACAUAAGCAAACCAUGGCAUACCAAAGACAUAGGUAUGGACUAAGAAUUUUUUUCAAAUAAGUUUCUUAUUAGGGUACAUUAAUAGGUGACUUUUUAUGACAUAUCAAAGGAGUCAAGUGCACCAAUAAAAACAUAUAUAGAAAAUUCAUGCAUGACAUGUAUCACUAAGAGAAGAUUGACUUGAUAGAGUUUAAUCCAAAUAGGAGAUUGUUAAAAGGUGUCUCAAAUUCUUGAUUGAUAUAUAUUUUUUUUAUUAAAAAGGUUAUUAUAUAGAUAUUUCAAUAGACUAUUAAUUCUUUGUAAAAAUAGUUAUAUAAUGAGGAUGGUGAUUAAAAAUAUCUCUAUCAAUAUUUUGGAUUAUAAAAAGAAAAAAAAUGAGAUAAUGAUAAACAUAUAAAACUUGUACAAGUAGAUAAAGAUGUGAUGAAAGACACUUGAUGAAUGAAGGCUUUGUAUUUCAAGAUAUAAAUAUAUGGAGCAAAACUCUUAAUUAUAUGAUCAAAUGAUUCUCUCAUAUUCAUGAAUAUAAGCAGGAUUGGGGAACCAUGAUAGAAUCUUAUAUGCCUCUCCAUGUAGAGUGAUCGAUGUUUAUCUUCAUAUUUUACACCAGUGAAUGACAUUGAAACUCUUAUUGAUAAAAGGGAAAAGGCAUGGCCUCCACCCCAAGAAAAACAAGUAACCUCGGUUUAAAUCACUAGUCUACACCCCGAAGAGAGAACUAGCCAAACCUACUAAAAGAGAAACUUAACAAUUUAGAAAGAAACCGUCCAUGAUAAAGGGCCCCUAAAGGUCCAAUUCAGUGAGGUCGUGAACAAAAACACUUUCAUGUCAAAACAGAGAUAGGUACCACCAAAAUGUAAAGGGAAAGAUGUAAACCACGUCGAACUUUGGUAAUCAAUGGUAAAGAUAGCAUGAUAGCUAAAAGCACUAAAGCUGUGCUUGGUAUGCAAAAAUGAAAAGUGGAAAUCAGCGUCUUAUUCUUUUUCACCUUUAUUCACAUAUUAGGAUAACUAAUAUCUAAUGUUUUUUAUGUCUCAAAUUCUAUUCCAUGUUAUGGUAAACUUUCAUCUUGUUUAGAUCACUUUUGUCUGGUUUGGGCUCAAGACGAUAAGCCUAUAGAGACUUCAUAUUGGGUUGAAUCGAUGCCCUUGAUCUGAUCUGUUCGUUAGAAAAAUCUGAAUUAUUAUAAGCAUUUAGAUAAAAAAUAAAUAAAUGUGAAACACAAACUACUCCCUGCACAACCUUGACCCUAGUUACUCAGUUUCACUGCUCACAGGACUAACCUCUCCAUUCAGUCGAAAUGAAUUGUAACAAGAAGAUUUUUGACAGGAGGACGGUAGUUUAAAAUAAUAAUUUCUAAAGUACUUUUGUGAAAAAAAAUAAUUCCAAACGUGGAUUUUAUCAAGUAAAAAGAAAAAAAAAAGUUAUUUUCUUUUAAAAUCUGUUCUUCUAAAGAUGAUAUAUAUACCAAAAAAAAAAAUUGUUUUCUGAAGGUAAAAUUUUUAAAAUUCAUUUUUAAAAAAAUUUACACACUAAAAUUAUCUUUUCAAGAGAAGAUUUUUUUAAUUUUAAAUAAUUAUUAAUUUAUAAUUAAUUUGUUAUUAAUUAUUUAUUAAUUUUUUUAUUUGAAAAAUGCAUUUAUAAAAAACAAAUUUGUUAUUAAUUUAUUAAAUAAUUUUUACAAAAUAAAUAAUUUUUUUUUAUUUUAAUUUUAAAAUUAAUUUUAUUAUAUAAAUUUUAAAAUUAAAAAUAUUAAUAUUUAAUUUAAAAUUUAACUAUAAAAGGAAUAAAAUAUAGAAAAAUAAAUUAAUUUAUUAUUCAAUAAAUUAAUUUUCAAUAAAAUUUUCAGCAUUAAGAGAUAAAUUUUUAAGUAUUAAUCAAUUUAAAAAGAAAUAAUGAUCAUUUGUAUAUUAAGAUAUUUUAUUUAGUAAUUAUGAAUGAUAAACAACUAAAGUAAUUUGAAAAAAUAAUAAAAUAUUUAAAAAAUAAUAAUUUAAUACACGUAAAAUUAGAAAUGAUUAACUAUUUUUUAUUAAGAAAAAAUUGAGGAAAUAUUUUGUUAUUUAAAAUUUUUUAUUUGUUUUCAAUUUUUAAUGUUAUAGGUUUCAAGAAAAUUGAUCAAAUAAAAAUUAAGAAGUCAUUUUUUCAAAAACUAUAUAUCUAAAUAAAAGCCUUGAAAUUCAAAUACACAAUAUCAUAAAUAUAAACACCAAGUCAAUCCUUAAUUAUCAAAUGUUUUUAAUAUUAAAGAAUCAAAAUCACCUACUAUCAUGAUAAUAAGAAAACCAAUAAUAUUGUUCAUAUAAAUACUAAAAAGCUAACAAAUAUCCCAAACAAUUAAUAAAGUAUCAAACAUGAUAAAAAGUCAAUUAUUAUCAUGAAUGCAAAAAAUCAAUAAUUUUGUUUAUAUGAACCAUCAACAAAGAAAAAAAAAAUCAAUAUCUAAAUAUUAAACAUAAUUUAUAUUUUUAUAAAUAUUAUUGUUGAUAAAUAUCUUAACAAUUAUAAUUUUAGUAAAUAAAAUUAAUUAAUUUUAGUUUAAGAAUUAUUUUUUUAUACUUUCGUAUUCUUAUCAAAAAUCCCCAUUUUGCAUGUCUCCUUUGGCAUGACUUUCUUACCUAAACAAGCAUAUAUAUAUAUAUAUAUAUAUAAAAUAUUUGGUUAAGAAAGAGUACUAAAGUUUAUAUGGCACACAUCAAGAUAGAAACAGAAGUGGAAGAUAAUCCAAAUGUAUGAACAGAUAUAUUAUAUCCAUGUAGUGGUAGUGACUUCAUUAUUUACUUUUAUCUAAUGGAGCAUGACACACUUCUUCUGAAUAUUUUGCACGAUUAUGUUAUGUGUCAGCUUGUUCUAAGUCAAAACUAGUGAUAAAAAUCGGUUUUUUUUGCAUUUCCUUCAUGAAGAUGGCACCUGGAUGGGGCACUACAUGAGUGGCAUAGCACGAAGUGAUUUAUCUGCUCCCUUUACUAUAAAGUGCUUUGUGUAUAAGUUACACCUCCCCUGCACUGCCUCAACAUUUGUUGUUCUGUCUUCCGUCUGUCCAAACGAGGACAAACGUAUGUUGUAGGUUGACAAAACCACAGCUAGCCUAGGAUUUGCAAGGAUCUAGUUUGAUUCGUAUGCAAAAGGAUUGGUGAAAAGAUUCACAAAGAUAAUGCUUUUUGCAAUGCAAUCUUGUUCUAAUUCAACAGUGUGGACCAUUUUCAUGUAAUGCUUCAACUAGAUGUCAGUUUCAUGAAUUUUUGUUCAUCUAAUUGAUCACUGGAUAGGCCAUAACCCGAAGAAAUUCAAAAUUCCCUUCAGUACUGUAGCUAAGGAAAGAUCCCUAUCUACCACUGGGAUUUUAAGAGGGUAAAAAUGUAGGUGGGUGCCUAUAUCAUUUGCACUUCACUAUAGGCCUCUUUGGGAAGAUUUCUUCUGAAGACAUUUCAAAGAAACAUAUUUUUCUCUUCUCUCCGUAAACGGCAGCUGCAAGUCAGUCCAUUCACAGGCCACCGAGUUGAAAAGGCUGGAAAAUUGGCCAAAGCACCCGCCUCCUGGAUUCCAUGGGUAAGGAAAAGGUCACUGGAGGUGUGAUCCCUGUUGGCCUCUUGAUUUCCAUUCCGCCAUCUAUAUGACCUGAUAACCCAAAAACACAGAAGGAAAACGUCACCUGGGUUCAUAGUAAGCAUCAAGUCAUGAUAGAGACCAGACAACAUGACCAACAAAGAGUAGCGAAUGGGGCCAACAUCAAGCCCCAUUACGGUUAGAAGAUGGAAGAAGUAGAAGACAAUCCAAUUCUGAUAGAUUCGGGCAAAUGUAGUGCUGUUCAAACUUAAUCAUUUACUAUUUCUUCAUGAAUCACGGCAUUUUUCUUCUGAAAAUUUUCCAAGAUUAGGCCUCUGAAGAAAAAUUUCAUAUGUAAAUUGGUAUAUUAAGGAAAAGGCGUUACAAAGGUGAAAAAAAACCAAUCAAAUCUUAUAUAUGACAUCUCAAAAAUAUGAACUUGCUAUAAAUAUUUAAAAUCAAAAUCUUGCACAUCACCUCGUAGUACGAACUUGCUAUAAAACUUGAAAAUCAAGAAGAAAGGGGCAGUAUUGGACGAGACUACUUAGCACAUAUUAUUAUGAUGUUUUUUCAUUUUCUUAAUGUUGUUUUUAUGUCUUAAAUUCUAUUAUUCUAUGUUACGGUAAACAUUCAUCUUGUUUGUGUGGAAUAGGAUCACUUUUCUCUGGGUUGAGUCGAUGCCCUUAGUUAAUUUGUUCAUUUGAAUAAACUAAAUUAUUAUAAGUAUUUAGAUAAGAAAAACGUGAUACAUAAAUUACGCCUCUCGGCACAACUUCAACACUGGUUACUCUGUUUCAGUUUCCUCACACAAGAUUAUUGGUUCUAGGGUUUAUUUGGUUUUGGUUUGAUUCUAAUUGCUAAACUUUCUCAAGGAAGAUGUUAUAUAGGGAGUGAGAAACCUUCACUCUUGGCUACCUCCAAGAGAAGAGCAAGUGGUCUGAAUCAAAGAUAUACUGCUCACUUUUUCUUCUUCUAAGGACAGCUAUGACCUUGCUUUAAGGUUCGAAUAGCCUAAUGCAACCUCCCAUUUCUCAAGUCAGCUGAUGAUGUAAGUCACCUUGGCUUUCCACAUUCAUACGGUGAGGACGUUUGUGGGUGUAAUUCUCUUAACAGUUUUCAUUUUAUAUGGAAAAAUUCAUAAUUAAGGGUAAUUACUGAUUCCAUUUGACAGUGACCAAGUUUAAAAUAUUAAUUCAUAUAUUAAAUGCACAUUAAAAAAUCAUGGAAUAAAUAUAUUUACUAAUAUAUAGUUCUUUUGCCAUGUUCUGUCACAGAAGCAUCGAACUUUCCCUAGAAAUUUUUGCAUGGUAUUCUACUUAUGAUUUUGAAAACUCUAGGCACCUGAGGCCACUAAUUGCAUGGUUGGAUGAGGAGCUGCAUGAGAUUAUGUAUCGUGUUGUUCCUUAACUACAAAUAUCAGUUUUAAGUAGCAUCUCCAUGUGACAUUUUCCUGAUGCAAUUUCGCUGUCCACCAACAAAUUUCACCAUGCAGCAAGAUGAAUUGUAAUUUCUUUAUUGUUAUCAACAGCUUUAAUUAAUCUUGAUAUAUAUAUAUAACUUAGUAGAAGUAUAUUAAUCUAGAUUGUAGUUGCACUAAGAUAAUAGGCAAUAUUAUAACAGUGCCACAAUGCUCAUCGCCAAAUAGAAAGGUAGAAAAACUACAAUGAGUAACUCACAACAUUCUCAAACAGGACAUAGCGGCGACUGAUACAUAGAACACUAUUGGCACUCAGGAAAUGAUAAGAUCAGUGCCCAGCAGGCAGCACGUCUUAUUUUACAUACUACUUAAAACUAACCAAAGUCAUUCAGUUGGGAUGGGUGGGAGAUGGUGGUUUGUGCGGUGGCUUUUGGGUAGUUGGUGGCUUCUUUCCUGGAACUGAUGGUUUUUUUGUUGGAGUUGAAGGAGGCUUAAUCGUCUGAGGUGGCUUGUAUGAGUCUUCAGCACUCUCUGCGGGAGGGUGCCCAGGGUUGUGACCAUAAUGGGGUGGCUUCUCUCCCUUAGUUGGUUUGCCAAGUGGGCUGGCUGGCUUGUGCUCCGGGAGCGGCUUCUCUCCCUUAGGUGGUUUGCCAAAUGGGCUUGCUGGCUUGUGCUCUGGGAGCGGCUUCUCUCCCUCAAGAAGUUUACGGGUUUUGUCAGAUGGCUUGUGUUCUGGUGGUGGCUUCUCUCCUUGGGGUGGUUUGCCAAAUGGACUUGGUGGCUUGUGUUCGGGGAGUGGCUCCUCUCCCUUGGGAGGUUUAGUUGGUGGCUGGUGUUCCAUAG
rnacentral:lncRNA from 1 species